rnacentral:lncRNA from 1 species
AAUAGGGCUGUAAUUGAAUAGAGCUGUAAUGGAAUAGAGCUGUAAUGGAAUAGAACUGUGAUAAGUAAUUCAACUGUUUGGUUGAAUGGAAUGAAAUAGAACUGUAAUAGUAUUCUUGUGUUUGGUUGAAUGGAAUGAUGUUGUAAUAGUAUAAGGAAAAAAACUAAAAUGACCAGAAUACCCUUAGCAGAAUUUUUAUUAAGGGAGAUGAAUAUUGUUAUUGUUAUUAAAUUUUAAUAAGAUUAUUAUUGAAAAUAAUUUAAUAAAAAUAAUAAAUAGUUUAACCAUAUUUUAACAUAAUUAUUAUUAAAUAUAAUUUAAUAAAAAAUAUAAUUUAAUAACAUUCAUUAUAUAACUAUUAUUAUAUGAAUUAAAAAAUCAAAAUAUAUAACACUAUAAAAAAAUAUAUAAUCUGCUUUAUUAUUUUUAAACUUCAAUACAUAUUUAGGCUCCGUUUGUUUGCCAGUAAAAUAUUUUCUGGAAAAUAAUUUAUGGAAAAUGAUUUACUUUUCUAGAAAUGAUUUACUUUUUUGGUGUUUGGAUGAAUUUAUGUAAAAUAUUUUCCGUUAUUUGGUAGAUUUCCUGAAAAUAUUUUAUAAAAGCUGUUUUAAAUUAAACAAAUAUAUAUAUAUCUAAGAAUUUAUUAUCUUUUCAUUGUUUAUUUGAGUUUAUUAUAUAUAUACAUUAAUAAAUUUUACAUAUAUUGCAAUGUUUUAUUUAUGGGUAAACUACAAAAAUAGUCACUUUUGUUUGCCUCGGGUUACAUUUUAGUCACUUAUAUUUGAAAUGUUACGUGUUAGUCAUUUAUGUUAUUAUUAUCUCCCUAAUGAUAAUCCUACGUGGUAGUCCAACUAGAUUUUAAGUGCCAACUAGAUCUUAAGUAUAUCUGUUAAUACAUACUUCAUCCGGGUAAAUUAUACAAUUUUCUGUUAAUACAUACUUUACCCGGGUAAAUUAUACAGUUUUCUAUUAAUACAUACUUCAUCCGGAUAAAUUAUACAGUUUUCUGUUAAUACAUACUUUACCUGGGUAAAUUAUACAGUUUUCUAUUAAUACAUACUUUACCCGGGUAAAUUAUACAGUUUUCUAUUAAUAUAUACUUCAUCCGGAUAAAUUAUACAGUUUUCUAUUAAUGUGCUUGUGAAGAAAAAUACAAAACAACAUUUCAUAGAUAUGUUUCCAUCUAUUUCCAGAUUACUAUAGCAAUAGAGUAAGUCAAGUCUGAGUUAUUGUCCUUAGUAGAAAUAAUAGAAUGCAAUGAGGCUACAAAAGCAAGAACCAGAAAUUACAAGCAAAUAUAGUAAUUAGGAGGAACAACAAGCAGUAAGUAAUUAAGCCAAGUGGCCUAUCAACGUGCAACCACUGGUAUAGGGUUUAGACAAAGCAAAUCAAGCAACAUAGAGAUAGAUUGGUUCAGUGCAGAAUAGCAUCAACAAAGACCACCAAAUGUGAAGAUAUUCCAAAUUUAAUCCAUAUCCUAAACUAGGUCAACAAAACAUAGAACCAUAAAAAAGGCACAGAUGAACUAAAUAUGAACUAUAAAGCAUUAGGGAGGAACCGAAAUCAAUAAAUUAAUGAACAUCCACUAGCAGUAACAAUAAGACAAACAGUUAUUUCUCUGCUAUAAACAAGAAUCAUAGAGAAGAAAAGCAAAAAAAAAGAACAGAACAGAGCAAACCCCUAAACUGAAAUCAUAAACAAGAUAGAGGCUAUCGAGAAGAAUGGAGGAACUGGUGACUUCAGUUGACUGACAUGAAAGAGCAGAGGAAUGAAAGUGGCCGGAGGCAAAGUAAGCAAGAGAGGCUGGGUGAGAGAAGCUGUCGGGUUGAAGUAAAAAAAAAAAGAAAACGUACCUUUGAGGAGAUGAAGAUGAAGGGUAGAUGGAUGGAUGCUUGAUUUGGAGAAAAAGGUUGGAAGAAAUCUGAAGCAGAAUUUUGGGGAGAAGAAAUCAGGCUAUUUUGGUCCCAAAAUCUGAAAAUGUAUUCGGCGUGUGUGUUGAAUAGCAAUUCAGUGCCCUCACUACUGAAUACCUAUUACAGGAGGUGAGGGAAUAUGGCUGUAAUAGCUAAACUGCAGAAUCACCUAAACAGUGAACCAAACGUAUGAAUUACUGUAGCGCGCGGAAUAAGGCAGGAAUGGCAUAGCAAUUCCAUCCAACCAAACAUACUGUAAAUUUCUCAGGUUAAUUUUGUAUUCCAUCUAUUAUUAUAUUAAUUUUUGCAAUAAAAUUUCCAAAAUUUUAGAUUUAAUCUUUUUUUUUCUUAAUAUAUCCAUUGAAGUGAGCCUAGUGACUUUGUCCUAACAAGUGGUACUAGAGCUAGUUUAAUUUUCAUAGAUCAGCCCAUUCAGAUAUGACAGUAACAAGGUUUGAAACUGAGAAGUUUGAUGGUGAGAUAAAUUUCAAUCUGUGGCAAGUUUGGAUGAUGGCAAUUGUAGUACAAUCCGGUUUGAAAAAGGUUGUUACUGGGAAAAAGCCCAAGAAUUUAAAUAAAACAAAAUGGGAAAAGCUUGAUGAAAAGGCUUUGUCUGCAAUCCAGUUGUGCCUCGCGAAUACGGUAUUGCAAGAGGUAUUUAUGGAGAAGACCUCAUUUUCCUUGUGGAAAAGGUUAGAAACUCUUUAUGCGACUAAGUCUCUGGCCGUUUAGUGUUGAAACAAUGUCUAUUUACGUUUCGCAUGAACGAAGGUGAGAUUUUUAGAGAUCACAUCAGUCAAUUCAUUACUCUUUUAAAUGAUUUAAAGAACGUUGAGGUUCAUAUUGAUGAUGAAGAUCAAGCUAUGCUAUUAUUGUGCUCUUUACCUCCUUCAUACAAGUCUUUCAGGGAGACCCAGAUUUAUGACAGAGACAAACUCUCGUUUGAAGAUGUGAAGGGUCAUUUGUUGAGUAGAGACAAACUCGACAAUGAGUUUCAUUUGGAUAGCAAGACAGAUAGGCAAGCUUCCGUUUUAGUAGCAUCAAAGAAACGAGACAAAAGGUGCCGCUAUUGUAAAAAGUUAGGUCACGUCAAAGCAGUCUUCAGUAAGCCUAUAAAAAAUUAAUCAGUUUAUUUCAAAAACUAUCAAUAAAGACUCAACUAAAUUAAUCACAUAAAAAAAUUUCCUUAAAUUAACCUAGCCUCAUCAAUUCAUAAAAAAAUAUAAUUUAUUAAAUUAACUUAGCAAAUUCUUUGCCUAAUUUUGCUCCAAUGAAAAACUAGCAAACUAGGUUCGAUCCAAUAGAUAUAUUUCUCACCCCUAUAGAAAAUUUAGCAAACUCUCUGCCUAGUUUCGCUUCAACGAAAUAUAUUUCGCUCCAACGGAAAUAAAUUCUGCUCUAGUAGAACAAGUCCUUCAUUUCUCUUAUUUGUAGUUGCACUUCAACUCAUUGUCAGGGAAUUACAUCAUCAACAACCUUAGUACCUUCAUAAAAACUAAUUAAAAAAACAAGAUAAAAGUAAAAAGAAAAACAAAAUGAUUAGCCUAUCUAAAAAAAAUAAAAAAGAAAAAGAAAAAUAGAAUAGAAUAAAUAAUAAUUAGAAAAAAAACCUAGAGACUUAUGUUGCCUCCCAAGAAGUGCCUUAGUUAUAGUCAUGGCAUGACUCUUAGAUUUUAAGCAUCCCGAAGCUUGAUGACGGUGUCACGAUGAUCUACACUGCCCCUCCAACAGUACUUAAGUCUUUGCCGAAAAAUUUUUACUACUUUGUAAAGAAACAUUUCUAAAACCCGACUCAAUUUUGACCAACAAAAUUACAACUUUCCAAGACUUAGCUUAAGCUGUGAUUUUUAUAAGAAAAUAUAUCGUAUUGGCUCAAUUCGUUUUCAAGCAAACCUUUUACCAUUCCACCGUUUCACUUUAUAGCAUUUUUGUAAUGGCUCUUUAAUUGAGGACUUCAAAUUAUUUAGAGAUCCCAAAUGUAAAUUUAAUGAUUCAAACUUUGACAUGGUCUUGCAUAUUUUGGAACAUAAUCGAAAGUGUUCAUAAAUUCCUUAAACACACCAUCUUUUCUUUUAGCUUCAAAAACCAAAGUAGUUUGCAUAGAAUCAAUCAGAUAAAUGUUCUUGGGAAAAUUAAAAUUAGCUUUAUCUAUUACACUAAUUGAGAAGCAUUCUUCUUUAUCAUUCAAAUGUUUCAAAGAAAAGAAAAUUUUGAAAGUUACCUGCUCAUUAUUGACCUUCAUUGUAACUUAACCUUCUUCAACAUCAAUCAGCGCUAUUCCAGUUGCAAGGAAUGGUCUGCCAAGAAUAAGUGGAACCUCUCUAUCUUCCUCCAUAUCUAAGAUAAUGAAAUCUGUCAAAAGAAUAAACUUGUCCACUGUAACAGCCUGUUUUUAGUCAAAUCAAAACAGUGGUUUUGGAACCACAAUUCAAAGUUAAAAUAAUUAUUUUAUUAUUAUUUUGAGGUCUAUAGCAUGAUAGUAUGAUUGCAUAAAAAUUUUGUUAAGAAAUUUUACCAUUUGUAUGCUUAAUUUGUGAAAAAGGACUAAAUUGUGUAAAGUACAAAAGUUGUGUUCUAAUAGCUAAAGGUGUCCAAUAGCUAUGGGAAUUUAAAGUGGAGGUUCUUAUAUAGUAAUUAGAACACUAAUAUUAAUGGUGGACAAAAUUGGACAUCUUGUAAUGGUUUUAAUGGUUUAAUGAUAAGGUUAAUUUAGUAAUUAAUAUAAUAAACUAAAAUUAAAAUAAGAAAAAGAAAGGUAUCAUCUUUCUUCUUCAUUCUUCAACCAAAAAUAGCAACUAAGAAGCCAUUAAAUACCAUUCAAGCAUUCAGUCAAUAUAUCCUAGUGCAUGUAAGUGCAUUUUUUAUCCGUUUUUAAUAAUUUCUAUGUUUUUGGAGUCGUUGUAACUUAAUCUACCUAGCUUAGGGACUAAUUUAUGAAAAUGUUAAAACUCCAGAGUUUUUCCAUGAAUACGUGUGGGUUUUUUUUUAUAUUUGAUGGAUGAAAAUGAAAGUUUAGUGAUUGUUAAACAAGUUUUGUAAAGUGAUUUUGGUUGAAAAUGUCAAAUAGGGAUUUAUUUGUAAAAUGUGAAAAUUUUGUGGUGAAAUGUGUGAAAUAAUGAAAUGUGUGGGCUGCUAUGAACAUAUAUAGAAUUCGGUUAGUAUGGGUGUGGAUUAAAUUUCAUGAACUUGCAUUUUUAUGAGAUAGGGACUAAAUUGUAAAAAAGUUAAAUGUUUAGGGACAAAAUAGUAAUUUUUCCAUAACAUGAAUUUUUGGAUUGAGUUGAAUAGAAUGAGACUUAAAGUAGUUAAAUUUGAUUAUAUAGAUCAAGAAAAUCCACGUUCGGAUUUAGAUCGAGGCAAAGAUAAAGUAGUGGAUUGAUCAAGAGAUUUUCUCCAUACUAAUUUGAGGUAAGUUCGUAUGUUAAAAAGAAUUAAAGUAAUUGUGUUUUAAAUGCUUUAUUAUUACAUUCUUGAUAAAUACAACUUUAUGGAAAUAUUCGACAAAGAUUUGGCAAUGUAUGAAAUCCAGAACGAACUUUAGGAAUAGAUAAGAUACAAAUGACAUGUCAUUAGGGGUUACCGUGUUUUGGGUGUUGGUCCCGUACGUUCUACCGAUGGCUGAGUUUUUGGGCAUGUGUUGUGGCUACUGUAAGCAGCACCGUAUAGCUAUGUCUUGAUCGUUAGCUUGUGUGAGCAGACCCAAUAAUAGCUCGAAAGUGAGCAUCUAUAUUGGAUAUAAGAUAGAGAUGGUUUCGACCAUGUAUUGGCAUUUAGUGUGUGAGAUACCCAAGUAUCCGAUAUUAUUCCAAAUGGUACAACGGGCAUAGUGAUGUUACGAGAGUUUUUGAAUUCAAAAAUGAAUUAGUACAGGUAUGUACGUGAAUCAUAUAAGAACUGAAUCUAUUAGAUUUGUGAAUUCAUGUCUAACUUUGUAAGUGAAUAUGUGUUAGGCUUGUGGAUCAAAUUGAGUUGUAUUAUACUAUGUUUAAUUACUUAAAUUGUGAUUAAAUGGUAAGUUGAGUUUUAUGCUAUACGAACUUACUAAGCUUAAUUGCUUACUGUGUUAAAAAUUCUAUGUUUUAUAAUGAUUCGAAAACUCACUAGGUUUGGAAGUUGUCGGAGAUUUCAUCUCACUAUCAAAAUCUCCUUUUGUUACUUUUAGACUUUAUGUAUUUUGGUUAUAUGGAAUGUAUAGAUCUUUUGGCUAAUGAAAGCCUAUAUGUUUUGGUUAUGUAAUUAGUCUAUAUGUUUUGGUUAUGUAAUUAGUCAUUUAAUAUAGCUUGAUUUGGUAUAUAUAUAUUGGUAUGUAUAUAUGUAUGGUUUGUCUCAUGUUAUAUGUUGUUUGGAUUGCCAUGAGAAUGCCUUGAUUGUGAUUUGGAACUUUUAAGUCUCAUAUGGUUGAGAUUAAGAAAUGGCAUAUAUGUUGUGUGUUAGGCACAAAUGUGUAUAUCUGCAUUUGACUAUUUAGGUAACUUUUAGAAGUGACAGUGGUAUGAUUUUGAAUGGCUAGUUGUAUGCUUUUAAGUGGUCAAGUGAAUAUAUGGAUAUUGCAUGCUAUAGACUUGGAAUUGGUUAGUCUUGAAUGCUUAUUUAUGUCAUGGUUGAAUGUACAUUGUUUGGCUUAGGUUGGUACCACUUUGCGUGAGAAAUAUGGCUUGGAAAAUGGCUUAUUUUUGUCCACAUGGGCAGAGACACGGGCGUGUGUCUCAGCCGGGUGUGACACACAGCUAGGUAAUACGGUAGUGUGUCCCUUGAUGUGUAACGCCCCAAAAUUUAUAUUUCUGAUUCUGUAGGAAUAUGACACAAGUGUGUAUCUGCUUUAGUGGUUAAGUGUUCUGGGUGUGUAUGAGAGGUUCUAAGUUCAAGCCUUAGCUUGGGGAAAAAUUUUGGUUUUUAUUGAAUAAGGCCUUGUCUCUGGUGGUUAAGCUUAUAAGUAUUUGAUUAUUAAAAUAUGCAAGAAUGGGCCUACUAGUCUGGUGGAUAAGUGGAGUGUUGGUGUGGGAGAGGUCUUGGGUUUGAGUCUGAGUGGAGGAAGUAUUUUUGAUGCUAAUGCCGUGUGGUAGGCCGUGUGGCAGUACACGGGCGUGUAAUCGAUGAAUCAGGCCGUGCGCAUGUAACACAGGUGCAACAGACACAGCCAUGUGAUGUCUGGCGAGGUCAUGUGAGAGACACGGGCUCGAUUAAUGGGUCGUAUAGGCCACACAGGCGUGUGGGCCCACUAGGGUAAACCACACGGGCAUGUGAAAUUCUAGGCCAGGCCGUGUGAUCCACACGGCCAAGGCCAAUUUGGGUCGUGUGGGCCCACACAGGCAAGCCACAUAGGCGUGUGAGCCCGUUUUUUUGAAAUGUUCUGUAAGGUUGCACGGGUCACCUAAGUCGACUGUGACCUAUCGAAGGGUCGGUAAACAAUACUUAGACCCUUGUUCUGUGAUAUGAUAUUGUGAUGUAUGUGUUACUAUGUUACACUUAACAUGUAUACUGUUUUGAAUAUAAAUGUAUGAUCUGCAUUAUAGCAUGCCAUAUUGUAUGAUGCAUUGCAUCGAGGUGGGUUUGAUGAAGAUAAGGAAGUAUCUGAAGACUUCAUAAGCCUGUUACCUGGCAGCUAAACUGUGUAAUUAUGACAUGUGCCACACUAUGGUACCCUAUGGUGUGUAGGGUUGGAUGGGUCAAUUUUAUCCCUAUAUUUGGUAUGCAGGGAUGGGUGGGUCGAUUUUAUCCCCACAUGGUGUGUUGGGUUGGACGGAGUUGGUGGGCAUGUUCUGUUAUUUGGAUCCGUUAUGCAUGCCAUAUCUGAGAUGGGCUAACGCCCUAAGUUUGUGUCUUAUUCUGUAUCUGAGUGGGUCAAGACCCACAGCGAUUCUGUAAAAAGGGUUUAGGCCUGACUUAUGUCUAUAUUUUGAUAUCUGUUUGUAUGCAUGCUAAACUGUGGGGAUGUAACACCCCGUACCCGAGACCGUUGCCGGAGUCGAACACGAGGUGCUAACGGACUUAAUUCCUUACUUAAACAGCUCAUACAAUUCAUUUUUAAAAUUUCCAGAUGAGUUGGCUAACUGCAUCACAAUCACUCUAAAAAUCAUAUCUCGAGUUCCAAAACUCGAAAUCCAAUUCCGUAAAUUUUUCCUAAAACUAGACUCAUACAUAUAUUUACUAAUUUUUUUCUAGAAUUUUUGGUCAGGCUAACUAGUACAGUUUAUUAGUUAAAGUCUCCCCUGUUUCAGGGUUCGACUACUCUGACCUUCAUGCAUUACAACUUAGAUAUCUCCCUGUACAGGGCUUCAAUACUUAUGUCGUUUGUUUCUAAUGAAACUAGACUCAAAAAUAAAUCUGUACAUAUAAAGCAUGACUUUUAAUUAUCUCUGAUUAAUUUAUGGUGAAUUUCCAAAGUCAGAACAGGGGAUCCAGAAAUCACUCUGGCCCUGUUUCACGAAAACUUAAACAUCUCAUAAAAUACGGCUCAUAUAGUCGUUUAGUUUCUUUCAUAUGAAAAUAGACUCAUCCAGAUUCGAUUACAUAAUUUAUUCAUUAUUUAAUUCCAUUUAUACUAUUUUUAAUGAUUUUUCAAACUCACAUCACUGCUGCUGUCAGCAUCUAUUUUAAGGUAAAUUUCACCUAUUUCAUAGUUUUCCAUGAAUCAACUAGUAAUUUGACAUACAUUAUUUCCAAUUAUAAUCACGAUUAGCCAUGACAUACGUAGCACCAAUAGGACCAUGAUUGGCCAUUCCAAUGGCUAAUCAUUACCAAACAUUUCCACACCACUUAAUAACCAUAUCAUAAGACCAUAUAUACAAAAUGAUCAUAAUGUUAUACUCAAAAUAUACAAGCCAUUUUCGCAUGGCUAUACGAAUAUACAUUACCAAAAGAUACUUAAUUAACAACAAGGGUCAGCCCUAUACAUGCCAUUAUCAAGUUCAACUGAAGAGUACCAAAAAGUCUCUUAGAUAGUGUGGAUGACUUCGACUUUGACACCUCCGAGUCCGAUAGCUGACGAACAAAAUCUAUAAUACAGAGAAUUUAAGCAACAGAGUAAGCGUUUCGAUGCUUAGUAAGUUUAUAAGUAAGGAACUCAUUUGAAACAAAAACACAAAAGAAAUAGCAUUCAUAAGGAUAAAUAAAUGCCUACGCACAAGAUCACGUAUUUGUUUUAAUUUACACUUUUAUCAAUAGGUUUAUACAUUCGAAGUCAAACUUAACUAAAUUUCAUUUGAUUCAAUUUCAUGUAGCUCGAGUGAGCUAUAGACUUCAUAUAAUCCUAAGAAAUGGCCGGAAGAGCAUUAUUCGAUUACGUAAUCACAACUGACACUGUACCAAAUUUUUCCAAUGUAUACACGAUCCAUACAUGGUCAUAUUAGGGAUUAUGAGCACAUUAAUCGGAAUUAUUACGACAGAGUCGCACCUUUCCAAACAUAAAUACCUUCGGAAUUUGACUCGGAUGUAACAACCAGCACAAAUGCCUUCGGGACUUAACCCGGUUAUAAUAACCCGCAUGAAUGCCUUCGGGACUUAACCCGGUUAUAAUAACCCGCACGAAUGCCUUCGGGACUUAACCCGGUUAUAGUAACCCGCACGAAUGCCUUCGGGACAUAACCCGGUUAUAUUUUUUUUCUAGCUCAUAGCCUGCGGACCUUUAGUCCGGAUAGAUUCUAUCAAUAUACAUAUCAUCAUUCGCAUUUCAACUCCAAAGUUAUACUCAAAUUCACAUGUUCAUAACACCAUUACAGCUUAACUCCAAAUGAUCCUCACUAUGAAUCGCAUACCCACAUUAAUUAAUGAACAAUUUUAUUCAAGUGCCAACCAAAAAUUUCGAUUCAUUUACCAUAUUCUUAUAGGCAUCUUUAAUUAUGUAUACUAGAAGAGCCUACUUAAAAACUUACCUCGGUAUAUUGAAACGGUUGUGGAUUGAUUACUCUAUUGCUUUCUCCUUUCCCCGAUCUAACUUUGAUCCCCCUUGCUCUUGAGCUUAAUGAAUACAAGUAGAAGUCUUCAAUAUUUUUACCAAUAAUGUUUACUUGUUAGUCACAUUCGGCAAUCACAUAUCAAACUCAUUUUACUCGUGUGGCCGAUUAUACUUGGUCAUACAUACACAUAAUCAAAAAUAAAUUCCAAAAUUUUCACAUCAUUUAUGUACUAAGCCGAAUUCACUUGCCAAGUUUAUAUACAUUCUUCAAUAAUUCCUUCUUUGAACAAACACAUAUUCGGCUAAAACAAUGAAAAUUUUAGCAGCUUUUAAUUUAACACCUAAUCAAUUAUAACACCUCUAAGCAUUCUUUUCAUUUUACCAACUCCAACCACAUGCAUUACUCAAGCAUAACAUUUUCAUAUUCGGCAAUAGUAUCAAACUUAGUAGCCGAUUCUUCCCACUUUGUAUCUAUGCACCUAUUUGAUCAUUAGUUUAGUUCAAACACCCAUACACCAAGAUUCAUCCAAUUUAACAUGAAACAAAAACCAAAAUCCUCAAUAGCUACUAUGGCCAAAAGUUCUAGUCUUCGCAAAAUCAAAAUUCCUAACAUGGGUUACCUAAAGAACUUGGUAACUAGUUCAAUUUUAUCUAAAAUUUCAAGAAUUAACAUGAAUUUCAUACCUUAAUGAAGACUUGAAAUGGCCGAAUGGCUCCUUUCCUCCCAACUCCCCUUCACUUUCGGCCUUUUGGAAUGAACAAGGUGAACACUUUGUUGUUUUCACCCACUUUCUAUAUUUUCUUUUCAUUAAUUCAUGAUAUUAUGCCAUUUAGCUAAUUAAAGUUAAUAGAAAAUUCAUAUUUUAUUAUAUAAUUUGUAGCAUGGCCGGCCACUACCUAUAGUUUGGCUAAUUUGACAUGCAAGUACAAGCACUUUCCAACAUAUAUUAAUAGGCCACUUUAGCAUUUGCCUAGCACAUUUCUAAAUUUUCUCAUACAAGUCCUAUUUAAUAAAUUUCACAUACGAUAUACAAAUUUAAGCAUGAAUUUUUUUCACACAUGCAUAUUCAUAUAUAAUAAGCAUCAAAUAUGAUUGUUAAUUAUUUUUAUGAGUCUGUUUCGUGGUCCCGAAACCACUUUCCGACUAGGGUCAAUUUAGGGCUGUCACAAUUCUCCCCCACUUAAGAAAUUUUCGUCCCCGAAAAUCUUACCGGUAAAUAGAUUUGGGUAUCGUUCUUUAAUAGAGUUCUCGGUUUCCCAAGUAGCUUCUUCGAUCCCGUGUUUGAGCCAUAACACCUUUACUAACGGAACCCUUUUGUUUCGCAACUCUUUCACCUCGCGAGCUAGGAUUAGAAUCGGUUCUUCUUCAUAACUCAAAUUAGGUUGAAUUUCAACCUCUGAUGGAUUAAUUCUGUGCGAUGGAUUGGAUCUAUAACGUCGAAGCCUCGAGAUAUGAAAAAUGUUGUGAAUCUUUUCAAGUUCAAGGGGUAGAAUCAAUCUGUAUGCGACUGGCCCAAUUUGUUCAGAUAUCUCAUACGGCCCGAUGAAUCUCGGACUCAAUUUGCCUUUACGGCCAAAUCUGAGCACCUUUUUCCAAGGUGAAACUUUAAGAAACACUUUGUCUCCGACCUGAUAUCCAAUGUCUUUUCGCUUUAAAUCUGCAUACGACUUCUGAUGAUCUGAAGCUGCCUUCAGACUUUCAUGGAUUACUUUUACUUUCUGCUCAUCAUCUUUAAUCAAAUCAACCCCGAAGAUUUUAUUUUUACUAAGCUCAGUCCAAAACAACGGUGUACGGCAUUUACGACCAUACAAAGCCUCGUAAGGUGCCAUCUUAAUGCUUGACUGAACACUAUUGCUGUAAGCGAAUUCAAUCAAGGAUGCAACAUCUCAACAUAUCCUCGAGUAUCUGAAUUAUCCGCUCGGAUUGACCAUCAGUCUGGGGAUGAAAAGCGGUGCUAAAAUGCAACUUGGUACCCAAAGCUUCUUGCAAUUUCUUCCAAAAUCGCAGGUGAACCUCGGAUCUCUAUCCGACACAAUAGAAAUAGGUACCCCGUGUAAUCUUACAAUCUGAGAAACAUACAAUUCAGCUAGUUUAUCCAGUGAAUAAUCCGUACGUAUGGGAAUAAAAUGAGUCGACUUAGUCAGUCUAUCAACAACAACCCAAAUCGCAUCUUUCUUACUUGCCGAAAAUGGCAACCCAGAUACAAAAUCCAUCGUGACUCGAUCCCAUUUCCAUUCAGGUAUCAUGAUCGGCUGAAGUAAACCUGUAGGCACUUGAUGUUCCGCUUUCACUUGUUGACAUAUUAAACACUUCAAAACAAAAUCGGAUAUGUCUCGUUUCAUACCAUGCCACCAAAACUGACGUCUCAGAUCGUUGUACAUUUUCGUACUCCCCGGGUGAAUUGACAUUCGGCUACAAUGAGCUUCGUUCAGAAUCAUCGAGAUAAGUUCUGAAUUUCUUGAAACACACAAAUGACUUCUGAACCUCAAACAAUCGUCAUCAUCAAUUUGAAACUCUGAUUCCAUAUUCGAAACACAUUCUGCCCGUUUUGCAACCAAUUCAUCAUCGACUUUCUGAGCUUCACGAAUUUGAUGAAUCAACAAUGGUUUGGCCUUUAAUUCUACUACUAACACAUUAUCGGAUAGAACAGACAAGUGUACAUUCAUCGCUCGUAAAGUAAACAGUGAUUUACGACUUAAAGCAUCCGCAACCACAUUAGCCUUUCCCGGGUGAUAGUCAAUGACAAGCUCAUAAUCUUUUAAAAACUCAAGCCAACGUCUUUGUCGCAGAUUCAAAUCUCUUGGAGUCAUCAAAUAUUUGAGACUUUUGUGAUCCGAAAAUACAUGGCACCUCUCACCAAACAAGUAAUGUCGCCAUAUUUUCAAAGCGAAUACGAUGGCAGCUAGUUCGAGAUCAUGGGUUGGAUAGUUUUUCUCAUGUGGCUUUAAUUGUCUCGACGCAUAAGCUACAAAUCGACCUUCUUGCAUCAAUACACAACCCAACCCAAGUAAGGAUGCAUCACUGUAAAUGAUAAACUCUUUGCCUGAUUCGGGCUGCAGUAGUACUGGAGCUUCAGUCAAAUAAGUUUUUAGUUGAUCGAAACUUUUCUGACAUUUUUCUGUCCAUUCAAACUUAACAUCUUUCUGAAGUAGUUUGUUAUUGGUGUGGCUAUCAUCGAGAAACCCUUUACAAACCGUCUAUAGUAACCGGCAAGUCCCAAAAAGCUCCGAACCUCAGUAAUAUUUCUCGGAGGCUUCCAAUCAAGUAUGGCUAAAAUUUUGCUCGGAUCAACUCGAAUACCCGAUGAAGAUACCACAUGACCCAAAAAGCUAACCUCUCUUAACUAGAACUCACACUUACUAAACUUAGCAUAUAACUGCUUAUCCCGUAAAAUCUGUAACACUAAUCCCAGGUGUUCAGCAUGAUCGGUUUCAUUUCUCGAAUAGAUCAAAAUAUCAUCGAUAAACACAACUACAAACCGAUCCAAAUACGGUCUGAAGAUCCGAUUCAUCAAAUCCAUAACUACCGCAGGGGCAUUAGUGAGCCCAAAUGGCAUCACUAAGAACUCGUAGUGACCAUAUCUCGUUCUGAAAGCAGUUUUGGGUAUAUCCGAAUCUCGAAUUCGCAACUGAUAAUAACCCGAUCUCAAAUCUAUCUUUGAAAAUACAGAGGCUCCCUUCAGUUGAUCGAACAAAUCAUUAAUACACGGUAACGGAUAUUUAUUCCUUAUUGUCAUUUUAUUCAGCUGACGAUAGUCAAUGCACAGUCUCAUGGUUCCGUCCUUCUUUUUCACAAAUAAUACUGGUGCACCCCAAGGUGAAAAACUCGGUCGAGCAAAACCUCUAUCCGUCAACUCUUGCAACUGAGUUUUCAAUUCUUUCAAUUCCGUUGGUGCCAUACGAUACGGAGCUAUCGAAAUCGGUGUAGUCCCAGGUACAAGUUCAAUGCCAAACUCUACCUCCCGAACAGGUGGUAACCCCGGUAAUUCUUCGGGAAAAACAUCUGAAUAUUCACAAACCACUGGUACCGAUUCAAGUUUCUUUUCUGAUUCUUUAUUAUGAAGUACGUAUGCAAGAUACACUUCAUACCCCUUUCUCACAUAUUUUUGAGCCAACAUCGAUGAUAUUAUUGCUGGUAAUCCGUUCCAAUUAGUAGACUCGACUCGGAUUAUCUCAUUAUUUGCACAUCUCAAAUCGAUGGUCUUACUUUUGUAAUUUACAAUUGCAUCAUGUACGGUCAACCAAUCCAUCCCGAGGAUAACAUCAAAUUCCUCAAACGGUAAAAGCAUCAAAUCGGCCGAAAAACAGGAACCUCGAAUUACUAGGGGACAUUUCUUACACACCUUAUCAACAAGCACAUAAUGACCCAAGGGAUUCGACACUCUAAUAACGAACUCAGUAGACUCAACAGGUAAAGUCUUACUGGAUGCUAAAGUCUCACAUAUAUAAGAAUGAGUAGAACCAGGGUCAAUCAAAGCAAUCACAUCAGUAUCAAAGAGAGUGACUGUACCGGUAAUAACAUCAGGCGAAGAAGCAUCCUCACGUGCACGUAUAGCAUAAGCUCUAGCAGGAGCACGAGCCUCAGAUCUGGUGGUAACAUCUCUAGAUCCUCUCUGACCGCCACUAGCAUUCCCCGCAUUUUUAGAUGGUCUACCUCGAGCAGUAGUAGCACCCGGUUUCCCACUCUGAUUUACAUUCUGUUCAGACAGUCUCGGGCAAUCCUUGAUAAAGUGGUCAGCUGAUCCGCACUUAUAACAGGAGCGGUCAUGGAAUCUACAACUCCCCGAAUGCCAUUUACUGCAAUACUGGCACUCCGUCCUGUCCCGACGAUCAUUUCCAACACUGGCAACUGAAGUGACUCGCGUACUUACAGGGGGUCGAUCACGAUCUCGUCUGGAAAAGCCCAAAGUGUCUUUAGAUCGGCCUGGAUCACUUUUAAAUUUCUUUGAUGAUUGUUGAAAGGGCUUUCCCGAAGACCUCUUACGAAAUUCUCUUACUUCCACUUCAGCUUUUCUUUUCUCCUUAUUGAGCUCUUCAGCUUUGCAAGCUCGUUCGACAAGUACUACAAAUUCUCUAAUUUCAAGAAUGCCAACAUACAGUUUUAUAUCUUCGUUCAACCCGUCCUCGAAGCGUUUACACAUGAUAGCCUCGGAUGAAACACAUUCCCGAGCGUAUCUAAUAAGUCUGACAAACUUUCGCUCAUAAUCAGUAACUAACAUAGAACCCUGCUUAAGCUUAAGAAAUUCUUUCCGUUUCUGAUCGAUGAAUCUUUGACUGAUAUAUUUCUUGCGGAACUCGGUUUGAAAGAAUUCCCAAGUAAUCCGUUCUCUCGGCACGACGGAAACCAAAGUAUUCCACCAAUAGUAGGCAGAAUCACGUAACAGAGAUAUAGCACAUUUUAAACAUUCAUCAGGUGUGCACGAUAAUUCAUCGAACACACGAACGGUAUUAUCAAGCCAAAACUCAGCCUGCUCAGCAUCAUCACUGUCAGUAGCCUUGAACUCAGUAGCCCCAUGCUUCCGAAUCCUAUCAACCAAGGGCUUGUUCAACCUCGACGGGUCAACUCCAGGAGAUAUUACAGGUGCAGGGUUUGUAUUAGUCGGGGGUGGGGGUUGUGGGACAGCCGUAUUAGUUCGAAUAUACUGAUUGAACCAAUCAUUCAUCACGCUAUAAAAAGCCUGCCUAGCUUCAUCAUUCUGAUUACUAGCAAUAGGUUGAGAGUCCACCGGCACCGUCUCAUGUGCGGGAGCAGGCGCUACACUCUCAACAUCAUCAGCUACCGCUCGGUUGGGAUCAGGAUCCAUUACUAUAAAUAAACACAUUUUUAACUGUCAGAAAUCACCACACUAUCAGAUAAACACAUAAUGGCAUGUAUAGCUAUUCCCCUACGUAUUACGGUAGUCCUAGAAUCGACUAAACCAUAGCUCUGAUACCAAUUAAAUGUAACACCCAGUACCCGAGACCAUUUCCGGAGUCGAACACGAGGUGCUACCGGACUUAAUUCCUUACUUAAACAGCUCAUACAAUUCAUUUUUAAAAUUUCUAGACGAGCUGGCUAACUGCAUCACAGUCACUCUAAAAAUCAUAUCUCCAGUUUCAAAACUCGAAAUCCAAUUCCGUAAAUUUUUCAUGAAACUAGACUCAUACAUAUAUUUACUAAUUUUUUUCUAGAAUUUUUGGUUGGGCCAAUUAGUACAGUUUAUUAGUUAAAGUCUCCCCUGUUUCAGGGUUCGACUACUCUGACCUUCAUGCAUUACGACUGACAUAUCUCCCUGUACAGGGCUUCAAUACUUAUUCCGUUUGUUUCUAAUGAAACUAGACUCAAAAAGGAAUCUGUAAAUAUAAAGCAUGACUUCUAAUUAUCUCUGGUUAAUUUAUGGUGAAUUUCCAAAGUCAGAAUAGGGGAUUCAGAAAUUGCUCUAGCCCUAUUUCACGAAAACUUAAACAUCUCAUAAAAUACGGCUCAUAUGGUCAUUUCGUUUCUUUCAUAUGAAAAUAGACUCAUCAAGAUUAGAUUACAUAAUUUAUUCAUUAUUUAAUUCCAUUUCUACUAUUUUUAGUGAUUUUUCAAACUCACAUCACUGCUGCUGUCAGCAUCUAUUUUAAGGUAAAUUUCACCUAUUUCAUAGUUUUCCAUGAAUCAACUAGUGAUUUGACAUACAUUAUUUCCAAGUAUAAUCACGAUUAGCCAUGACAUACGUAGCACCAAUAGGACCAUGAUUGGCCAUUCCAAUGGCUAAUCAUUACCAAACAUUUCCACACCACUUAAUAACCAUAUCAUAAGACCAUAUAUACAAAAUGAUCAUAAUGUUAUACUCAAAAUAUACAAGCCAUUUUCGCAUGGCUAUACGAAUAUACAUUACCAAAAGAUACUUAAUUAACAACAAGGGUCAGCCCUAUACAUGCCAUUAUCAAGUUCAACUGAAGAGUACCAAAAAGUCGCUUAGAUAGUGUGGAUGACUUCGACUUUGACACCUCCGAGUCCGAUAGCUGACGAACAAAAUCUAUAAUACAGAGAAUUUAAGCAACAGAGUAAGCGUUUCGAUGCUUAGUAAGUUUAUAAGUAAGGAACUCAUUUGAAACAAAAACACAAAAGAAAUAGCAUUCAUAAGGAUAAAUAAAUGCCUACGCACAAGAUCACGUAUUUGUUUUAAUUUACACUUUUAUCAAUAGGUUUAUACAUUCGAAGUCAAACUUAACUAAAUUUCAUUUGAUUCAAUUUCAUGUAGCUCGAGUGAGCUAUAGACUUCAUAUAAUCCUAAGAAAUGGCCGGAAGAGCAUUAUUCGAUUACGUAAUCACAACUGACACUGUACCAAAUUUUUCCAAUGUAUACACGAUCCAUACAUGGUCAUAUUAGGGAUUAUGAGCACAUUAAUCGGAAUUAUUACGACAGAGUCGCACCUUUCCAAACAUAAAUACCUUCGGAAUUUGACUCGGAUGUAACAACCAGCACAAAUGCCUUCGGGACUUAACCCGGUUAUAAUAACCCGCACGAAUGCCUUCGAGACUUAACCCGGUUAUAAUAACCCGCACGAAUACCUUUGGGACUUAACCCGGUUAUAAUAACCCGCACGAAUGCCUUCGGGACUUAACCCGGUUAUAAUAACCCGCACGAAUGCCUUCGGGACUUAACCCGGUUAUAGUAACCUGCACGAAUGCCUUCGGGACAUAACCCGGUUAUAUUUUUUUUUUCCAGCUCAUAGCCUGCGGACCUUUAGUCCGGAUAGAUUCUAUCAAUAUACAUAUCAUCAUUCGCAUUUCAACUCCAAAGUUAUACUCAAAUUCACAUGUUCAUAACACCAUUACAGCUUAACUCCAAAUGAUCCUCACUAUGAAUCGCAUACCCACAUUAAUUAAUGAACAAUUUUAUUCAAGUGCCAACCAAAAAUUUCGAUUCAUUUACCAUAUUCUUAUAGGCAUCUUUAAUUAUGUAUACUAGAAGAGCCUACUUAAAAACUUACCUCGGUAUAUUGAAACGGUUGUGGAUUGAUUACUCUAUUGCUUUCUCCUUUCCCCGAUCUAACUUUGAUCCCCCUUGCUCUUGAGCUUAAUGAAUACAAGUAGAAGUAUUCAAUAUAUUUACCAAUAAUGUUUACUUGUUAGUCACAUUCGGCAAUCACAUAUCAAACUCAUUUUACUUGUGUGGCCGAUUAUACUUGGUCAUACAUACACAUAAUCAAAAAUAAAUUCCAAAAUUUUCACAUCAUUUAUGUACUAAGCCGCACUUGCCAAGUUCAUAUACAUUCUUCAAUAAUUCCUUCUUUGAACAAACACUUAUUCGGCUAAAACAAUGAAAAUUUUAGCAGCUUUUAAUUUAACACCUAAUCAAUUAUAACACCUCUAAGCAUUCUUUUCAUUUUACCAACUCCAACCACAUGCAUUACUCAAGCAUAACAUUUUCAUAUUCGGCAAUCGUAUCAAACUUAGUAGCCGAUUCUUCCCACUUUGUAUCUAUGCACCUAUUUGAUCAUUAGUUUAGUUCAAACACCCAUACACCAAGAUUCAUCCAAUUUAACAUGAAAAAAACCUAAAUCCUCAAUAGCUACUAUGGCCGAAAGUUCUAGUCUUCCCAAAAUCAAAAUUCCUAACAUGGGUUACCUAAAGAACUUGGUAACUAGUUCAAUUUUAUCUAAAAUUUCAAGAAUUAACAUGAAUUUCAUACCUUAAUAAAGACUUGAAAUGGCCGAAUGGCUCCUUUCCUCCCUACUCCCCUUCACUUUCGGCCUUUUGGAAUGAACAAGGUGAACACUUUGCUGUUUUCACCCACUUUCUAUAUUUUCUUUUCAUUAAUUCAUGAUAUUAUGCCAUUUAGCUAAUUAAAGUUAAUAGAAAAUUCAUAUUUUAUUAUAUAAUUUGUAGCAUGGCCGGCCACUACCUAUAGUUUGGCUAAUUUGACAUGCAAGUACAAGCACUUUCCAACAUAUAUUAAUAGGCCACUUUAGCAUUUGCCGAGCACAUUUCUAAAUUUUCUCAACAAGUCCUAUUUAAUAAAUUUCACAUACGAUAUACAAAUUUAAGCAUGAAUUUUUUUCACACAUGCAUAUUCAUAUAGAAUAAGCAUCAAAUAUGACUGUUAAUUAUUUUUAUGACUCGGUUUCGUGGUCUCGAAACCACUUUCCGACUAGGGUCAAUUUAGGGCUGUCACAGGGGAUGUACACAUUGAGUUUGCGAAAACUCACCCCUUUAUUUGUUUAUCUGUUCAGGUAAUCCUCAGCAGUAGGUGGAUCGGUGCAGUAGAGAACUCGAUGGUGACCAUGACCACAUACGUUUUGGCUUAUGAACUUUCUGCCUUUACUUAUUCAUUAUUAUUUUGGGAAUUUUGAUGUAAUUUUGGACUGGGACUUCUGGUUUUAAUUUGGGUUUUUGAGCUGUAAACCUGGAUUAUGAACUGCAACGUCAAAUUAUGGUUUUCUUUAAAUAAACUAAGAGUUUUCGUAAAUAGAAACGGUUUCUCAAAAUAAUAAUAAUAAAUGGGUUUCAAAAGCUUCUGCAAUAAAGAAACGUUUUCAAAACAAUUCUACUAUUACACGUUUUUUGACUAAGUAAAAGAUAACAUUCGGCCAUAACGUCCAGGCCAAGUUUGGGGUGUUACAUGUUGCUUAUUUAGAAACCAAGUCAGUAGCUUCACACGGCUUAGCACACCAGCGUUUGGCUUGGCUGUGUGGCACAAGUCAGUAUACCCUUAAGUUUUCACACAGCCUAGCACACAGCCUGACACACGAAUGUGUGAGACCAUUUCGAUUGGUACACGGCCUGGCAAAUAGGUGUGUGGUCUGGCCGUGUAACCCAAGUCAGUGAGUUGCACGGGGUUGGGCACGGAUUGGGACAUGGCCAUAUGAUCCUAUUUUGAAUGUCCACACGGCCUGUGACACGGGCAUGUUUCUUGGCCAUGUGUCCCCUGUACUUUGAAAAUUUUUCAUGUUUUUUUAAAAAUCUCUUAAGUACUCGAUUUAGUCCCGAACCACUUCUAAUGCUUGUUUUAGGCCUUGAGGGCUCGUGUUAGGGACUAUAUGAUUGAAUUUGAAUGACUUUUGUUUGGAUUUGAGAAAUGAACAUGAAAUGUAUGAUAGUUUAAGUGAUAAGUUCAUUAAUGCUCCGUAACCUUAUUCCGGCGUCAGACAAGGGUUAGAGGUGUUACAUCCACCUUUACUAGCACAUAUUCGACCACCACUUUUGGAAAACAAAGAGUUAUGUCUUCCAUUUGUAACGUGACUAAAGUAGACAUGAUAUCUCUCAAACCCAAUUUUUGAGCUAUAGAGAAUAUCAUCAAAUUAAUACUUGCUCCUAAAUCACAAAUUGCUUUUAUAAAAGUAUGCAAGUUGGUGGCACAGGGAAUCGUGAAACUUCUAGAAUCCUUCAACAUAGGAGAAAGCUUCCUUUGAAUUAUGGAACUGCACUCCUUAGUAAGUGUUAUAUUCUCAUAGUUGCCUAACUGUCUUUUCUUAGACAAAAUGUCUUAUAUCUAUUUCACAUAGCUAAGUGUAUGUUCUAAAGCUUCAGCAAAAGGAAUAUUAAUGGAAAGCUUUUUAAAUACCUCAAGAAAUUUUUGGAACUGCUUAUCCAACUUAUUCCUUUGCAAUCUUCAUGGGAAUGGUAGAGGAGGAUAUUCUGAUUUAAUCACCUCAGUUGAUGGCUUCUUUGCUUUUGUAUCAUGGUGGACUUGUUCUUUAGGGCUUUCAUCAAGUCGACUGAAUUCUGUAAUAAGUGGAAUAGGCAAUUGGCUUUUAAUUCAUCUGAACUGACAGAUAAACACUAGGUAUCUCCUUACCACUUCUAAAAGCGAUCGCCUUGCAAUUCUUAUCCGUAUUAUUAACAUUAGGAGGAGGAUGAGUAUCUAAUGGUAAUGCUCCUUGAGACCUAAUAUGAAUAGCUUGAGCUAACUGACCCAUUUGAGUUUCCAAAGCCUUCAUCCUAACAUUAGAUACCUGUAUGAAUUGCUGAAGUAGCUAAUUGACUUCUUCUCCACUGCCUGUAAUUGUUAAGGGUGCGGCCUUUGAAACUAAUUUUAAGAAAAAACUCUGGCCUAACUUAUGAAAAACUACUUUGAUUAUUUCCUUAAGAAAAGUUGGGAUAUGACAUAAAAUUAAUUGUUAAACAUUUAAUUGUUUUCAUUACUAAACUUUAAUCAAUUAAUUACUCAACAAUUAAUAAAUCAUUACACAUACUUAAUCAAGUUACCUAAUCGUAACAUAUUUACCUCAUGGAUGUCACUUUUAUUAAUCAUGUCUAUAAAAACUCUCUAAGUUUUAGAAAAUAGUCCUUGUACUUUAAAUUCAACAAUUUUUAGAAAUCAACCCCUAAAUAUUCAAAAUUACAAUUUAAUCUUUAUAAUUUGAAAUUUUCAGUUUAGCCAUUUAAUCCUUAUUCUGAAUUAUAUAAUCCUUAUUUAAUCUUAAAAAUCAAUCCUUAUUAAAAUUUUACAAUUUAAUCAUUAUUUCAAUUCUUGUUAAAUUAAGUACUUUAUUCCAUUCAUAUACAAAUUAUAAAUAAAUCAAUGUACAUAAUCAAUCAUAUUAUCAAAGCAUUCUUUGUCAUCAAUUUCAUUUUUGUUAACUUUCAAUCUAUUUAAUCCUUUUUUUUUUCACUUUCUUUGUUCCAUCUCACUUAUAUCCAUUAAUCCACCACAAAUUCUCAUUCAAAACUUAAUCCCCACAAAUUUAAUAGCAACAUAACAUUCCAAUAUACAUAAUAAAAUAUAAACCAUCUUCAAAUAAUAAUAUACCUACUUAAUUUCACAUGAACUUAUUUAACAAUUUUAUACUCUUAUUUAAUUUCAUUAAUUCACUCUUAUAAAUUCUUUCACCAUUCAUUUAAUAUAUAUAUAAUAUAUAAUAUUCUCAACAAUAUAAACAUAUAAAUUAUACUUACAAACUAAUCCAAUACAUGUAACAAUUCUUUUAUUCAAACUCAUCCAAAAUAAAUUAUACUACUUACAUAAAUCUUUAUUAGAAAAAUUACUAAAAUACCCUUUAAAAUAUCUUUUAUUUUAACCAUAAAGAUAAAAUUGUCAUUUUACCUUUUUGUAUCACUUAAAUUGUUGACACAUAGCAUGCUUAGGUGUUCUAAUGUAAUAAUUAGUUAUGUAGAUAUAAUUUAUUCAUGGUUAAUUGCAAUUUAGUUUUUUUUUUUUACUUAAUGGAAAAAAUUGCACUUUAAUCUCUCUAACUUCUUCUCUAUUUGGAUUUAUUCUAAACUAUGAUUUUUCAAUUCUAAAUGGUAUUUUUACAUAAAAAAUUAAUUGUUUUUCCACCAUUUUUCUUUCAUGAUCAAAUUACAUUUUAAUCCUUAUACUUUUAUUAAAUUCAUUUUAGUCAUUACAAAUAAUUCACUUUUCAUAAUUUUCAUUGAACUCUACAAUUUUUUUUUCAAUUAAUAAUCCUCAAAAUUUGUUAUUUAUUUGCUUGAAAUAAUAUUAUUAUUGCACCAAAACUUUUUAGGUGGUACAGUUUGUGGUAUACCCAAUAACUGGCUUUGUAAUACAACCGUUUAUGAAGACAUUUGAUUGUAUAAAGUAUACGACUCUCGACGUUGGAACUAUGAUGACCUCAAGUUUAAAGAUCAUACCUACCAUUAUCACCAUGAAAUUGCCGCGACUAUUAUAUAAUAAUCCAAAAAAAUAUUCUCAUAGUGGGUCAGUCUAAUACAAUGUUCUUCUAACAUGUAUUCAUGUGUUGAUUUGAUAUCUCAUAUCCAUGACAACAUCUUGUAAUCAAUCAACUACACAGUACUCUUAAUGCAUUAUUUUUGUCCAAGCCUAUAAUAAUAUUUAAUUAAGGACAUCUAAGAGUAAUCAUAUUAUUCUCACAAUAUUAUUAUUAAUAAGUUUAUUUAAAAUACAUAAAUAGAGACUCAAAUAAAUAAUGACGAUAUCCUUAUUAAUAAACUAGAUAAAUAUGUAUGUCAUUACAAUGAUCUCAUUAUUGAUUUUGGGAAAUACUGCAAUACAAAUUCCCUAAGCUAUUGUGACUUCUUUCUCUCUUAGCUUCAAUGGAUGGCUGAAGAUUAACCUUAUUGCAACAACAAGCUAAAGGCGUAGCCAGGGGGCUGGCAGGGCUCUGGCCCCCUCUAAAAUGGAAAACUUUCCAUUUAAGCCCUUUUAAAAUUUAUAAAAAUUUAAAUUAGUAAAGGCAAAAUUACACUUUGUCCCUCUAAAAUGAUAAAAAAUUAAUUUAAUCCUUUAAUAUUAUAAAGAUAUAGAUAUUAAAAUGGUGAAAUUGCAUUUUUACUAUCAUAAAAAUAUACAAUUUAAUUUUGGCCCCCUUAAAAAAAAUUUCUGGCUUCACCCCUACCUCAAACUCGAUGAAUAUUCCAUGGUUCGUAAUCUUCUUUUAUCUUCUAAGACAACUUUGGCUUUAUAGAAAUUCUAAGUUCUUUAACUAUCCCUUUUUGUCAAGACUCUAUUAUUCCAAAAGUUGCUUCCCAUACAAGGGAAUUUUUGCAUUCUAGUAACAUUAAACAAUGCAUUUGCCCCCCAUUUAUUAAAGUCAAAUGGAAACCCUCUUCUUUGGGUAGGUAUGAACUUAAUUAUCACUGUUCUUCGAUUAGAAACCCAGAGUUGACGGCAUUGGAGCUAUCAUUCAGGAUUGCAGUGGAGGCUAAGUAUCAAGUUCCCAUCGCUUUUUAUGCACAAUAACUAACAUGUUUGCCAAGUUAUGGGCCCUUUGUGACAAUUUUUGCAUUGCAAAACAACUUAGCAUUUCAAACCUUAUUGUUGAUGUUGAUGUUACUUUUGUUAUAAGUCGUAUUAAGAAUUCUCAUGAGAAAAAUCCAUUGCUCAAUCCUAUUGUGGUUUAUUGUAAGACUAUACUAAACGAAUUCCACCAAUUUGGGUUAUCCACGUCUUCAAAGAAAUGAACCAGUGUGUUGAUGCCUUUGCUAGAAGAGGUUUUAGUCUUCGUUUUGAUUUAUCUUUGGAUGACUGUAAUGUGACAAGUAGCUACGAUUAGUAUACAUGGUUGGCUUUAUGGCCUCCCUUGUUGUUUUUUAUGCAACAAGACUACCAUUGUAUCAAGAAAUUAUUAAGUAAGCCCUUCUUACCAUAUCAUCCAUAUAGAAAUAUGUUUAUAACUUCUUCGUCUGAACUUACCCCAGUCUAAAGUAGCUAAGUUUGGAAGUAAAAUUAAUCAUUAUUGGUACAUAAGUUUUUCUAGAACAAAAUGAGCCACUUCAAAUAGGUUUAUUGCUCCGUCCCAGAAUAUGAUUAAUCCGGCAUGGGCUACAUGAGCCCCCAAUAGAUUACUAGAUAAAUUGAUAAGUCAGGCAUUCCCAGCCCACCAAGUGAAAUUGGCGGUUUCUUGAUCACAAUCGGCUAAAGCUAAAGUUCCAUUAAAAAGCAUUUUUACAGGGUAGAACCUCCUCAGGCGAAAAUAUUAUUGAAAUCAUAGAUCAUAUAAUAAAAAUGAUCUACCUAAUAAUUUUAUUUAAGAUUGAUUUUCAUUUUAAUUAUAUUAAGUGGCUUUUUGUUUAAAAAAUAUCAUUAAUAAAAUAUUUUGGUUUGAAUGAGAUUAAAUAAAUUAAAGUAAUAAAUUCAUAUAUUUUGAAUAAUUAAAAUACUUUUUCGUUUUUAUGUCAUUCCCUUGCAAAAUAAAUAAAAUAGCUUAACGAACCCCUCCAAUCGGCACCCAAAUAUGGAAUUGAAGCUUAUCCUUCGCUUCCAAUGGGCAAAUUUUAAGGUGAGCACAGAUUAGAGACACGAUUCACCAGCUGAGCUUAUGAAUGGCUACACCCUACAUGCCCUAUUCCUGAUUUCUAACCACUAAUCUGAUGUCACCUCUUAUACUACCUUUGUUCCGAUUCGCAUAUUAUAAUUUAUACUCUCAAUCUUGCUGCAUGAAAUUUCCCAAACUAGCUUCUUAAUAUCAGCCUUUUUUUUAUGGAGUUUGUAUAUGUUAUAAAAAAAUAUUAUAAUAAUUAAUCACAUUUAUAAUAUGAUGAUUGUUCAUUUCAAAAUAGCACUUUCAUUUAUAAAGUUAACUUUUAAACAAUUUUCAAGCUUCUAGAAAUUUUUUCAUUGAAAAUAUCUUAUGAAAUUAGGUGUGUAGUUAAAAAUAAGAUUAAAUAAGUAAAAACCCAAUCAAAACACCACAAUUGGUCGCCCACUUUAGAAAUGUGACAAAAAUAUAAAUACUGGGAUUUUUUUUUUGGGGGGGGGGGGGGGGGAGGGGGUGUUGUACAUUAGUGGAAAGUGUUGGGCACAUGGAAUGGAACAUGACCAUCUCCCACAAACGCCAACAUAAUCCAUUAUCUUAAUCUCUGCUUUCUCCACUGACACUCAGACGACCAAAAACUACCCAAAGUAGCUGCCUGCCUUAUUCCCAAUGGAAGCAGCCGUUUCAUCUCUGCACCUUUCCUCACCUGCCAUUCAUGGAAGUUUACGAACCAGUGAUUUCAUGUUUUUGGGUGUCUCAAAACCUCCUUCAUUUCUCAACCCAAAACUAAAAGCCUUUGCUGCCAUCAGGUAAGUUGAAAGGUGCAAAGUAGGUGGUGGGUACUUCCUUUUUUCAAAUAUUUUCUUGUAAGUGGAGUUUAGGAGUGAGAACGGUUCGGAUUUGGAUUUGUUUUAUUGAUCGUAUUUUGAUUGAAUUUCUUUUUGCAGAUGUCAAUCCACAAGUACCAAAGAACCUAAAGCUAAAAGGAAUCUCUUGGAUAAUUUAAGCAACCUUCUUACCAAUUUCCUAAGUGGAGGAAGUCUUGGUUCUAUGCCUGUUGCUGAAGGUGCUGUUUCUGAUUUGUUUGGUCGACCUCUCUUCUUCUCUUUAUAUGAUUGGUUCUUAGAGGUACUGUACUUCAUUUACUCUUUUUUAUUUUUUUCAAGUUUUUAAUAUAGGUACCAUUAAUGAUUUGAUACUAUGUUGAAUUUAUUGUGAUGUGAUCACCUCUGCUUCUUCUGGUUCUGCCCCCAUGCAUGCAUUUUCUAAUGUUUUAUAUAAUUGGAAGUUGGCAGAGGUUCAAUUGAACUUUUGAGCUGCCAAUAGUUUUGUUUUUCUUACUACAACUGAUGGCCUAUUGGAAUUUGACACAAAGGUGACUUCUACUAUCCCAUAAGCUAGACCUGGCAAUUCAUUCUGUUUCUGAGUGCUUUCUUGUGUCAUAAUUGUGUUUUAAGUUAUUUUAUAUUUAUAUAAGUUUUGACAAGUUAAUAAUUUCCUGUCAUAAAGGUUUUGGCAUGUUUGUUUGUUAGUGUGUGUUCGUGUUUAUUUCUCCAUGUCGUGUUUGUAUUAUGUUUUUAGUUUUUUUUCCAUAUCAUGUAAUCGUAUUCUGUCCAAUAUUAACAUAGCUAACAUAAGCCCCCGUCCCAAGAUUUGGAUAUGAGAAUUUGAUUGGAAAUCUCAUGUCUUAAAUGUUGGAUUGUCCGGAAAAUUUUAGUUGCUAAUACAUAUGUGAAUCAUAACAGUUAUUAUGCUGUGUAACCUUGUGGCUCAAUUUUAUUUUCCCAUUGUCAUGAACUAUAGUCCUUUUAUUGCUUAUCGUUCUUGAUGAUCUGAGGUUUCUGAUUUUUACUUUUGUUUAAUAUCUUAAUUGAUGUGGCAGCAUGGCUCGGUGUAUAAACUUGCUUUUGGACCAAAAGCUUUUGUUGUUGUAUCAGAUCCUAUUGUUGUCAAGCAUAUUCUUCGCGAAAAUGCGUUUUCCUUUGACAAGGUACCAAUUUUUACAUCUUGGUAAUUGAUUUCCUUGCCCUUCAAAAACUUUAAUCUGUUAUUUCCUGUUUGACCCUAACUGUAUCAUGUUAAGACAUUUUUAUAUGCUAACGUGGCAUAAAAAAAGUUUCUGUUUCCUUUGUGUUUUCACUAGAAACCUAUGCAUCAAAAGACUGAGUUCUGUUUUCUUAUUCUAUAGUUGAUUAUCAACUAUGAUUUUAGAUGCAGACUAAUGAAAUGGACUUUGUAGCACCUCAUCUAAAUGAGGCCUUUACAUGAUUUGUUUUCUGCCACAUUUUCCUGUUGAAUACUGUUACAAACUCUUUGACAUUGAAAGAUAAAUAAAUAUAAUCAGUGAGGUUUCUAAUAAUCAAAUACAAUGAGCCAAGCAAUUGCUUAGCUUGUCAUCCACCAUGUUUCUUUUUCUUGAUUAAAAGUUUGAAUCCAUUUACCAAAAUUUCGAUAUUUACCUAGGGAGUUCUUGCUGAUAUACUAGAACCGAUAAUGGGGAAAGGACUUAUACCUGCCGACCUGGACACAUGGAAACAAAGGAGAAGAGGUAUGAAAUUUAUGUUAUUUGCUGUUGAAGUUUAUCUGCAUAUAAUGGGAACAAAAGGCACUUCUUUUGUUCUCUGACUGAUAGUUAUCUUUAGCAUUUAUGAUUUUUUUUUAUUUGCUUUUAUUGCUUUAUUUUAAGCACACACUUCUGAUCUUGAAACUAUAUACCCAGAGGCUCAAAUUUAGGGAACUUAAAGUAAAAAACCAACACUUGCUCCUUUCAGACUGACUCGGUAAUACAAAUUUGAUUGGUUCAGAAUAUGUAUACACAUACACGUGCAUGCAUGCAUGCAUGCAUACAUAUAUAUGUACAUACUGCAAUUUCAUCAACUUUAUUAUGAACUUCAUUUUCCAGGUUCCUUCUUUAACAUUUUAAUAAAUCAUUAGAUUUGCCAUUCUCUUGAUGCUCAUUGUGAAUUUGAGGUAUUUUUUUGUGAAUGUCUAUAUGUUUCUCUUUUAAUGCAUCACAUGUUUUGUUCCAUCAUAUUUGGUCAACAUGCAUAUCUGCUCAAAAUCCUUUCUUUUCGAUGAUGACAAAAGCUAUACAUGUUUCAAGUGUUUGUGUGAUUGUUUAUCCUACUUCCACCGCUCUUAUUGGCUUUGAAUUUUGCAUAAAGAUGGAUUAAAAUAUUUCCUAGAAGAUAUCAAGAUUUUAGAAAUGGAAGAAAAUUUUCUAAAGGAUUUUGAGAGAAUUGAGUAGAGUGGCCUUAGAGUGUCUCAUCUGGUAUAUAUAUAAGAGAGAAAAGAAAGGGGUAAGUUCCAUAAACAUGGCAUUCAUUCGAGUAGACUAGUCUGAGAGCAUGAUUUGUAUUGUCAACACCUAAUAUCUGGACCUAUUAAACUUGAGCUAAAGAUAAUAUUCUAAUUUUAUUCUAAACUAUUGUAGUCUCUGGAGAUAUUCAUGGCUUUCAAAAUUUAUGAUUAUCGUUUCUAUUGAGGUGAAAAAAAAAUUCUUACCAGUAAUAUUUUUGGUAAUGUUUAAUUUGUUUUAAAAAUAUGCAGUUAUUGCUCCUGGGUUCCAUGCACUAUACUUGGAAGCUAUGGUCAAAGUAUUCACUGAUUGUUCUGGACGAACAGCCGAAAAAUUUGAAAAGCUUUUAGAUGGAGAACGUUCACGUGGAGGAGAUGCAAUUGAGUUAGACCUUGAAGCAGAAUUUUCAAGCUUAGCUCUGGAUAUUAUUGGACUCGGUGUCUUCAACUAUGAUUUUGGUUCUGUUACAAAAGAAUCUCCUGUAAUUCAGGUCCGACAAUACUUUCUGGAAAUCUUCAAUUCUGUUGCAUUUAUCCCUUGCGGAGCACCUCAGCAUGGUACUCUAUUUCUUUUAAUUAAUGGUUUACCGGUAGCCGAAACUAAAAUGUUUUCUAUCCUAUUUGUCACAUUUAUAUUUUCCAGUGAUGUAGUUGGCAAGCCUUAUUAGCUAAUAUUCUUUGCUAUGCCUGUGCCAUACCUGUGCCUGCAACUAAAUUCAAAUAGUCAUGUGAAGGACCAUGAAAUCAUUCUUAUCAUCAUGAAUUGCUCAAAUUUAGCUGCUUCCUCAACCCUCUCUAUGUAUGGCAAAUUUUUAUACUGCAAAUUUCCCAUCAGAACCAGAUGAGCAAAAUUGAGAUUUUCUUGUUACUAUCCUGUCCCAUGUGAAUUACAACUUAUAGUUUAUAUGUUCUUUCCUGGAUCCUUCACCUUAACACAUCCAUUACAGGCCUGAGAAAGGAGGUUGAUGGCAUAGCUGGGUGUACAGUUUCUGAAUGUUUGUGGCAUUGUGGACUGAGGUGCUAAUUAGGACUAGGAAACUACAAAAAAGUUUCAACUAAACUUUUGAGACAAUGGCUAAAUUAUGAAUUUAUAAAAAUAAGGAUUUUGCUGAAGAUGGGGGAAAUAUUACUUGAUGUUGGUUAACUCUGAAGUGAGGCUUUGUUGAGUAGAGUCCUGCUCAUUUGUGAUUCAGUCCUGUAAUCUGUUCUUUAACUUGCGUUACUUUUUGCUAUAGAUAAUGACUGAACCUAUAAUUUAGUAGAGAGAAGGAAAGAUCAAUAAUCAGAAAAUGCAAGGGCAGAGAGGAUUUAAAAUGCCCUAAUCCUAAGUGUGGAUAUGAUACUGUUUGAGACAUUAAGGUACAAAUUUGUCCGUAAACAGUCUCUUUCUGGCAAAGGAACUCCCCAACAAUGCAAAAUAUUUCAAGCAAUUUUUUCCCUUUGGCUGGAUCAAAAGAGUAAUUUCUCCAUUUUAAUGUCUAAUAGUUAACCAUUGCUGUGAUAAACAGAAGUUUGCAACAAAAAGAUCUUUGAAGUUUUUCUGAUUGAAUAAUUCUUUAUUUAGGUAUUAAGCUUAAACUUUACUAUAACCUCGAAUGUGCUGGUUACAUUGCAUGAUAUCAUUAUGGUUUGAGCCACAGUUAAGGUCUAGUUUCCUACUCACCUUUCUGAACAACAUUGCAGGCAGUGUAUGGUACUCUCUUUGAAGCUGAGCAUAGAUCUACCUUUUACAUCCCAUACUGGAAAAUUCCUCUGGCAAGGUGGGUGGUACCUAGACAACGGAAGUUCCACUAUGACCUUAAGAUCAUCAAUGACUGCCUUGAUGGACUCAUCAGAAAUGCAAAAGAUAGCAGACAGGUUUGGCUUUAAUCCAUAAAGGAGUGUCACUCUCACUCUCACUCUCAAUCACACUUAUUUGUUUUAAGAAUCCCGAUCCCCCUCCCCAAACUUCAUUUUUGUUUAGUUUUGUAUUCUUUAUUGUUUUUUUACUGAUAACCAUGUUUUUUUCUGUUUAUGUUUUUUUACUGAAAACCAUUGUUCGGAGAAUGCAAUGAAAGUUGUUUAAUCUUUCUAGGAUUUCCAAUAUAAACUAAAUGUCGAAUAUUGCUAAUGCUUGAUGGCAGGAAGCCGAUGUUGAAAAGCUGCAGCAAAGGGACUACUUGAAUAUUAAGGUGCAGUUACAUCCUCAUUGAAGUGUCCUUCAACUAAAUGUUUCCUGUUCCUUCUAUAGAUGGGCGGUCAUAUGUUUUAGAGACCCUUUUGAAAUGUAGAUAUCGUAACUAUAAUGACUUCAGGAUGCAAGUGUUUUGCGUUUUUUGGUGGACAUGAGGGGAGCUGAUGUUGAUGAUCGUCAGGUAAUUAUCCCUCGCUGAUUUGUAUUUCAAGAAAUAGGAUUAACUCAAUAUCAUAUGUUUUCUCUUCUUGUUGAUGUUAUUUUGGGCAGCAUAAAUACGUCUUCUGAUUCAAUGUAGGUGUAGAAAUAUUAUUUGGCUGGUUCAAACUGCCACUAAACAAUAAAUCUUUUGACAUUUCUGAAUAAUGCACGAAAUUGGUAUUUAGCUUUGAGCUUUAUUCAACCCUGUGGCCUUUUUUUUUAACAGCUGAGAGAUGAUCUAAUGACGAUGCUUAUUGCUGGCCAUGAAACAACUGCAGCUGUUCUUACUUGGGCUGUUUUCCUUCUUGCACAAGUAUGAUUCCUAGUACCAACUUUUGGACAAUAUAUAUCACUAUUUUUAGCCAUACUUAUGUGUGGUAUUUUGGUGAAAAUGCAGAACCCAUCUAAAAUUAGAAAAGCUCAAGCGGAGGUCGAUUCAGUUCUCGGCCAAGAGAGACCAACUUUUGAAUCAAUUAAAAAGUUAGAGUAAGUCUCCACGUCACCGCUUUGAUUAAAACUUCCUGCUCCUCGUUCUAUGCUAUGAUUAGCUUCUAAAAGUCCACUAGUGCAGCCUGUGACAUGAUAAGUAGCAUGCUGAAAGGGGCUAACGCAUGUUAUAUGUAAUUAUGACGGACAUUAUUAUUAAAAUAUUAUUAUUGGUUUUAGUGGUCAAAUUGUACUCUCUCCUUUUUUUUUCUUUUUUGCCUUUGAUGCCCAAAGUUGAGUAAGCUUCAAUAUAUGUUAACAAAAUACCAUGCAGUCUUAAGUUGACACUAAUGUUUCACAAAUAAGAUGUCUAUUAUUUGUUCCCUAUUACUUUCACACAAAGCCAAUCAUUUCCAUUUGAUCGGUUACAGGUAUAUUGGAUCUUUUCAAAGUAUAAUGUUAUUUUGGAUUCUGCCGUUACCUUUAGGUACAUAAGACUUAUUGUCGUAGAGUCUCUUCGUUUAUAUCCUCAACCUCCAUUGCUUAUCAGACGUGCACUUGAAGAAGUUGUAUUACCAGGUAUAUCUCAUAUAGACUCUCUCUCACGGGUUUCAGACUCUUGGAUUUGGUUUUAACAAGCAACAUAUUGUUGGAGAUUGAUGUCAUUCUUUGGAGCUGAUAUAUUUAGCAUGUGCAGUUAUUGCUUGAAGUUGUUAGCAUAUAGGUCAUUUAUGUAGUAGAAGGCGAUUAUAAGGUGAACAUUCACGAAUUAAAGAGCUGAAAAAGAUUAAUGGAAGGAAAAUAAGAGAGUUGGAAAUAACUGAAAUUUAUGAUCAUGUGACUAUAUGAGGAAGGUUACAUGGUGAUCUAGGGAAAGUAAGAUGAAAGCAUAUGAAAUUUUUAAAUGAUUAAAAAAAAGAAAAGAGAAGCCAUUUGCUGCAACAUAUAUCAGUGGUUUCAAAUUGGGCGUAAAUGGAUUCCUUAAUUUUGGGCUUAAAAGCUAAGGUUUUUAUUGACAGGUGGUUACAAAGGUGACAAAGAUGGCUACACCAUUCCUGCAGGGACUGACAUCUUCAUUUCUGUGAGUUAAACCAGUAUUUGCUUCUUCAUAAACCCUUUCAGAAAGUUUCUUGUUCUGAGUCCUAUUGGCGUUUCCAUUGACAUCAUCUUUCAAAACAUAAUUCUUUCAGGUAUAUAAUCUUCAUAGAUCUCCAUAUUUUUGGGACCAGCCCCAUGAUUUUGUUCCAGAGAGGUUUCAGGUACAAAAGGAGAGUGAAGGCAUUGAAGGAUGGGCUGGUUUUGACCCUUCUCGGAGCCCCGGAGCAUUAUAUCCUAAUGAGGUUUAUCAUCAUAAACUCAAUGUUUCAAUCAAACCACACCAUGCUCAAAAUUCAUGUUUCUUAUAUGCAUGUUUGUUAUUAUUUUCAACUGCCAGAUUAUAUCUGAUUUUGCUUUCUUACCCUUCGGCGGGGGACCGAGAAAGUGCGUGGGAGAUCAAUUUGCACUCAUGGAGUCAACUGUGGCAUUAGCCAUGUUGUUGCAAAAGUUUGAUGUGGAACUAAGAGGAUCUCCUGAAUCCGUGGAGCUAGUUACAGGAGCAACAAUUCACACCAAGAAUGGAUUGUGGUGCAAGCUAAAGAGGAGGUCUAAUGGCCAUUGAUAUUUGUUCUUCACCUUUGUAUCUAAACUUAGAGAAAGUGUACAACGUAUUUUUGGACUUACUGAAAAGGAAAUUAAAUAUAUGGGUUUACUCUACAAAUGGUAGAGAUUGAUUCAGAUUGCUGGAAAAGGAAAAAGAGAAAAAGAAGAAAGAUUAUAGGAUUAUUGGCAAAAUAUCAUACAUACAUGUUUUCCCUCUGACCAUUCACUUGCAUGAAAAUCAGAGGUAAUGCAAAGGCGGAAUGUUGUUAGAAGUGUUCAUGUACAUCAUAUAUAUAUAUAUAAUAUGAGUUUUAAGUAUGUUAAAUUCAAUAUUAAGAAAAAAGUUAAGAAUUUUUUUUAUACAAUAUUGGGAUGAGAUAACACAAUUCCAAUUCGUACCAAUAGGGAUAAAUAAUUUACAAUUUUUUUAAUAUUUAACUAGUGUAUAUAUUUAAUUUUUAUAGGUACUAAUUACAUAAUAUAUAAAUAAAAGUAUAUAAUAUAUAAUUUUUAAAAAAAUUAUAAUUAAUAAUUAAUAAUCUUUGAAUUUGGUAAUUUUUUCACUUUGGUUUUUGAAUUUUUUCUGUCCACGUUUGGUUUAAAACUUGACAGCUUUUUUAAAUUUGGUCAUUGAAUUUGAAUUUCAUAAAAGUAUGUUGACAUGGCAUUUUGAGAUUAGGUCUCGUGAUGUGCCACAGAGUGUCAUAUUACUAUACUUUAAUGGAAUUCAAGUUUAGAAACCAAUUCAAUAAAAGCUAUCAAGUUCCAAAACUAAUGUAGACAAAAAUUUCCACAAACCAAGUUAGAAAAUUUAUUUCCUAAAUGUUACUUUAUCCUUUUUCUUUUAAACGAUUUAAUUGAUUUUUGUUUACAUCUAUUUUCCUAAAAAAUCUUAAUCCAUUUUAGAAAUGACUAAAAGAUGACUAAAAAUCUUUUUUUAAAGUAAUCAAUAUUAUUAUCAUGAUAGUUUUUUUAAUAAUUUUGUAUAAAAUACUACAAUAUUUCAACAUUUCUAAAAUUUCAAUUUUAUUAUUCUAAUCAAAACUUCAUUUAAUUUUAAUAAUUAUAUUUUUUAUAUACUUCUUUUAACUUAAGUUAUGGGUGAAAGAUCUCAAAAUCACAAGCCAAUCUUUUGAUUUAAGAAGGAUGCCAAGAAAAAAUCUAACUGUACCUGGAAAAUGCAACCAUCUAAAGGCAAUUCUAGCUGAUGCAAUGCUUUAUCUCGACUUGUUUAUUCGAUGAACCCUCAAUUGUGCUUUUUAUUUAUCUUUUAUCACUUCACACAGUUCUGGUUAUUCGAUUAUUGUGAAUCCUGAUUGGAAAAAACCAUUCAUUUUUACUUAUGUGUGACACCAAUAAUCAUGUCGUUAGAGUUGUGUUGGGAAAAAAUUAUAGGUGUCGGAUUUUCAUUGGCUAAUUUAACAAUUCACUUAUCAUAUUAGACAUUUUUAAAGUACAUGUAUCACAUUAGACAUUUUAUGAAAAUACAGAUACCAUAAUGAAAUAUAUGUUGAUAGUUUAAAUACCACGUUAGACAUUUUAUGUAUGUAUAGUACCAACACGGGUGAAACUAAUUUUUUUCACAACUCCAUUUAAUAUAGCAUAUUUAAACUGGCCAUUUUAAGCAACCAAAAUCAUUCAACUUAGCGUGUUCAUACCAUUCAACAACCAACCAAUUCAACAAGAAAAUAUUGCCAUCACUCAUAUAUAUAUAUAUAUAUAUAUAAGGUUCUCAAAAUGCUAACAAAAUCCCUAUGCCGUUUGUUUCAAAUUUUUUAUGGUGAAAGGAGAAAAUACUCUCCUUCUCGCUUCAUGUUUUAUAAUUUUUAACAAGGUCAAAAUUAAACUGUAUAAUUUUAUAAUAGCUAAAAUAUAAUAUCACAAUAUCUUUAUAAUUUUUAAGAGAUUAAAUAAUUUUUUUAUCUUUUUAAAGAGACAAAAUAUAAUUUUAUUAUGUAUUAAUUUAAAAUUUUAUAAAUUUCAAAAAAUUAAGAAUUAAAUUUCACAUUUUAAGAAUACCAGAAACCUUAUCAGCCUAUACCAUCACCCCUAAGCACCAAAGGUGACAUCAUCUCUAGAAAUUUUUAAUAAAAAAUAUUAAAGAUGAUAAAUAGAUAACGGCUACUUGUGGCCUUUUUAUCAUUAUUAAUAUUUUAGGUUUAUUUUGUUCUAAACUUCAUUCGAAUUAAAAUAUCAAUAUCCAUUUAUUCCAAAUAUUAUAUUCAAAAUCAUUUAGAAUUUAAUGUGAAUGACAGUUGCAUGAUGUGUUUCAAAUUCAUAUUCCAUUAUUCCAACUUGGGAAGAGUUUACAGCAGAUGAAUAUUUUCCAAACACUUCAAAGCUAUUUUGGAUGAAUGAACUUUUGGCAAAUCAACUUAAGAUGACUUUAUUUAUAUGGCUUACUAUACUACUAUUUUCCUUAAACAAUUAUGCUCCAUGGUUUUGCUUGCAGGAAGUGUUUUUUUCCCCUUCUUUUUAAAAACCUUUACCUUUUACCUAAUACCAAUAACACUAAAUUCUUCAAAUAGCAUUGCCAACUUGGAUUUAACUGUCAAGUUCAUUAGAAAGCUUACUGGGGUUUUCAUUUCCAGAAAAAAAACUAAGGAUAUAUUCUCGACUUGUGAAUUUAGGCAACCCUAAAGGAAUAAAACUUAUCCUACCAACAUCAUGAUGUUAAUAUUGUCUUUUUCGUUGUAUUAAUGUACAGAAAUGUUACUAUUUGCAGCUACUAGGAAAGGAGCUUAUCAUGAAGAUGCUUUGAUGCAAUACCGAGAAAAUGAGUCGAGUCCAGGGGUCGCUCCUGCAAUCAGAGUAAUGAAUCCAUGAUAAAAGGCAUGCAUCAUUAUUCACAGCAAACCGUUAAUGAUUUUUAUCCUAAGAAAGUGCGUACCUCAUCUUGCAGGCCUUCUUGAAUGUCAAAACCCUGUAUGGCUGGUGCUCUAAAGGGAAGAUGACCCUGCAACAAUGUUCCAGGGGGGAUAAAUUAACCGAUUCUGAAUCACUUUAUAUGUAAAAUGAAAUAGUUUCAUCAAACAAAAUCAGCAAAAGAAAAGAGGGCAGUAACCAGCAGCAGGUUUAGUCUCAGUACCUGCAUAUUCUGUUGGUUCCCGUAGUGAUUAUCACUGGCUGCUAGAGAAUGUAGCUGUCCCUAAAGAUAAUUAUUAAGUUAAAAAAGGAUAAGGUUAGAGAACUAUAUUGCUUUCAGAACAUUAUGCCAGAAAAUCCCAACAGUUGGGACAUACCAGCCCUAAUAAGUUUUGUUGAUUGCUAUAAUAACCACCACGAAACGGAGAAAUUGAGUUCAACUGUCCCUGCAGAAAGUACGAAACCAAUAAGGCUAUUUAUAAUCAAGAUAAACAUGGUUAGGGGCCUUACGUUUUACCAUUUGAAGGCAGAAAAAGCACGUCAUUAUAAUGUGAUCAUUAAGAAACUCCAUACCAUUCCUUGAAUAUUUUGUUGAGCACCAUAGUAACCAUCAAGAGUUGGGGCUCUAGAGCUUACAGCCUACAAAAGUUGUGUUAGAUGCCAAAAAUGAAAUCAUAUCGCUAAUCAGCCUCGUCAUAACAAACCACUACGUUUGUAUAAAGGAUAUUCCAUACCAUCCCAUGCAUGUCCUGCUGAGAAACAGAACAACCAUCUAGCGCAUUGGCUCUUGAGCUUGUCUGUUUCGCAAAAUCAAAGAUGAGGAUUAAUAUUUUUUAUACUAAUGUUGCAAUCAAUUGCUUAUAUUCAGUCAAAAUAUGUAAGAUGGGCAACAAACCAUUUGCUGGCAGCUGUCUUGUCCCAUAGAUACUCCUUCCGAAUCAAAAUGAACCUACAAUAGAAAAAUAGUCUAUUUCUAAAGGCCUAUACAAUAUUGCCAAAAAUAUAGUUGAAGAAUCUGCAUUUCAAACACUGAGCCUAAACAAACCUUUCUCUUUUUACAUGCUUUCUUCUUCUUAGACAAUUUGGUUGUUGCAUUCCAAUAAUUCUCCGCAUCAGUCUCAAGAAGACCAUGAACAGAUGACGUGCUUGGCUCACAAACACUUUUUCCAGUGUUGUUCACACUGACACAAUUUUUUAAGGCUUUUUCUAAUGCCUGUAGUGCAAUAGUAUAUGCUUCUUGAGAUAAAGAACCUUCUUCACCCAAUUUGAUGGCUCGCUUGCAUAGAUCAUUGAAACGUUGCACACGAUAAUGAAGCCUGUUUGAUUUUUCACCUAGAGUCUGCCUAAUCUUCACCUCUUGUGUCCAACGCUUUAAUAUUUAGUGGCAUGGAAUGUCAGAAACACCAGACAUUUGGAGAACAAGGAGGGAGUGCUUACAAAGGAAUCCUUUGUAUUCAAAUGAACGGCAUAAACAACAUAUGUCAAAUUCUCUUUUGCUCCAAGCUACAAGGAAAUUUUGACGUUCUUCAAAAUCAUCAACUCGAAAGACAACAUUGUCCUCAUCUUCGCUUUCCUUCUGUAAGUGACAAGACACAAUUCCCAAAAUCUCAGCCUGAAAUUUCUUGAACACUGUAUCUGUAUAGAUCAUGGACAUUUGCUUCUCAAAAACUGAGACAGAUCUCAAUUCAGGUUGCUUACUUUGGGUUUCAAAAUCAGCUUUGGCUUCCAUUUCAUACAACUCUAAUGAGAAUGAUUUAAGCUGCUCAAUGAACUCACCGAAUGUAGCUGCUUUGUGCAUGAACUUGUCAAAGAAAGAUGCAACACGUUCAGAUCGAUUGGUUGUAGAUAUUCCAGCUAAAAAUAUAUGCCGCAUAUAAAUAGGAACCCACUUUUCCCGAUCAUUAUAUAAUGAAAGAACCCAUUCAUGCUCCUUCAGCUCAAACUUGUCAACCAUCCUAUACCAUCUCUUUUCAAAUUGUUCAUGCGUCCAAGACAUAUAUAUGCAUUUAUUAAACUUUUUUAUGAAAUUCUCCUUCUGAUUCAUAAUACAACUCAAAUGUUCAGGAAAUUUACUUAGUACAUGCCACAAACAGAAACAAUGGCGAGAGUCAGGAAACACAUCAGCAACAGCUUCAUUCAAAACUUUGUCUUGAUCAGUAAGUAUCACUUUAGGAGCGUGUCCACCCAUUGCUUUAAGCCAUGAACGCAUUAACCAAACAAAAGCUGAUGUAGUAUUGUCCCCAAUGAGGGCACAUCCAAGCAACAUGUACUGGAAGUGAUGAUUUACUCCAAUAAUAGGAAUGUAAGGAAUCUUGUAUUUGUUUCUAACAAAAAAGGUAUCAAAAAAUACCACAUCAGCAAAGUGACUGUAAUUAUGCCUACCUUUUGCAUCAACCCAGAACACACUCCUUGCACAUUUCUCGUUAUCGAAAUCAAUUGCAUAAAAGGAACCUGGAUUCUCAUCCUUCAUGCACAUAAAAAAAUCAAGCAUCAAUUCUACAUCUUUCUCGUCUAGAACCAACUGAAGGCCUUUCUUUUGGCAUGACACUGCACCAGGCUGCUUGCUUCUUCCCCUGAUAGCAUAGUAAAAAUCAUCGGGACAAAUCUCAUGAUUGUGCUCUUUUACAAAACUAUGGAUUACCCAUUUUUCAUCUUGCCUCCUCUUUAUAUGCAUGCGUGCCUUGCAGCCAGUCUUUGGACAUGAUCAAGGAUUGAGAGUUGUGUUAGAUUCACGCUUGCUUCCAAAUCUAGAACAUGCAACUUUUACAUCAAUAAAUUUUCCAGAUCUUUUUGAACGACGACUAGAAACUAUUGUGAUUCCAAAUCCCACAGACCGAGCAUAUUCUCAGUAAAAAGCAUAUGCCGUUUCCUUUGAUUCAAAUUCCAGACCAUUUCGAGGCUCAAAAAUGGCACCUUCGUGAACAUUUGCUUCAACAGUAGUCACAUCCACAUGGUCCUCGCAACCAGUAAAACUCUCUAUCAAAUUUGGUUCACAGGCUUCCACAGCAUGCUCACUGGUUGCAGGAGUUCCAUCAUUAUCUUCCUCAUCUAUUUCUUCUGCAGCGUCCAGGACAUCGCUAUUCUCAUCUGAUCCAGGAAUUAACUUCUCUUGUUCUUUUGAAGGCACCUCAAGAUCUAUUUCCAUGGAAAACAUUGAACUUGUUUGAAAAACCUAUCAUGCUCAGUAAAGAGACCUGAAAACAAAGAGAAAGAAAGCAUCAUUAGCAGCCAUAUGAAGCCUAUGCCAAUGUUUAUACUUUCGUUUUUAUGGAAAAGAAAAAGCGGCAAUUCCAGAUCCAUAAUGACUAGCUUCCCGUUUUAUAAAAGAAUGCUAAUUUACUUUGACCCUAAUAUACUUAUCUGGAGUAUUUAUGAUCUGUCAUUACUGAAAGUGGUUCUUGGGUGCACACAUUCAAAGAUUGUAAGCAAAGUUCAAUUUACGUUCAUUUAAUGAUAAAACUUUUCUACUUUUUUUUCACAGCUGACUGCUGUCUUAUCACUUAUUCUUCUUCCAAAACUGAUGUGCAAACCUCAUUUCUCCAUAAGCCAAUCAAACAAACCAAUGCAUCCUCAAUAUGAGAUCUGCAGUCCACUUCCACUUUCACAUUGUUUCAAUAAAUAUUAUACAAUAAUACCUUCUCUUAACUUCAGCUGGCGCCUCUUUUUACACUAUUCAUAGCCUCUACAAGAUCAAAGAACAUGAAAAUCAAGUUCUUUCAACCCAACAAGUUCUAUGCACAUCCACUAGGAGGGUGAAAUUAAUAACUAGUUAUUCUUUUCUUAAUCCUAACAGCUCCUGCUGCAGCAGAGCAGAAUAGCAGCAAUAAAACUCAAGCAAUGAACUAAAACAUAUAUGAAAUUCACACACAGCCUUACCUUACCUGUCACCUUAGCAGAGUUUCAAUUAUUAGCAGAACCUGCAGCCGGGGUUUACUAAUAAAAUUUGAAGUAUCAAGUACAGGGGGCACUGAAAAUUUUUCCUUGAAUUGUUCCUAAUUUUUUUCACAACGUUAACACGAAAAUUUAAAACAAAACACUAUAAUUUCAUUUUGGUAGCAGAGUUAAACUAGGUUUUCUGAAAAUUUCGGGUUAAAUUUGAACCCUAAAAUCUAAUAAUAAGAUCUUAUUAGCUGACAUAUAUAUAUAUUAAAAAACGUAGAAAAAGAAGAUUUGAAUUCAAUUUCUUGUUUACCAACCAAAGCAAAGGAAAGCAAUUGAGAAAAGGAAGAAAGAAAUUGUUACAGUUGUAGUGUAGUUGAAAGCUUACAUUGCUGCUGCUGCUACUGUGAUUGAAAAUGAAGACCGCUUUGAGCCAACUGAAUUUGGUACAAAUUUUUGUCUUCAAAUAGAUAUUUAUAUAUAUUUAUCUUAUUAGCACUAAUUUACUAAAAGGAAAAAGAAAAUCUAAACUAAAAAAGAGUUAACUCCACAAUAAAUCCCAACCUAUAAUCUUGAUUUUAAAUUGAUCCUUAAACUUUUAAAUAUUUGAAUUGAAUCCUCAAAGUAUAAAUAUUGUAUCAAUUAGGUCUGUCCAUUAUCGUUAUGUCAGCUUAAGUGCUAUCUUAAAUAUGAUGCAGGAGUAUAUUUAAAUCAUAUGUAAACUUUAGGUUAAAUUCUUCUUUUAGUCCUUGUACUUAGCAAAAGUUAUGAAUUUAGUUCUUAUACUUUAUUUUGAUAUUUUUGGUCCCUAUAUUUUUUUAAUUUUAAAAUUUCAAUCCUCACUAAUUGAUAAUUGUUCAUUAAGUUAUGUUAUGUUAUUUCCAAAGUUUGACGCAACAAACAUAUUAGCAUAUGUGUAAUGCCAUGUCAACUUAUUAUUUCUACAUAUUACUCAUUAAAAAACUAAUUAAUGGAUUAAAAAUUGUCAUUUAUGUCGAGACCUAAAUUCCAAAAUUCAAAAAUUAUAAAGACUUAGAAUGAUUCAAUUAGAAAUAAUGAACUAAAUCUACAUUUAUACAUAGACUACAUGACUAGUAAUUGACUUUAAUCAAAUGGAUUUAAUUAUUACUAUUCGGAUCAAGACUAAAAUUUUACAUUUUAAAAAGUACGAAAACUAAAAUUGAUUAAAUCAAAAAGUACAAAUACUAUAAUUAAUUAAAUUAAAGUAUACAAACUAACACAACUUUUUACAAAGUACAAUGACUAAAAUCUAAUUUUAAUCCAAAUUUUAAAUGCACUUGUAUAGUGUAGCUAUAACAUAGACAUGUUAGCCAUACAAAAAAGAAGCAUAUAGUGUAAUUAAAAUUUACUAUUUUUUAAUACAUGUUGUACUAUGCAAUAAGUAUAGAUGUCUUCAAAUUAACGUGUUUAAACUGAUAAUUAAGUUAAUAGAAAAUUUAAAUUAAUAUAAUAUAUAUAAACCUUAAAUUUUUAAUUAAAAUAUUUUGAAAAUUUGAAAUUGAUUUAAAUUUAUUUUCACGUUGUAUUAAAUUAAAAUAUAUAUAUAUUUAGUGAAUUACAAGAAGAGAGUAAAUCCCUAACAAUAACGAGCUUAAUUACAAUACUUUAAUUAUCUUAAUUACAAGAAGAUGGUGAGACUUAAACUCAGGUCACACCUACCAAUAAACACCUUAACCGUCAAGUUAACACAUAAGAUUUUAAACUCAACUAGCUUAAUUACCAUACUUUGAUUAUCAUAUCUUAAUUAAUGGUGCUCAAAAUUUUCUAUUUUUGUUUGUUGAUGUGAGUAUACUUGGGUUGAAUUGGAAUUCACUUAUCAUUAAAAAUAAUUUUAUAUUAAUAAUUAUAAUUAUAAUCAAAUUUAAAUAAUACUCUCUUUUUUUCAAUACACUUGUCACAUUUUCAUUUUUAAUGGUAAAAAGUUUCAACUUUGACAUCUUAUUAUAUGAAAAGGUAAAUUACACCAACAGUCACCAAAUUUUGGGGUGAAUGACAAAACAGUCACCUAGGUUUCAUUUUAGUCACUUAACUUUCAAAAAGUAACAAAACGGUCACUAACGUUAUAAAAAAGUGACAAAAUAGUCACUAACUAACAAUUACCGUUAGGGUAUUAACGGGAUUGUUGACGUGGCAAGUUAACCGCUAAUAUGGCAAGUUAACUUGCCACGUUGGUGACGGCUGAUGGGUUUGGGAUGGGUUUAGGGAAGGGUUAAUGGGUUAAUGUUUUAGGGUUAGAAACAGAUUAGCUUUAGGGGGAUUUAGAGGGGAAAGGAAAAUCGAUUUGGGAAAUUUCGAUCGUGAUUUCGGGUUUUUUAGGCUUUAAACGGAUUGGGAAUCGAUUAAGAAAGGUUUAGGGUUAGAAAUCAGUUCAAUAAUCGAUUAACAGGUUAUAAGUUUUAGGAUUUAGGGUGAUUUAUUUUGUUUAGGGAGAAAAGAAGACGAACCAGAACUUUUUAAUUGUCAGAGAGAAUGGGCAAUAGAAGGGAAGCUACCACUGUUGUUACAUCCACUUUAACGGGUAAGUUAUUGCAUUUAGCUUUAAUUUUUUGGAUUCCAAUGCUGUUAUUUCGAUUUAGGGUUAAUUAGGGAUAUUUUGGUUUCAAAUUUAAUUUCGAUUUUGAUUACAAUUUUGAAACACUCACUGAUUUUGAUUUAGAUUUAGAUUUCAAUUUUGAUUUCGAUCUCAAUUUAAGAUUAGAAUUUGAUUUUGAUUUCGAUUUAGGGUUAUUUCGAUUUUGAUUUUAUUUGUUAUUAAUGUGCAUGACAGAUUAGGGUUUGGUUUUUAAAGUUUAUGACAUAUAAUGUAUAUUGUAUUGUGUCUGCCAUUGUUUAGGGUUAUUUCGAUUUUGAUUUUGAUGUUUAUUGUUUGUAUCUGCCAUUGUAUGAAUGCCAUUAUCAAACUGAUCUUUAUUGUGUAUAUCUGCCAUUGUUUGUAUCUGUCAUUGUAUGAAUGCCAUUAUCAAACUGAUCUUUAUUGUGUAUAUAUGCCAUUGUUUGUAUCUGCCAUUGUAUGAAUUUCAUUAUCAAAUUGAUGUUUAUUGUGUAUAUCUGCCAUUGUUUGUAUCUGCCAUUGUAUGAAUGUCAUUAUCAAAUUGAUGUUUAUUAUGUAUAUUUGUCAUUGUUUGUAUCUGCCAUUAAAUUAUACAUUAUUAAACUGAUGUUUAUUGUGUAUAUCUGCCAUUGUUUGUAUCUGACAUUAAAUUAUACAUUAUUAAACUGAUGUUUAUUGUGUAUAUCUGUCAUUGUUUAUAUCCAAGCUCCUAUUGUUAUUUACCUUCUUUAUUGUACUGGUUAUUGCCUAUUAUUGUCUGCCAUGUGCAUGAGAAAAAUGGUUGUGUUUGAUUAAAUUAAUUUUUGUAUUGGUUGUUGUCUGCCAUGUGCAUGACAGAAGUGUUUGUAUUAAAUUAUUGGGCAUUUUGUAUUGGUUAUUGUCUAAAAAAAAAGGUUAAAGUGUUUGCCUAUGUUGUCUGCCUUUAUUGAUGAGUACUUUGUUUUGCAGGCUUAAUUGAUGACAAUUUUAAUGAGAAUGAAGAAAACGUGUUUGGUAGUGAUGUGUCUAGUAGUGAAGUGCCUGGUAGUGAUAAUGAUGUAUCUGAAAGAGUUACUUUAGAUGGUUUAAACAUGGAUGGUAUAGAAGUAGAUGAACUGUGUGAUAGUGAUGAUUCUGGGAGGUUAGAUAGUGCACAUGGAUCUGACUCAGAUGGCCAAAAUUGGCCUGAGUUCAACCUAGAGAAUGACAUGAGUAAUCUUAGACUUAAGGUUGGAAUGUUAUUUAUGUCUAAACAUAGUCUAAAAGAAGCUGCCAAGCAAUAUAGUAGGUUGAAUAGUUAUUUUAUUGAGUUUUCCAAAAAUGAUUUAAGAAGGUUAAAGGCAGUCUGCAAUGAAAAAUGUUCUUGGUUUAUAUGGGCUUCUAGGCUAAACCCUAAAGACCCUACUGACCAGACUUGGCAAAUUAGGAGUUCAAACCCUAACCAUACUUGUUCUAAAGUCUAUAAAAAUAGGAACGUAACCUCAGCUUGGAUAGGUGAACAGUAUAAAGAAAAAUUCAUUGCCGAUUCUGAUUAUUCUUUGAAAUCAUUACAGCAAGAUGUCAAAAGAGAUUUUUGUUGCUUGGUCUCAUUAACCAAAUGUAAGAGGGCUAAACUUAGAGCAUUGGAAUUAAUUGAAGGAGCUCAUAAGGCUCAAUAUGAGAAGAUUUAUGAGUACUUAUUGGAGUUUAGGACCCAAAAUGAGGGAACAACAACAAUUUGUUAUUUAGAUAACAGAUUGUUUCAAAGGAUGUAUGUCUGUUUGCAAGCAUGCAAAGAUGGCUAUAGGGCUGGUUGUAGGAGGAUAGUAGGUUUAGAUGGAUGUUUCUUAAAGGGCUACUAUGGUGGCUACUUGCUUGCAGCUGUUGGGAUAUAUGCAAAUAAUGACAUCUAUCCACUUGUAUAUGCUGCUGUCGAAAGUGAAAACCAAGCAUCAUGGCUUUGGUUCUUGGAGUUGCUUCCAAUGGACUUGGAAAUUGUGAGCUCGUACCACAUAUCUUUCAUGUCUGACAAAAAAAAGGUAAAACUCUAUUUAUAUAUAUAUAUAUUUAUGUUGUUUCUAUUUAAGGUUUGUCAAAGAAUUAAAUUAUUUUUUCCUAAUUGCAGGGACUUUUGGAAGCAAUAUGUAUGUUGUUUCCUAAUGCAGAAACAAGACACUGUGUUAGACACCUACAUUCUAAUUUCAAGAAUGCUGGUUUUCGAACAAAGGAGUUGAAAGAUUUGCUUUGGAAAGCUGCCAGAGCAAGCACUAUAAGAGAGUUCGAUGAUGCCAUGGAUGAACUGAGAAAAACCAAUCACCUUACUUAUGACUGGUUGAAGAAGAAAAACCCUGCUCACUGGUCAAGGUCUCACUUCUCAAUUAAGAGCCAUUCUGACAUGUUGGUGAAUAAUCUAUCUGAAUCAUUUAACAAGGUGAAUCCCUAUGUUUUAUGUUUCUUACUGAUCAUUAGCAAUUCACUAAUCAUUUAUGUGGUUUAUGGACAGAUGAUACUGGAAGCAAUAGGUAAACCUAUUCUGACCAUGAUGGAAACAGUAAGGACCAAGAUUAUGUUACUUAUUGUCAAGAAGAAAGAAAAAGCUAACAAAUGGAAAGGAACUUUGUGUCCAAAGAUCAAGAAAAAGCUGGAUGUAAAUAUAAAAGAUUCAUUAAGGUAAAGAUUCUUUCUAAUGCCUAUAUUCUGACUUAUUGUUGCUGAUCAUAUGCAGUGAUUAUUGGAAAGCUAUUGACUUUUUUUAAUAUAUAUGCAAUGAUUAUUGGAAAGUUGUUGACUAUUUUAAAUAUGCAUGCAAUGAUUGUUGGAAAGCUAUUGACUAUUUUUUAAUAUGCAUGCAAUGAGUUUUUUUUUUAUAAUAUGCAUGUAGUGACUACUUUUUUAGGGGGUGUGUGUGUCAUUGUAUGUUUUAACCAAGCAUGCUCACUGUUUUUAAGUUGUGUUCCAUCACAUGCUGGUGGGGACAAGUAUCAGGUUGAAUGUGGUCUAGGCAGCCAGCAUGUGGUAGACUUAGUUCAGAAUUCCUGCUCCUACAGGAAUUGGGAUCUCACUGGCAUCCCUUGCAUGCAUGCAUUAGCUGUCAUUCAUGUAAAAAAUGAGUUCCCAGAGACCUAUGUACAAACCUGGCACACCAAGCAAACCCAGAUUCAAAUUUACUCCAACUUUGUAAGUCCAAUAAGGGGUCCUAAACAAUGAGCCUCUUUGUCAAACAUGCUACCAAUACUACCUCCUCCACUAAGAAGGCCACCUGGCAGACCUACUAAAGUGAGAAGGAAAGAACCUGAUGAACCACAAACAACAAAAAGGUUGAGCAAGAGAGGGGUGGAGAUGAGGUGCAGUAAAUACAAAAUAAUAGGCCAUAAUAAGAGGAGUUGCAAAGGGAAAGUUGGCCAAAACAUUCUAGUAAGUAAUUUUCCUUAACUUAUAGUAUACUCCUAUCUAUGAAUUUGUUUUUAAUUCACAUUUCUUUUAUUCUUGUAGGUUAAAAAACAUCAAGUUGGUGUUCGAACCCAGCAACAGGCUACCCCAAGUCAGCAAGAGGGUACCCCAACUCAACAAGGUGCCCUAACUCAGAUACCUACUGCCCCAACUCAUCAAGAAGCUGCCUCAAGACAAAAGCUCCCAUUAAAGAGAAAAUCAACCACAACCACUGUUAGAUAGAUGUCUUCUACUUAAGAGUCAUCCAUGACAGACCAUUGAUGAUGAUGUGAACAGACUACAUUUUGUUAACCUUUUAAAACUGUGUAAAUUUGCCUGCUACUAAUUAUUAACUUAGGCAGAUAAUUUUUUGGGAAAUUUGCCUAUGAUUGCUACUGUUGAUAAACUUAGGCAUAGUCACUGAAUUUUUUUGUAAAUUUCCCUACAAUUCACAUCUGUUCAAUUGUAAUGAAUUGUAGGAAAAUUUGGUAAUAUUUUGCUCCUCAUUCCUUUUGUAAAUAGUUUGGCAUAUUGGCCUUAAUAUAUGAGCAAUUUAGCAUGCUAUUUGUUAUCCAACUGUUAAGCAAUUUGUAUACCAACUGUUAUCUUUUCUAACUAGCAGCCAUGUAUACAAACUGUUAAGCAAUUUGUAUAUCAAUUUUUUUAUCUUUUCCAACCAACAGCCAUGUAUACCAACUGUUAAGCAAUUUGUAAACAACAACAUGAGUUGGUUAGCUAUGUAUACCAGCAGCCAUUUUUAACACAUGUUAAGCAACAAAAAUAUUCCAACACAAUUUGUAAUCAACAAAAAAUUUCCAUUUCAUUCAAGUGUUUGUAAGCAACAUGAGAUGGUUAGCCAUGUAUAACAGCAGCCAUCUAUACCAAUAUAAGCAACAAUUUACCAGCAACAAAAUUACAAUACAUAAGCUGGUUUUCAAUUAACAUAAAAUAAUUUUUAAAGUUUUGAAAACAGCAAAACAGUAACAAUUACAAACACCAAAAACUAGGUUCUUCUCUCCCUCUUCCUUGCAUCCUCCAAUGUCCUCAGUUUUUUUAGAAGACCCAAUAACACCAUUCUUGAACGAGGCGUCAAUGGUAGAUCAAACCAGCUGAAAAAUUGACAUGGUUUUCGAAAUCAACUGCCGAAUUUGUUACACCCAAAAAACCUCCUACCUGGGUUGUCAUUGAACCAAGACAUGCUUAAUUUGGCUGGGUUUCCACAAUAGCACACCGGAAUCACUUCAGGCAUAUCCAUUUUUCCUCUUCUCCUUCUUCUUCUUCUUCUCUUCCUACUUCUCUUCUUCUUCUUUUUCUUUUUUUCAAACCCUAAAAUGGUGCUAGUACUAUUAUUAAAGUGUUAGUAACCGGCCAGCUAGACUUAAGGUUGACAGCAAGGACUCCGUCACCUGCCACGUCACUUUACUGUGACGUCUGUGAUGGAAAACGGCAAAAAGGACCGUUUUGUUACUUUUUGAAAGUUAAGUGACUGAAAUGAAACUUAGACGACUGUUUUGUCAUUUACCCUAAAAUUUGGUGACUGUUGGUGUAAUUUACCCUAUUUAAAAUUUAUCAUGAAUAAAAAUUUAGCUACUCAUAAAAAAUAUAUUAAAAGAAUAUUCUUUGAAGAAGGUUUUAAAUAUAUAUAUAUUUAUUUAUAAAAUUUAAUUAAUUAAAAUAUUUAAAAUAAUUGAAGUGAAAGUUUAAAAAAUUUAACCACAAAAUAUCAACAUGACUUUUUUAGCGAGACAGAGAAAAUGAUAAAAAUGUUUAAAUAAAUAUUAAAAUGAAACAAAAUAAUUUUUUGUUUAAUUGACUAAAUCUAUCAAAAUAAAAUAUAAUUUAGUAUUUUUUUAAAAUAUAAUUUAGUUCAAUUGGCAUUAACAUUAUUCUCAAUGCAAUAAAAUGUGGGUUUGAGUGUGUUGAAACGUAUAUAUUUUUAUUCAAGGGUUGGUUAAAAAAAUUAAAUUAGAUAUUAAAUAGUUAUUUUCCUUCUUUCUUUACAUUAGUUUUGUCAUUAAUUUUAUUUCUAACAAAAUCAUCUAAGUAGUUGAUUUUGAAUUUAAAAGGUAUUACUCAAAUAGUUAUCUUAGUGAAUUAUAAUAUAUAAAUAGAUAUCAUUUAUAAUAGCACUUUUUAGCAACUUUUUCUGAAUCAAAAUCAACAAAACAGCUAAAUAAAGAUUAAGCACAUAUAGGGCAGCAGCUAUAUGAAACUUCAUACUAUCAAAAUGUAAAAAUUUUGGUUUUGUUGUUAACUGCUAUGAACCCCAUUUGUAUUAAAGAUUUUCUAUUUUGUGACACUGAAGGGGAGGGAUACCCUUCUACUGUAAUCAGAUUUUUGUUGUCGGUGAGGAUGCACAUAAAAAUUUUCAAUUAAAUGGUGUUUAUUUGACUCAUUUGAAUUGAUCCAAUUUAUAGAGUAUAUAAAGAAGCUCAUCUAUUUGAAACUUUAAUGGCCCAAUGAAAAAAAAAAUAUACAAUUAUCAUGAUGAAUAUUAUAAAUACUGAGAGAUAAGUGUUAUAACAAGCUUUUUUUAAUAAUAUUUUUUUAUAUAACAAAAUAAAAUGUUUUUAAAUAAAAGUUAAAGUUGAACAAAUUGGCAAAAUUAUAUUUCAAACGAAGUCUAAGAGACAUAAUUUUGAAAUCUUAAAAACACUUUUUGAAUAAACUUUUAAUCAAAUUAAAAUGAUUUCAAUUGAGUUAGACUUUUUCAAUCAAAGUUAAAUUGUUCUAAAAUAAGUCAGUAUAACUCUAGGCAAAAAGGCAAAAAAGUAUUGAUGCUUUUUGGCUAAGUAUCGAUAGUUUCUAAAAUAUCGAUAUCCCUCCAAAAAUUGGUACCAAAUUGACAUUAUGUUUCUCAAACAUUUUAGUUAAGAAUUGAUCCAGUCUCAAUAUUUUUCAUAAGGUAUCGAUAAAACUUUACUAGUUUCGAUAUUUUUGGCUUUAAUGGUCACUGAAUUUUGCAUUAAAUGUUAAAGAUUUUGAUACUUUGUUAGCAAGUACCAAUACUCAUGGUUGCAAUUGAAUUAAAUGCAUUGAUUAUUUCAUCCUCAAGGACUCUAUUUAUUUCUCCAACAACCAUAACGGUUGGAAAUCAAUUAAAGGUAUAAAUAUCAUCUUUCGAAGACUCUACAAUAACUAGAAAGACUAUCAAGCUUAAAAUCAAUCAAAACAAUAUUGUGCUUUUAAUUCUCAACAAUUUUCUUUAUACACACUUGUGAGCUUUCAUUCUAUUCAUUUCAGCUCAAGUGUUUCUUCUUGUAUUUGUGCUUAAUUUGCAAACAUUCUAAUCUUGGAAGGGUUUGUUCUUAGUUUGCUUACUCUUUAAGAGGAUUCUGUCUUAGGGUUUUGAUAGAAACUUUAAGGGAGUUUGUAAGAUUAAACAUUGUCCUCAAAGGUUUUUAUAUUAGUAAAUUUGGGAAAAUCCUUAGUUAUAGAAAGCUAAGGUAAUGGAGUAGCCAAUUGGGGCCGAACCACUAUAUAUCGCCUUGUUUAUUGUCUCAAUUUAUUUUCUUAGCUACCGCAAAUUUUUAAAGGGUCAUUUCAUCCUCUUUUUGACGAUUUCGAGUUGAUUAAUCGUUCUAACAAUAAGUUUGUAUAAAGUUUAAAUCCAUUCGGACUUUCAUAUUGUAGAUAGGCUAUAAUAAUGAUGUCAAUAAUUUAAACUAUACCGUUGGAUCUAGGGGGCUCAACUUAUAAAUAUAUCCCUCUCUUUCAUCUGUAAUGAUUUUAUUUAGAGUUAUUAAAUAUACAUUGAGAGUAUUUACUCAAACACUUGGUGUGUUUAGCUUUCUUGUGGCUUUUGUGUUCGCUUUUUGCUUUUUUCAAUGAUUUUAUUUAGAGUUAUUAAAAUUUGCUUCCGCUUUAUUUCGAUGUCUGUAAGAAUUUCUUUUGUGAUUUAUCACUUUCAAAAGUUAACUAACUUAAAUAGAUUUGAAACAAAAGAAUCGUUUAAAAUAACGUGAUUUACUAUAUUAAAGUUUUAGGCCAUAACACUUGCACCUAUAUAGAUUUUGCAGCAACUUUCUUAAAAAGUUGGAUGUCCUCGUCGAUUCAAACUUUUUAUGUAAAAAACUUAUUUGCCUUUGAUGAUUCUUCCUAUAAAUUUGUGUCUUAUUCAGAUGAUACAUGAAGAGAUUUCUAAUUAAAUAAUAAUUGAAAUUUUCGUAUAUAAUACAUGAAGAGAUUUCUAGUUGAAUAACCAUUGCUUAUCGUGAUGGAUGGUUUUCAGUUUGAUUACCAUCUCAAAAAUUGUUCCAAUAACAGUUACAUGAUUUGGAGUUGCACCCUCUAAUAAUACUUUGUUCCUAUGGAUCCAAAUACUUCACAAGGUGAUAAUGAAGGUAACAUUUACCACGAUUUCCUUUUCAAUCUUCGCAUGUUACAUGAAUUUUGUAAUCCAGAAACCAUUUCAGUGUACAUUAAGAUUGCAUGUUCUAACUUCCGAAGCAAAUUGAGUGAUAAAACAAAUAAGUUCAUAAAAAUAUUGGUAUUAUUGUCCAAAUUCAUUUCCCACAUAGUUUUUUAAAUUAUAAAAAUUUAAAACUAUAGAAAUUUUACAGCGUAAUAAAAUUAAAAACUAAAAAAAGAAGAGAAACAAUAGUUAUUACAUUAAUUUAUUCAGGUUAAUUUUAGGUGGACUUUUGUAGUUUUUAAAAAGGUUAAAUUUUAUUAGUAACCUAUGUACUAUGUAUAAAUUAUAGAUUUAUCAUUUUUAAUCUCUAUACUUUUAGGGUUUUAAGAUUUUGAUCUUUGAUAAUUAUUAAAUUCAUUAAGUUCUGUGUUAUAUAUAUAAGAUUAAUAGCAAGAUUUAACUAAACAAAUUUAAUUAUUAUCAUUUAUUCAGAACUAAAAUCUACAACUUAUACAAAAUCAAACUUUUUAAAAUUAUAAGAUCUAAAAAGAAUUAUAAAAGAAACAUUAAAAACGACUACAAUCUAAAAUGAGCGGUCGAUUUGGCAUUUGAAACAAAUUUAUUAUUAGAAAUCUAGUUUUGACAUUGCAGUUAUACAUUGAAAAAGGAAUUAGUAUCAACCUCAGAAACUUAAUAAAAAAGUUAUAAUUGGCGUGAGAUGGCAGAAAAGUAUCAUUUCUCCCUUUAUUUAUAAUUUUUAUAAUGUAACUACAAAUAGAUGUGAAGCCCUAGGCAAAUCAUUGCUAAUCCAAACCUAUAUAACGUGUAAAAUUAAAUAAUUGCCAUCUAGUCCAAAAAAGAUGAAUCAAAUGUACAACAUAAAACACAAAAUUGAUAAUGGUGGAAACCGACUAACUGGUAGGAAAGGUGGCUUGUUCACCCCCUUAAAAGGCACAGAACCAUCGACGGUAGCAGGACAGUUGCAAAUGUUAUAGGGAAGGAGAGCAAGUUGAAAGGUAGAGGAUAUAUUGGAAUGGAAUGGCCCCUUGUUAAAAGAAUGAGAGGACUUACAUACAAAAGAUACAGGAGAUGCCAUGUUCAAAGUUUUACUGAUGACAAGGUCACAUCUUGUUGCCCCUUUAUACAGGGUGCAACAUGACCACGUGGAUCGAAAAUGAGACAUUCUAAGGCAGCUUAGCAAUCAAGGAGCGUGAGGCCAAGUACUCUUGACGAAGGUAGUCCAUAAGCGGCAUUGUGUUCAAGGGGUGACAUGUGGAGCCAUUUCCGGAGGUGGUAUAACAAAAAUGAACACUACUUUAAACCCAAAGGAACAAUGCAGGGUAACAAAAUCCAAGUAGGUCAGAUUUUGAAAACUAGAAAUGUAAAACAAUGCUUUUUAGAAUAUUGCCUACUAUUUGCUUGACUUUCAUGAACUUUCCUCUAAGUGGUGGUUGUGUAACGAGUGCAUAAUGUUCACUGCAACGCUCGUUAUACGAGUAAACUAUAGGUAACAAACAACCUCUGUCCACUGGAUUUGCACAUCAAGCCCUCCCAUAUGGAUUAUGAUUCCAAUUUCAAUAAGCCCCACUCCGCUACCUCAAGCUUCCGAUAGCCAAACACAAGAACAUGUUGCUCACUUCAACUAAGAAUCAAAUAGUUUGUAUAAUGGAUAAACCCUAAACUAAAAGCUUAAUCUCCCGAUCAAUGCAGAUUUACAGAAACAGCGAUAACCAUGAAAAGCCACAUCCAAGCAUAUUCAAAAUGCAGUAAAGCAUACCCAUUUCUUGGGUUAGCUAAAACAUUCAAAAAUCCAAAAAUAAAUCAGUGACAGUGAUGACAUUAUAAUAGGUUCAAACAUUAAAAGAUUCAAUUCUCAACCUCCAUUGACCUACAGAUCUACGUUAAGACAAAAUGAUAAAUCAUAAAGGACAAAAAAUAGUUCAAAAGCUUAAAUUUCUUAUAGAAAUGAGCAAAUCACGUUCCAUAAUAUAACAAAAAUAAUAACCCAGAAAUAUCUUAUCCAAACAGAUUCAAAACCCGUCAUUAAAUUCAAAAUUGUUCGAUAAAACUACAUAAGCAUAAAACAUGUUCCAAUAAAACACUUAAAACCUGAGCUUAGUAAAGAACCACCUGUUUUUCCCAGUCUUGAACCUCUCUUCAAACCUCUCCUUCGUUGCCUUACAAGCGGCCACUUUCUUGUCCUUGGUCUGGAGAGCAUCGACGGUAACCAUGUCUUUCAAGUCCACAUCGAGGGUGUAGCGCGUGGGCAUCAGGUGCUGGUAAUUGACGAGCUUGAUGAAGCACUUGACGCGUGACUUCUUGGCGGUUUUCUUCGCGGAGUCCUUGCGGAUAACCUUGCUCGGAUACUUCUUUAUCCCUGCAACCAAACAAUGGCCAUAGGCGCGGUCACGUGUGCCAUCGUCGAAAGAUCUGACAAUGACGGCUUUGCGGCCAGCGUAUCGGCCCUGGAGGACGAUAACUGCCUUGUUUGGUUUAAGAAACUUCACCAUGGCGACGGCGGCAGCUGCGGCUCUGAUUCUCUUCUCCCAAAAACCCUAAGUAAAGAAACAAGGAAAAAAGGAAAUGAGGUAAUAUAUACUGCGAGUUGAGUGAAACCCUAUAGGUUUCGGAAUCUUGGUGGGCUGGGCUUACAUUUAUGAACUCCCUAGCUAUACUAAGAAUCAUAGGUUUAUUUUAUUUGGAUUAGAUUUUGGGGCCUUAAUUUUCCGGUCAGAGUGAUGGGUCUAAUUAGGUCCAAUAAUUUCGCAUGCAUUUUGUAUGCAAAUAAAUAUAAAAGAAGGUUAUAUAACAUCGAUUUUUAAAUUAAAAUUUUUAAAUAAUUUAAUGACUAUUUUAUAACUUUUUGAAGUUAAGUGAUCAAAACGUAAAUUUAUUAAUAAUUUAGUAACUUUCAAUUUAGUUUACUUUAAAUAUUUAUAUAUUAGUAAUUUGUGUUUUAUGAUAUGAUUCGUUCAUGUGUUUUUAUAGGAUUUUUUUAUUUGAAUAGUAUGAAAACGAUACUCAAAAUAGUAUAAGUUCAAGAUUAUUUAUUAAAAUAAAAUGAAAACUACAAUGAAGGUGAAAGUUGCACAAGCUACAUGAUUUUAUCCAAAAUACGAAACUUAAAUAUGUGCAUGGAUCUCGAGUUAUAAUGUACGGUUGUUUUUUAUAGGUUUUAGUUCAAGUAGUCUAACUCAUCGAUUUUAGUUUAAAUUGUAUCAAUUUUUAAUAUAAUCAUAAUUUUUAGUAUAAUCAUUAUUAUCACUAAGUAUGCAUAUAAGCACUAGUUUAGAACAUAAUUUAUUUGAAUUUUAAUUAUUAAUGCCAUGUCAGAUUAUAACUUGCAAAAUAACUUAAUUUAAAAUUUCAAUUACGUCAUAAAUAUUUUAUAUAUAAGUUAGUGAAUUUUUUUUUGAAAGAAUAUAAGUUAUGAUUAAAAAUUAAUACAAGGAUUUAGUCAAACAUAUAAUAUGAAUAUGUUAUGUGUGAUUUUUUUUCCAUUUGUAAAAAAAUGUUAUUAAAUUUGUAAAUAUUAUAGUUAUAUGAAAUAACUAGAUUAUAAGACACAAUUAAAGCUAUUAAACAACAAACUUAACCAUAUGGUGUAAUUUACGACAUAAAACUUUAUGCGACUUACAUACAUAUGAUAUGAUAAUAUCCAAAAUUAGUUUUGUGAAUACUAUAAGUUCCCCGCAAUUUUGAAAGACAUUUAAUUUGUAUGGUAUAUCAUACAACUAUAAUUUUGUGGGACUAACUUUUUGUUUAAGUCCAAUUUAAAUAAAAAUUUUAAAAUUUAGAUUCAAUCCGUAUUAAAUUUUUUAAAUUUUAUUUUUUAUAUAAUUUUAAAAUAAAAUAAAAUACACUAAAUAGACUAAAAACAUUAAAAAUAAAUAUUUCACGAUAAAUUGAAAAUAAAUUUUAAAAAAAAUCUUUAUACUUAAAUAACACUAAGAUAAGUUCAACUUAACAAGAAAAUGCAUCUAAAAUAGCCGCAAAAUUAACAAUAAAACAAGUGUUAUAUAAUAUUCAAACAUUAACAACAAAAUAGUAGCAAUAUAAUAAUGAAAUGGUAGCAAAAUAAUGACAAAAAAGUCGCAAAACAACAACAAAACAUGGAAAAAUUUCAGGUUUUUUUUAUUGAAAAAUCGAGUCAGGCCAGGCUUGGAUAGAAAAUUUGACUCGGGGCUCGGCCCGUUUUCUAAAUCGGCUUUAUUUUUUUACGCAAACCCAUUUUUCGAGUCUAUACUUUAUUUAAACCCUCUCAUUUUUCGAGCGAACUUUUGAACCGAACUAAACAACUCUACAUACAAGAUAAAAUUUCAUGUGACGUAUAUGCAUAUAAAUUAUAAUAUGGUCACUAAUUAAUUAAAUUAGUUUGCAUUUAAAAACUCAAAUAAAAUAUAUGAUGAGACAUUAUAAAUAUAGGAUUUUAUUUAAUUAAAUCUUCACCAUUGUGUUUCUAGCGAAAGUGAGAUAUUGGUCAAUGAUCACAAGUGUUUGGUGUUAGGAGGGAGACAAUAAAUGAGAAAAUAUUUGAUAUAUUAUAUAUGAGUUUUUAUGUAACAUGAGUAAAUAAUAAUAUUACUACAAUAAAAAAUAGUAAAAGAUUUAUAAAUAAAUACUAAUAAUUUUAUUUAAAUAUAAUUAAAAAUGGUGGAGUGGAUUUAUUUAAACAUGUGUAAAAUGUAAAUCUAAAGUAGUUUUGCACCUAUUAUUAUAUUUUUAUACUCUUAAUAUUUUAACUAUCAAACUGUUGAACUUAUCAAUGUAAUUGUACUUGUCAUGCAUGUAAGUUUUCAAACAAAUUCCACAUCUCUAUCAGACCAAUCUAAAAUAUUGUAUAUAUUGAUAUUUAUUGAACGACUGACACUUUUUUUACAUAAAAAUAAAUAGUUGUAAAAUUUAAUUUAGUUUGACAUACAUGAUUUAUAUGAAUGAAAUAUGAAAUAUGACAGUUAAAUCAUUAAAAUAUUAAGUGUACAAAAAUUUUAAAAUUAUUUUAAUUUUACUUUUACAUGGGUGUUAGAUAAAUAUAUCCCUUUCUAAAAAUAAUUAUUUGAUUUAUUAAAUAAAAAUAAUUAUUUGAUAUAUAUAUAUAUUUUUAAUUUUACAAUAGGAUUAAGAAACUUCAUUUCAAAAAGAGAUUAUUAAUAUUAUUGCAUCAACAAAGUGUACUCAUAUGCACAAAUCAUUAUAUUAUAAUAAAAAUAAUUAAACUGAAAUAAUGAUAAUUUUUUAGUAUUGUUUAUGAAAUUAAAAAAAUUAAAUGAACAGAUGUCUGUGAAGAAAAUAAAGGUAUCGUCAGAUAAUUUUUGUAGAGAACUGUUAAUGGUAGGAAGAAGAUGACUUUGGUUGAUUGGAAUUAUGCCUGUCAACUCUGCGGGCAUGGAGGUUUAUGAUUCAGACAUUUGAGGAACUAAAACACUUCAUUCCCAUUAAAAUUGGGGUUUAAUCUAGUUUCAAAGAAUGAUGCUUUUUGGGUUCAAGUUUUUUUGGUCAAAAUAUGGGAUUAUGGAGAGACUACCUAUAAGUAUAUUGCGUGGGAAUUGUUCCUUUAUCUGGAGAGCCCUUAUCAACGUAUGGCCUUUAUUGUGUGAAAAUUUAUUUCAGUCGAUGGAGAAUGAGAAUUCUAUUUCAUGUUGGAAGGAUCAUUGGAUUUCAAACAUAGGAUCGUUGUUUAAUAACAUGCCUGUACACAAUAAUUCUAUUCUUGAUUGUACUCUUAAUGAUAUGGUAACAAAGGAUGGCAUAUGGAACCUGGAUUUAUUCAGAGUCCAGCUAUUGGAAAAUAUUGUUAUAGAAUUGUAAGUAUCCUCCCUCCUCAUCUUUUAGUAGGAGAAGAUAUAAUCAAUUGGCUUUGUACUUCCACUUGCUCAUUUUUGGUUAAAAGUGCGUACUAAUCUAUCAGAGAAACCACGUGGCAUUCAAAAGACAGAUGGUGGAAAAUCGUUUGGAAAUUUCAAAGUCCUCGCGUGUUCGACUAUUUUUAUGGCUUGUGUUUAAACAACGUCUCCUUACAAAUAUGGAGAUAUUAAGGAGAGGCAUUGCUAAUAAUGGUGUUUGUUUAAGAUGCAAUCAUGAGCCUGAAGAUAUCUUGCAUGUGCUUAGGGAUUAUCCUGCUACCAAAGAAGUUUGGAUAUGUCUUGUGCUGAACAAUAAGCAAGUUGGUUUUUUUUUUCUAGUAAUCUACUUGAUUGGAUGGAACCCAAUUUAUGUAGUACUUUGAGGAUGCUAAGUAUGAGAAUCACUUGGGCUAGCCUUUUUGGUUUAAUUGUCUAGCGCAUAUGGAAAAACAAAAAUCUUUUUGUGUUUCAAGAAUUAUCUUAGACUCAUUCUGAAACUAUUAGAUCAUCUAUUAGUUGGGCUAAGCAGUUUGAUUUAGCUCACAAGAAAUGAUCAUCAAGACAACAUUUUACUGAUCUCAAUCUACCUUUAUUAGAUAAUUGGAUUUUCUUAUAUACUGAUGGUGUUAUUAAGUCAGAUGCAGGUUUCACUACUGCUGGGGGUGUAUGCACAAAUAGAAUGGAGAUUGGAUAUUAGGUUUCAAUCAUUAUUUGGGAGAAUGUUCAGUCUUUGAUGCUAAGCUUUGGGGUGUCAUGGAUGGUUUGAUUCUUCUUGAAAGACAGGGGUUCAACAAGGUUUUGAUUCAUACUGACAAUUUAGAGGUGGUUAAUGCCCUCCAACAUAGACAUUUGGCAAAUUCUUUAUCGAGAUUAUUGUGAAGGAUAAAUCAAAUACUAAGGAAUAUGGACCAAUGUAGUAUUAGACAUAUUCCAAGUGAGAUGAACCAGGUGGCUGACUACAUAGCCAAAAUAACUUUUAACAGAACAUUUGAAGUACAAGUAUUUGAGGAUGUAGCUAAGCAACUGGAAGCAGGAUUACGCACAAAUAAGUUUACUGCCCUUUUAAAUCAUGGUGACUUGAACUUAAUAUUUUUUUUAAAAAAAAUCCUAAAUAAACUCCAUAUAAUUUAUUAUUUGAAUAGUUGACUUAUAGAAAUAAAACAUAUAGUCAUUUAAUUUUGUAAUUUACAAAUAAUUUUACUCUUUUAAAUCUCUAAUUAAUUUGGGGCAAGUGCGAAUCUAAAAGGAGUAGACAAUCCCCUACCCAAAAUUGUUAAGUCCUAAAAAUGAAGAAAAUUUUGUGAUGCCUUAAAAAAAAUUAUAAAGAAAUUAUAAAUUAAUAAUGAUAAAAUUAUAUUUUAAUCUUUCAAAAAUUUAUAAUUCAAUUUCAACCCCUUAAAAUAAUUUUUAAAGUCACUCUAUUCGUGAAGGAAUAGUGAAUAUAAAAUAAGUGUUAUUUAAGAAUCUUAUUCAAUUUUUAAAACACAAACUUUUUUUCACUCCAAAUAUAAUUAAUUUACUUAAUUAUUAAAAUAUGAAUGAACACUAAGUCAAUAUGAAUGUUACAUCAUAUAAAAAUACUGGAUUUUAAAUUUGUGUUAGUGUUAUAAUUAAAGGUGGAAGAACACAACCGCCAAUGAUAGAAGCAGGGGGAGAUGCCAUUUGCUUGGUGUUUUCCUUUAAUCUUUCUAUUUUACAUUUCAUGUUUCUUUUACUUCGGAAAAGGAAAAUAAAGUCAAUUUAAAGUAUGAAGAGAGAAACAUAAAAUGUCUGAUAUCCCCAUUUAAGAAAAUAAUGAAAAACAAAUGUAACGAUGAACUCCAGUCAAUAUAAAAGCUGUGUAAAUCAUCAACAGCAUGCGUCCAGAACACAACAACAGCAUAAAGCAGCAGCACUGCAAUAAAGCCCAAACAAAUUAAUACCAAUGGAUUUUAACAAAGUGUUACUGAUUAAUAAAUUCACAAUAUAAUAUGGACAAUUAUUUUGUUACUUACCAACCCUUCCAGAAUCCAUCACCUCUGGACUUGGUUUCCACCGCAACAAGCUUUUGGGAAUAGUAGGGCUGAUCAUCGCCUUUGCUCAAUGGGUAACCAGCCGGCUGUGGAGCCACAUACGGACCUGCUUCCGUGGAUGGUGGUUGGCUUGCAACUGGAACAACAAUUCAACAACUAAAACCGGAAUUAGUCGCUGGUUUUUGCAUCACUUAGAAACCAUAGUUAUUGAAAACUCUCUCGAUACAUAUAUAUAUAGCAUAUUAGCAUGUGAAGAAGAGUGGUGACCUGAAGGUUGAUUUAUCUGCUGCUGUUGGUUAUGGUUCAUCUUCGAAUCUAGUUCGAACAAGCGGGAAACAAAGAUAUUGGUUUUCAAGAAAUGAGAAGAAAGUAAUUUCUAUGGAGGAAACUGGGAUAUUGUAUGUGUAUAUAUAUAUGUCAAAGGGAAGAAAAGAGCGCAAAGGGUAUAAGAUAAAUAUCGGAGGAUUUUCCAAAGCGACGUUUCCUCUUUGGAAUUGCCGUCGGCAGCCGGCACCGCGCCGGCUGGACGGGUGGGUGGUGGUGAUAACAUGCGACCAAACGUCCAUUUACACGUCUCCCUCCCAGGGGGUUUAUUUUAAUUAUACAACAUUUUCUUAACUUUGGCUUCAUCUUCUCAAUUAUUUGUCAAUUUCCUUCCUAGAUUUUUUUUUAAAGUUAUUUUAUCAAACAGUGACGCUACAUCAUUUCUAUCGCUUUAAUUUUUUUUUGAAAUUUAGGAUAAAAUUGAUGAUAUGGCAUUAAACAAUUGGAAAGAGAUAAUAUAUCUGUUUUAUACAAAUUUUUCCCGUUAUUUUAUUGUUCAUUUAGAUGUAUUUAAAUUUAAAUUUAUCGAAUAUAUAAACUUAAAGGUUAAAAUAUGCUAUUAGUACUUAUACUUCUAUAGAAUUUGAGAAUUAGUCCUUGUAUUUUAAAAAUUAAAAAUUAAAUCCUGCUACUUUUUUAAUUUAAAAAUUUUAGUUAAAUCAUGAUUGUCAUUGGUAGUUUUCGUUAAUAUUUGUCACUAUAAUAUGUUUAUUUUCUAUCACUUAUACACCAUGGCAUAUGAAAGUAGUCUAACCAACAUGUCCAAUUGAGAAAUUUUAAUUGAAAUUACUUAUCAUUUCCAUGAUUGGACUGAAAAUUUUAAAUAAAAAAAUUAGGAGAACUUCAUUUAAAAUUUUUUAAGUGUAGGGACAAAAUCUCAAAUUUUUUGUCAAAGUAAGGACUAAUUACAUAUUUUAACCAAAGUUAAAUUAGAAUAAAAAUAAUUUUUUUCAAUAAAAUAAAAAAAUUAUUAAGUAAUUAAUAUUGUAAUAUGGAAUACAUGUCAAAUUAAUUAAUAUUAUGAUAUAUGAAAUAUAUAAGCUAAAAUUAUAAUAAAAAUUAUAAUUGAUACAAAUGUAAAUAGCUUUUUUCUUUCACAUAUUAUUAUCACGAUGUCAAGUUAUUAUUAUUUUGGUAUUAUCACAUAUUCAAUUUAGAUUAUAAUAUAAACAUAAUAAAAUAAUUUAUGUUAAUUCAUUGUUAAUAUUAUGAUAUUUUAAAUAAUAAAUUAUUUAUAAAAUUUAACUUGAAUAUAUAAGUUGUAUUCGUCUUUUUAUAAUUAAUAUAAAUGAGCGGUAAAUAUAAAUUUAAUACGACUUUUAACGAAUCAAAAGCUAAAAUUUGUACCUUUUUUAUUCUGUGGCGUAUUUGGAAGAAUCGAAAUAUGUACAUCCUUCAGGGGAAUUCUAUGCAGCCAGGAGAGAUUAUCAAAACUUCUUUUAGCUAAGCGAAGCACUUCAUCUCUACUCAUAAUGAACACUUGGAUGUUAGCACGCAACAGAGCUUCAAGUGUUCAGAUUCAGGUAGGUGUGUCUAUCUUAAUACUGAUGGUGCUGUUCACCCUGUCUCUGGUUUUUCUACUGUAGGUGGAGUUAUUCGUGACAGGAAAGGAAACUAGAUCUUGGGCUAUAAUUGCUUAUUGGGGAAGUGUUCAGUUUCGGUAGCUGAACUCUGGGGCUUAUUGGAUGGCUUACUUCUCCUCCAGAAAUAAGGAUACGAUGAGGUCAUCCUUCAGUUGGAUAAUCUAGAGAAUGUCAUCUUUAUUAGUGACAAGUUAUUUGCAGGAUCUAAAAGCACGCUAAUAAGGAGAAUUCAACAAAUCUUAGCCUCUGAAAGAAGUUGGUCCUUGUGGUAUGUUCCUAGAGAGAAGAAUAAGAUAGCAAAUGCCUUAGCAGAAAUGACUUUGUCAAAUGAUGAUUCACUGCACAUGUUCAAAGAACCCUCUAUGGAGAUUAAGGAUGUAACGUCCCCUAACCCUAUACCUUCACCAGAAUAGGGUUACGAGACAUUACCAGUCAGUACAGUCUAAUUCCAGUCAUUAAUUAAAAUAAAUAUUCACACACAUCCCAGUUUUAAGAUGUCGUCCCUUUAAUGGGCUGUAAUAGCCCAAAAUUGGGUCUAGUUGGAAUAGAGGUUUCAGGACCACAAAAUUUGAGAUAUAAAUAAUUAUUUUAUGAUUAUUUUGAUGUCUAUGAUAUGAUUGCAUGAUUGUGUGAAAAUUUCGUGAAGAAAUUCUAUGCAUAAAGUUCUUAAUUCGAAGUUAGGGACUAAAUUGAAUAAGUAGCAAAACUUGCAUUCUAGAAGUUUCUAGUAUGAAAUUGAUUUGAAAUAUUAAUUAGGAGGUCUUAAAUAGCAAUUUGACCAAUUUCUAAGUUAUGGACAAAAAUUGGACAUGGAUGGAAUUUUUGGAAAGUUUAGUAGUAAGGGUAUUUUGGUCAUUUAGGGGUAAAAUGAAUUAAAAUACAAAAUUAAAAGCCAAUUUUGCUCAUCUUCUUCACCAUGGACGUGUAUACCAAGGGAGACUCCAUGGAUAGGGUUUUCAAGCUUCCCAAGCUCAAUUGUAAGUCCGUUCUAACCCCGUUUUUCAAGUUCUUUACGUUUUUAGAGUCCCGGUAACUUGAUUUAGCUUAUGCUAGCAAUAAUUCAACCUAGGGUUCAUAUUUGGAAAAAUACCCAUAGGUAAAAUUUGUGUAUUCUGGUGUUUUAUGAUACAACAUGAGGUUUUAAGUUAUGUUAGACAACUUGUGCUACUCGGUUUUAAGUGAAAACGAGCAAAAGGGCUUAAUCGGUAAAAAUACCUAAUAGUCAUAAGUAUAUGUUAGAGUGAGAAUUUGAUGUUGCCAUAAAAGGGAAAAGUGAUCAUCAUGUCAUAAAACAUAAGAAUAAGGGAUGAAGUUUAAUUCCCGAGCCUAGGGGCAAAAGUGUAAAUAUGCAAAAGUUUAGGGGCAAAAUUGUAAUUUUUCCAAAGUUUGAGUUAAGGACUGUUUUGAAUAGUAAAUUAAUUAAAUAAGUAAAAUAUGAUGUUUUAGAUCCCAGAAAAAGAGAUUUGAACCUAGAAUGAGAGAAAAAUUGAAAAUUGGGAAAGUUAGUAAAAUGGCCGUUUUAAUAUCAAGGUAAGUUCAUAUGUAUAAUAAGCAUUAAUUUAUGCAUGUUUCAAUGUAAAAUUGAUAUAUUUACUAUGAUCUCCAAGGUGUUGAAAGUAUGUAAGUUGGUAUGAUAAUAAUACAACAAUAAUGCUGUAAUUUAUAUUUGAAAGUUAAAUUUAGUGAAUUAAUUGAAUUAUGUUAAAUUAAAUGAUUAUGGUGCCAAGUUUAUGAAUUGAUUUAAAAAUAUGUCUAUGGUACAUGAAGUGCAUUGAAUUAUCAUACAUAAAUGUGAUUUCUAUGAUUAUGGAUAUUAUGGGAAAUUGUAAAUUCAUAUGAUUUUUAAUAAGACAAUGUGUAAUUUAAUGUUAUUGCGUUGAUAUUAAAUGAGAUGUAAGUUUAUAUGUAAGUAAUACAUCACUAUUACUUGUAUUAUGAUAUUUUAUAAAAAUAUUGGAAAUAUAUUUGUGGAUAAUUACUUGAUUGGUGAAAUCGUUGGAAAAGAGAGAGAAAUCCCGGUUGAACCUUCGGAAAGAUUGGAUGAUACAGAUGGUAUGUAGCUAGGUCACAUGUAUAGUGCUGAGUGCACAUCAUGUGUACAAGAGAGCUACAAGACAUUAUGAUGUAGCUAGGUCGCAUGGGUGAUACUAUGUGUACACCAUGUAGACAAGAGAGCUACGGGAUAUAUGUAGCUAGGUCGCAUGCGUGGUUCCAAGUGAAGGACACCAUGUAGACAAAAGAGCUACGAGAUAAACUGGCUAGGUCACAUGGGUGGUACUAAGUGUUCACCAUGUGUACAAGAGAGCCGAACUAUAUGAUGGGUGGAGCUAUGUACUGAAACCACCAAGUAUCGAGGAUUGAUCCGAAGUGUUCAACGGGAGACUCUCUAUGUAUUGCUUUGUGAGUUUUGUGAUGAAUAAGUGCAGGAACUUGGUUAUGUGAAUGAUGUGUUCAUUAAGUGACCAGGAUGUGGUAAGGUUAUAAAAAAGUAAGUUAUACAUGAGGAUGAUUUUAUGGUGACCUUGUGAUCAUGGGCCUAUACUUGUGAUGUAUGAAAUGUGGUGAAAAUGAGGUUAAUACAAAGAAAGUGUGAAAGAGUGAAUUAGCAAUAAAACUGUUUUGGACAGUAGCAGUGACGUGAUUUUGAAAAAUCACCAAAAAUAGUAUAAAUUGAAUCAGAGACUGAAUGAGAUAUCAAAUUAAAGCUUAAUGAGUUUAUUUUCAUAUAAAAGAAAUAUAGAAAGCAAAGGAGUUCUAUAUUUUGAGAUAUUUAUGUUUUUGUGAGACUGAUUCAGAAUGAUUACGUGAUCCCCUGUUCUGACUUUGGAAAAUCACAAAAAUUUGGAGAAAAAUAAUUAGAGGCUCAAAAUUAUAUUUUUUAAAAUCCAUAAUGAGUCUAUUUUCAAGAUAAAUCAACAAGAACAUUAUCCGAGUUCUGUACUGUGAGAUAAUUAUUUUUUAGUGAAGAGAGGUCAGAACUGUCAGAAAGUGAAACAGGGGAAAUUUUAAUGAACAAACUGUACUAAUUGGCUGAACCAAAAAUUAUGAAAAUUUUAUGGUGGAAAUAUAUGUGAGUCUAGUUUCAGGGGAAAUUUACGGAUCUUAAUUUGGAGCUCUGUAGCUCGAAUUAUAAAUAAUUAAGUGACUAUGACUCGUGUGGACAGUUUGAUGUGAACAUUUAUUAGUAAAUUGUGAAAUCGUACUUACAAGAAUGCUAUAUACAUUAAGGAUGUGGAAUGGAGAGGAGGAGGAGGAAAAUAAAUAUAUGUGGAAUACAUGGAAACUAUGGUAUAUGAAAUAUUGAUAUAAUGAAAUAAAUGAUAUGUGUUUAUAAGAAAACAAAAAGAGAAUGUUAUGUAUCAUGACAUGUAUAUAUAUAUAUAUAUGACUAGUCUCAAUGUAAUGCUUGUUGGGUAUGGAAUUGAAUUGAAAUGUUUCAGGCAAACAUGUUAUUCUGCGCAUCCGAAUCGUGGUAUUUUAUAAAGAUAUGAUCUAGCUUUAAAUAUGAAUGCUUGAUGAUUAAGCUGAAGAUAUUUGGUAAGAUGAUAAUCUUGGUAUAAAUGUAUAAGUGGUACUAUAAUAAACAAGGUAAAAUGAGUAUGAGAGACACAUGUAUGAUGACAUACAAAUGCUAUGUUUGUGGUUUAAUUGAGGAUGUUUAAUCAUUACAUGAAUACCAUGUUAUAUGCUUUUGAUUUUGUAUAAAUGUGUAAGAUAUCAAGGUUGACCAAAGCUUGGAAAAUAGCCUAGGUAUAUUCCACACAGGCAGAGACACGACCAUGUGUCUCAGCCGUGUAUGGAACACGACUUUGGGACACGGGCAUGUGGAGCCUUAAAGCAUGAAAUUUCCAAGAUUUUCGUAAGUUCUCGGUUUAGUCCCAAACCCUUUCUAAAGUAUGUUUUGGGCUCCGUAGACUCAAAUAAGGGACUAUGUGUAAGAUAAUGAACGCUUUGAAUUAUGAAUAAAAUUUUAUGGCUCGUAUUUUAGUUUAAUGUUUGUAUGUUUUUCUGGUAACGCCUCGUACCUUAGCCCGGCCUCGGAUACGGGUAAGGGGUGUUACAUGGGCCCUCGCGGUCCAAUAUGAUUAGUAAAUUCAAUUCGGGACUAAUUUAGAAUCACUACGAAUUUUUAGUAAAUUUCAAAAUUCAUACUACAUACCGUUGCCAACCAUAAUUUACUCAUUUCAUCAAUACUUUUACAACCUAAAUGACUCUCAUUAAACAUCCUGGGUACAUGCCAUUAUCAAUACUUAGCGUACAGUUUGUUUCCGUGCGCAGGUUAAGUAAAGAUAGUACGUUGAAUCAGCAUCCCAGGACGAUCCUGAAUUCAUUAAGGUAAAGUAUGUAAUUGUAAAGAACCGAAAGUUACGGUAUCGGAAAUUGAGUCUUGAGUACUGUUUCCGUGAAAUUUAUUCAUGAAUAUUUAUUAGAAAUAUUUAUGAAUUAUAGUUGAAUGGUUAUUUAGUGUUUAAUUAAGUGAAGUAGCUUGAAUUUAGUUUAAAGGGCUAAAUUGCAUAAGGAAUAAAAGUUUAAUUAUAGAUUAAAGAAGUAAAAGGGACUAAUCUAUUAAUUAGACCCUAAGUGCCAUGUGUGUGUUAAUAUUGAAUAACAUGUGUAAUAGUUGGUAUAUAUGUGUAAUAGCUAUAAGAUAUUUUAUGUUAUAGCUAUUACACAUGUUAGUUUUAUAUUUAUUAUAGGUUAAUAAUAGUAUAAUAAGUAAAAUUGAUAAAAUAGAAAAAGAAGAUAGAAAGACUAACAGAGAGCAAACGUGAAAGAAAGAAGAAAGAAAGAAAGAAAUAAAAAAGGGAAAUUUGAGGAUUAAGGCCCUAAAGUUUGAUUUGUAAGUUGUUUUAGCUCAUUUUCUUAUGAUUUUUAUGUUUAUGGAUGCCUAAUUCAAAGUUCUACAUGUAUGAGGUUAAAAUGAAGAAAAAUAGAGAAUUUUUGGAUAUUGAUUUAGUUGAAUAAAUUGAGGUUUUAUGGGUUAAAUUGAUAGAAAUUGAAGUUAGAAGUGAUUAGUUAAAUGAAUUUCUAAGUUAAGUUGAACAGUGCUCAAAAUUUAUGUUUUAUAAUGAAUUUGAUGAGUUAGAAAUUGUUAAUGAGUUGAUUAAAAGAGAAUAUGAAGCUUAAGUUAAAGAAAAAAAGAUUAGUAAUGGAAAAAGAAUGAAAUUGGAAUUUUUGUAAAAGUUUGGUAGAAAGUGAAAAUGUGUUUUAUGAAUUAAUAUAGUGAUGAUUUUUAAUUGUAUGAUUGUUAGUAGCAAACGUAGCACCGAAUACGUCAUCAAAGAAGGGAAAAGAGAAAGUGAACGAAGAUAUUGAUUAAAUUCGAUAAAUAGUGGUUUGUAUUUCUAUAAACCGAGCUUAAUCGUUAUUGCUAUAUUUGAUAUUUAUAUUGUAUGAAAAUGUGAAUGAGGUAACUAUUUUUACCAUAUUGAAAUGAAUGUGAUUUUGAAUUCCCUAUGAACAGUGUCGGGCUAGUCGGAUAUAGUUGACAUGUCAUAGGAAUUGGAAGUAUUGGGAUAUUCCGACAUUGAGUCGAUGAGACAGUAUGUGUCGACUACUGUUAAAGUUUCGGAUUUGUUCCGAUGAAGUACUUUGUGUACUAUAAUGUUAAAGUUCUGGAUUUAUUCCGAUGAAGCACUAUGUGCUUAUCCUGGAGUGUGGGUUGGAUCCGUGUAUCCGUCAGUGUCCGAGUUAUGUUAAUAAGGGUAAAUAAAGUAAAGGUUAUUAAAGUACUGAUUGAUAUUGAAUAAUAGCAAUAAUGUGUUUGAAUUUCCAUGUUUUAAAGUUGAUUAAGCUAUUUUUAUAGAAAUACCACUGAGAGUAUUCUCAGCGUACGGUUUGUUUCCGUGCGCAGGCUAGGUACGAAAGUAUAAGGACUCAGCAUACAAGCGGAUCCCCAAACUCAAAUUGGUGAAGUUUCUAUCUUUUUGGAAAAUGGCAUUGUACCUAGGAUGUCUUUUGGUCAUUUUGAAAGUAUCUAAGUUGUUAAGUGAUAUUUUGGUAUGUUUUGUAAAUGUUACCAAAACCUUAAGUAUGGUAUGUUUUGAUAUGUUAGUGAAGAGUAAUAAGAGGAAGUGUUGGUAAAUAUUGUAGAGAGAAGAAAUGAAGAUGUUAUAAACUUAGUUAUCAACAUUUUAUACUAAAACAGAUUUGGACAGUAGCGGUAGUCCAACUUUGAAAAUAUACCAAAAAUAGUAUAAAGUGAAUUAGAUAAUGAAUAAAAUUUGUAAUUGAAGCUUAAUGAAUCUAUUUUUAUAUGGAAGAAAUAAAAUAGGUAAAAGAGUUGUAUUUUAUGAGAUAUUUACGUUUUGGUGAAACAGGGUUAGAAUAAUUUCUAGAUUCCCUGUUCUGACUUUAGAAAUUCACCAUAAAUUGUGUAUUAAGAAUUAGGACUCAAACUUUAUUUUUAUAGAUUCCUUAUUGAGUCUAUUUUUAAUUGAAACAAAUGGCAUAGUCAUUGGAUUUCUGUACAGGAAGAAAUUUGAUUCGUAGUGCAUAAGGGUCAUAGUAGCCAAACCCUGAAAUAGGGGAGACUUUUUCUAAUAAACUGUACUAAUUAGCCUGACCAAAAAUUCUAGAAAAAAAUUAGUAAGUAGAUAUAUGAGUCUAGUUUCAGGGAAAAUUUACGGAAUUAGAUUUCAAGUUUCGUAACUCGAGAUAUGAUUUUUUUAGCGACCGUGACGUAGAUGGAUAGUUUACUACGAAAACUGUUUAAGUGCUAAGAUAAGUUUUGUAAUGUCUCCUGCUCGACUCUGGCGACGGUCUCGGGUAGGGGGACGUCACGGCAGGUCUAGUCGGUUCUCGGAAUAGUUAGUGUGAGUAAAAGUCUAGCUAUACAUGCCAUACCUGUAUUUUGAUAGUGUGACGACUCUUGACGAUUUUUAGAUAUUGUGACAGCCCUAAAGUGACCCUAGUCGGAAAGCGGUUUCGGGACUGCUAAACCGAGUCACCAAAUUAUUUGAAUAUGAUAAUUAUUGUCUAAAAUAUGUGAAUAUGAAUGUGUGAAAGUUUGAAGCUUCGAUUUAGUUAAUUGCAUGUGAAUUUAGUAAAUAGGACUUAUGUGUGACACUUUUGAAAUGUGAUAGGUUAAUCUAUAAGGAUCUAUUAGUGCAUGUAGUCAAAAGGGUGGACUUGCAUGUCAAUUUCCCCACUUAAUUAGUAGUGGCCGGCCAUGACAUUGAGGAUAGACAAAAUGUGAUGGGUAAAAACAUGUCAUAAACAUGUUGUGUUAAUGGUUGAUGUUAGAAAUGAUAAAAUAAGGAGCAUGGUAAUAAAAUAAUGAAAAGGAAAAUGAUGAAGAAAAAAAAAGGGUUCUCAUGUGGUGAACUUGGCCGAAUAGAAGAAAGAAAGAGAGGGAAAAGAGCAUGGAGAAAAUCGGCUAUGGUGGUUCGCUAGGCUAAGGUAUGUUGAUGUUGUUCCAUGAGAUUCAUGCAUAUUUUUAGUUGUUAGCUUGAGUUCUACCUAUCCCAUGGUCUAAAUCUUUGUUAUGAGAUGGAGAUGAUAUUCGGCCAUGGGUGUUGCCUUCUUGGUUGGUGGUUGAUGUUGUGGUGAUGAGGCAUGAAGAUGAACUAAGUUUCGGCUAAGGUGGACUUGUGUUGAUGUCAUUUGCAUGCUAAGUGUGAAGCUUUGUAAUGAUACAUGUGAUGGUGAUUGAUGACUCUUGGAUUUUCUUUUUAGCAUUUUUGAGUUAGACAUUAAGUUCUUUGUUUAACCCAUGACCAAAAUUGAAAUGGUAUGGCGUCUUGAUGCAUUCGGCCAUGGUAGGAAGUAGAAGAGAAAUUGGUUGUUGUUCAUGUUAUUUGGAUGAAAAAUGGUAGUAAGGUGAAGUGCAAAUGUUAGUAUUAAAUUACUAGUGUAUAUAUGUGUAUUAGCCGAGUUUUGAACUUGAAACAAAUGGUAUGUAGUCAAUACAAGUAACCACAUUUGUAGGAAGUAUUAAGCAUAUAAUUGGCCUCAACAUAGACAUGCAUAUUCGGCCACAUGAGGUAGAUUGGUGUUGCAUGUAUUCGGUUAGAGGCAAGCACAUUGAUGCUUUUGUCUUGACUUAGAUAAUCGACUCAAGGAGAAUUUGUUAAAGUGCUUAGUCAAUUGAUAUUAGGUUAAUGAUGUGUGUAUUCGGUCAUCAAGGUGCACAUGAGGAAAUGUUAGAUUAAUUGUAUUAAAUUGCUCAAUGUGAUUAAAAAUGCGUAUGACCAUUUUGUAUUUGAGCUAAAGGUGGCCAUAUGACCUAUCAAACUCCUUGUCAUAUUCGGCCAUAAGCUAGCAUAAUGAGACUCUAAUAAGUUAAAUUUGUUUGAAUUAGCUCAAGAGCUUAAAGGACCAAAGUCGGAUAGGGGGAAAGAGAAAGUAAACGAAUAGCCGUGGAUAUCUAGUUGUCGACCACUUCCGAGGUAAGUUUUAAGUGAUUAAACGUUGAGUAAAUUCAAUCAUAAUAGGACAUAAUGAGUUGAUUUAAUAAGAUAUGAUGUGGCCAUGAUAUGUUUUAAACUCAAAUGGUGAGUUCAUAAGUGUUUGGACUUGGAAAUUUAAGAGCAAAUUGUAAUAUUUUGCUUAGGACAGCAGCAGUAACGUGAUUUUAGAAAAUCACCAUAAAUUGAUGGUGUGGAAUUAUAGGCUGAAUAAAAUAUGUAAUCAAAGCUUAAUUAGUCUAGUUUCUUAUAAAAGAUACCAUGUGAGCAAAUAAAUUUCCUAUAAAUAGAUAUUUAAAGUUGAGUGAGACGGUGUCAGAAUGACUCCGAAAUCCCCUGUUCGGUUUUUAGAAAAUCAUUAUAAUUUGUACAAAAAUGGUUAUAAGAUAAAAUUUAUAUGCUUAGACUCCUUAAUGAGUCUAGUUUCAAAUGAAAUCAAAUAGAACACACUUUGAAUUCUUUACAAUUAGAAAUUUGAUUCGUAGUGAAGAAUGGUCAGAUUAGUCAAACAGUGAAACAGGGGAAACUUUAAGAAAAAUCUGGUAUUGAUUGGCCAAACCUAAAAUUCUGAAAAUUUUAUGGAUGGAAGAUAUAUGAGUAUAUAUUCAGAGAAAAUUAACGGCAAUUGAUUUUGAGUUUUUUAGCUCCAGUUAUAAAUAAUUUAGUGACUAUUGCUCAGGAAAACAGCUUGUAGUGAAUAUGUGAAUUUGUUGUAAACAUUGAUGAAACUAUUUGAGUUGCUUAUAAGCUAUUGCUGAAAUUGAUGCAUGAGAUAUGUAUAUGUGGUAAAGCCGAAUGGCUAAUGUGAAAUAUGUAUGAGAUAUGUAUAUGUGGUAAAGCCGAAUGGCUAAUGUGAAAUAUGUAUGAGAUAUGUGAAAUAUGUAUGAGAUAUGUAUAUGUGGUAAAGCCGAAUGGCUAAUGUGAAAUAUGUAUGAGAUAUGUAUAUGUGGUAAAGCCGAAUGGCUAAUGUGAAAUAUGUAUGAGAUAUGUGAAAUAUGUAUGAGAUAUGUAUAUGUGGUAAAGCCGAAUGGCUAAUGCGAAAUAUAUAUAUAUGAGAUAUGUAUAUUUGGUAAAGCUGAAUGGUUAAUGUGAAAUAUAUAUAUGAGAUAUGUAUAUGUGGUAAAGCCGAAUGGCUAAUGUGAAAUAUGUAUGAGAUAUGCAUAUGUGGUAAAGCCGAAUGGUCAAUGGUCAAUGUAUAUAUGAGAUAUGUAUAUGUGGUAAAGCCGAAUGGCUAGUGUGAAAUAUGUAUGAGAUAUGUAUAUGUGGUAAAGCCGAAUGGCUAAUGCGAAAUAUAUAUAUGAGAUAUGCAUAUGUGGUAAAGCCGAAUGGUCAAUGUGAAAUAUAUAUAUGAGAUAUGUAUAUGUGGUAAAGCCGAAUGGCUAGUGUGAAAUAUGUAGGCGAUGUGUGUAUAUUGUGGCCGAAUGACCAAAUGUGAAAGGUGUGUAUUAAUAGAUAUUUGAUGAGGCAAAUGAAUUACAAAUAUGACGGUCGAUGUGAAUGUUGUAACAUGUAUUUAAUGUACAUGAAACUUGGAAAUAUAUUCCGGCUAAGACCCGAUGACUACGUGUGGAGAUUAUGUCCGGGUAAGACCCGAUGACUACGUGUGGAGAUUUUGUCCGGGUAAGACCCGAUAACUUCGUGUGGAGAUUUCAUCUGAGCUAAAGGUCUCGCCGAUAAUCCGAGUAGAGGUUAAAGCUAUAAGACUUCGUAAUAAGAACUGCUUAUAAAUAUAUUCAAUGCGAAAGGUUAAACAGGUAUGUACUCCAAGUUUANNNNNNNNNNNNNNNNNNNNNNNNNNNNNNNNNNNNNNNNNNNNNNNNNNNNNNNNNNNNNNNNNNNNNNNNNNNNNNNNNNNNNNNNNNNNNNNNNNNNNNNNNNNNNNNNNNNNNNNNNNNNNNNNNNNNNNNNNNNNNNNNNNNNNNNNNNNNNNNNNNNNNNNNNNNNNNNNNNNNNNNNNNNNNNNNNNNNNNNNNNNNNNNNNNNNNNNNNNNNNNNNNNNNNNNNNNNNNNNNNNNNNNNNNNNNNNNNNNNNNNNNNNNNNNNNNNNNNNNNNNNNNNNNNNNNNNNNNNNNNNNNNNNNNNNNNNNNNNNNNNNNNNNNNNNNNNNNNNNNNNNNNNNNNNNNNNNNNNNNNNNNNNNNNNNNNNNNNNNNNNNNNNNNNNNNNNNNNNNNNNNNNNNNNNNNNNNNNNNNNNNNNNNNNNNNNNNNNNNNNNNNNNNNNNNNNNNNNNNNNNNNNNNNNNNNNNNNNNNNNNNNNNNNNNNNNNNNNNNNAGGGAGGGGAGAGAUCCUCUCUUUCGCACCUUUUGGGCUGAGAAGGCUUGGCCUUUGGGGACGCUUUAAACAGGGGCUAGAAAGCCAAGCUCGCAACGUCCCAACUACCGCCUGUGGUGGCGCCGUGACAAUGGCGGCGACGAGGGUUUCAAAACCCUAGCCGCAAGGAAAAGAGGAGAGGGAGAGAGAGCAAAAGCUCUCUGUUUUUUGUUUCUCAAAAAAAUGGGCUGCAAAUGAAGAAUUUUUUUUAAAAAAAAAUUUUGGGCUUAAAUAUACUGAUGAAAUGGCACUGUUUUUGUGAUUGGGUUCAAAGGCCAAAAUAACGUCGUUUUGGGCCCUGAACCGCACGACCCGACCCAUACCCAUGGGAGAUCCGCGUAUUCCCUUUAAAUGGGAAAAUAUCCGCAUUGGUUCCUCCGAAUUUUCGCGUCCUUCAAUUUAGCCCAACCCUUACUUUUAUUUUUUUUAAAUUAUCCAUACAAUUUUAGUUUUAAUUCAUUUCAGCCCCAAAACAAAGCAGCGCAUAGAAGGGUCUGGGGCAUUUUCUAUUUCACCCCCUGAGAUUUUUCAACUUGCUGCGAUUUGGCCCCUUUGCUUCAUUUUUGCUAUUUCAAAUUUAUACCCUAAAUUCUGAUUCAUUUUCAAUCACGUCCAAAAUUUAUUUAAUUCAUUUGUUAACUCUUUUUUUUUAAAAAAAAUAAAAAACGUUUCAUUUAUAUGUCAUGUUAAAUAUUCUAUAUGUUGUUUAUUUUACAUCUAUUUUACUGUUAAUUCAAAUUAUUAUUAUUCAUUCUAACUUGUUUUAUGUACUGCCUAUUCAAAAUUGUUUUAUUAUGAAUCUUAAAUCACCUUAUACAUAUAUAUAUAUACUGGUUUCUAAAUUAUUUCAUAUAUAUUAUUUACUUUAGAUUCUUUCCCCAUAUUAUAUACAUACUGCUUUUCGAAUCUUGAUAUAUAUAUAUUGUUAUUUUAAAAAAAAAAUACUGUUUUGAAUGCUGUCUAUUUCAAAUUUCCUUUUACAUAUUAUUUUAAACUUUUAGUAUAUAAGUUUUAGAUUGAUUUAUUAAUUAUUUUAAAUUAUUUCAUAUGCCUUAUUUUAAACUCUUUUCAUUUAUUUUAAAUUAUUCUACUAUUAUUUAUUUUAAUAUUCUUUAUAAUAUUUAUUUUACACUUUUAUAUUUAUAUAUAUUAUCUACUUUAAAAUAUUAUAUAUAUAUAAUCUGUUUUUUAAACCGUUUUAUACAUAGCUGAUUUUAAUUUUUUUUUACAUUAUUUUGGAACUCAUUUAUUACCAUUCUUGAAAUCAUUUUUACAUUCUAUUUAUUUUAAUUUGCUUUAUACUUAUUUUAUUUUUAAGAUUGCUAUAUAUGUAUUAUUUAAUUCAUUGGUCUCUGAUUAUUAGUGUUGGUAUUUAAUAAUGUAUAUUGUGUGAUUAUUGCCAUUGUGUAUUUUAAUUUGUUGAUUUCGUUUUUUUUUCUUGUAUUUUUGUCGUUUAUUUGUAUAAUGUUUAUUCAUGCAUCAUCGUUCCAUGUCGCACUAUGUUUUUAUUUCAUAUCGUCACCUCAUGAAUCAAGUCUCGUUACAUUCAUCCAAUAAAUCAUUUUAUCUUAAUCCAAGCAAACAACGUACGUCGUUUAAAUAUUGAAUUCGCUAUUAUUCAACACAAAAAUUUUAAAACAAGACAAUGUUUCGCGUUUUGGAAUAUCGAGAAAUUGUGCCCUAACUUACGGGAGUUCGGUUUUCUCGUUGAUUCUAAAUUGCCAAAUAUCCUUUUGAGUUUCAAAACAUAAGGAUUCCCAAUCAAAAUUAAGGACAAACUUGUGUUCGGGAGUUCAUGGUAUUGUGUCCUAACUUACGAGAUGUGAUACUCCGAUAUCUCGAGACAAAGAAAUCUUUAACAAUCAUUUUGGUCUAAUUCAAGCAUUUCUUUUAAAAAAAAAUCAACGUUAAUGAAAAAGGAUCACAUUUUAAAUCCAUUUCCGAUUUUUCAACUUUCGACAUUAAGACAUUAACUAAUCAAUUUGGUACCAAUUCUGGGCGUGACGAGGGUGCUAACCCUUCCUCGCACGUAACCGACUCUCGAACCUUUUUUUUCUCGAGUUUCGUAGACUAAAAACACCGUUUUAGUAAACUAGCAUGUUUUAUUAAAACAAAGAUGAUCCGAUCACACCUAAUAAAGAUCAGUGGCGACUCCUGUUUUAAUCUUCGCUUUCAAACAAAAUUGAUUCCCGUUUUCAAAAAAAUAGUUUUGACAGUCACAAAUAGUAAUUAAUAUAUGUUUAUUUCAAAUAUUAAUUUUUUAUUCUCAACUUAAUUCUAAUUCAAACUGUACAGGCUCAAUUAUGCCUGGCCCAAACUAAAAGACCAAACCCAAUUAAAUACAAACCCUAAAGCCCAAAUCCUAGCCCCCUGCAGAGAAGAGAAAACAGCAGCAGCCCUCAACCCUCAGCAGCACACUCGGCCAACCAAUGGCCGCCUCGCGCACCACCACCGGCAUAUGCUCCCUCCAUGCGUCUGACACGCCCAUACCCUGCAAACACAAACAACAAAAACAGCAGCCACAACAGAGGAAUAAGAGCAUUUUUUAUUGUUAUUGUAAUCGGUUAUAAAACCGAAGGGAGAAAUUUUGAAAGAAGAAAAGAAAAACACUUUGCAAACAAGAUUAAUCAAAAAAAGAAUAGAAUUUUUCGAAAGGUGAAUAUUUUGUUGGUGUUUCAGUUUCCGAUUUUCUUUGCAUUCUAUUUUGUUUUCUUAUUUUUUAUUUACGAAAAAAUAAUAAGGGAAAGGAGGAUAAAAACACACCUUCGAUUAGCCAUUUGGGUGCGCUCCGGUGUCCUUUUGCCGAUCUGAUGGCCGUCGCACCCCUGGGGUUCGACCAACGGCCGUGGCAGAGGGUGAGGAGCCGAUGGGUCCUCCCUUUUCCCUUGCGUUGCUGUGGUCGUGAGUGUUCCUACUUCAAACCCGUUCAAAAAGAGGGUCGAAGAGACCCUUUCCAUGUAGCGCUGGUCGCCGUUCGCGGCAUGGGACAUGGGGGAUCUCCCAAUGAAUCCAUGGUCGGCCAUGGAGGAGGGAUAGAGAGCAAGAGACGCUCUGCUGUUUUUGUGAAAAUGGGGGGGGGGGUUUAAAACCUAACAGAGAAGAGAGAAAGCUUUUGGAAUUUUCUGUAAAAAUGGACUGCAAAAAUGGAAUUUUCAAAAAAAUUUUAGGGUUAAAUCUGCUGCGUGAAACGGCAGCGUUUUGAAGGGUGACCUAAGUGCACCGUUUUAGGGGUGCCCGUUCGCGACCCGACCCGUACCCGGGGGGAUCCGCGUUUUUCCUUUAAAUGGGAAAUUGCUCGCCUUGGUCCCUCCCCCCUUUUCUGAUAUUUGAUUUAGUCCCGAUUGGCUUUUUUUAUUUUUAAAUUUAGCCCGAUUAUUUUAUUCCAUCUCUGAUUUGAUCCCUGGACUGAACAUUGAAACGCAGCGCAUUGAGGGUUAGGGUAAUUGCCCAGUUGACCCCUGUGUCUUCACGCGUAUCUCAAUCUAACCCCCUGGCAGUUUUCUAUUUUAUAAUUUAUACCCUUUUUAUUUUUAUUUUAAUUUAGCCCUCACCCUUUUAUUUCAAAUUGUUUUAUCAUGUUUUUAUACAUUUUAUUUGCUGCCCAUUCAGAUGUUAUAUUUAUUUAGUUUAAAAUUUCACGUGUUACUUAUAAGAUUUGUCACAUUGUUAAUGUGUAUAUAUAUACAUUAUUUAUUUAUGUUCCCUUUUGUAAACUGUUCACCUUUUUAGUUUGCAUGUUUGUUUUAAAUAUUUCACAUGAUGUGUUAAAUUGUUUUGUUUUUAUUGUAUAUUUUAUAUUAUUUUAUCUUAUGCCGAAAACAUUAUUCAUAGCAAUUUAUAAACCACCGUAUUUAUACUUCAAGAGUACCAUUUUUUUAAAAAAAAAAGGAAAAAAAUCAUCUUUUGCAUUAUUUAUUUAAAAUUUAUUUCAUUAGUUUAAAUUGUUUUCAUGUACCCUUCAAAUUUCCAUUUGUUUAUUCUAAAACAUUCUAUUUAUUAUUUAUUAUAGGAUUUUCUUAUAUUACCCGUAGUAUGCUUUUAUGUACAUAUAUUAUUGGUUCUAAAAAUUAUAUGUAUUAUCUUUUCUUAAAUCGCUUUAUAUACAUUAUUGAUUUUAAAAAGAAUUUCAUCUUUUAUUUUAUUUAUUUUUAAACUCGUCUAUUAGUUUUCUUUAUGGUUUUAUACUUUAUUCAAUUUGACUUGCUUUGUACUAUUUAUAUUUUUUAGAUUGCCAAAUAUGUUUUUGUUCAUUAAUUGUUAAUGUUAGUAUGUGAAUGAUGUAUGUGAGCCAUUAUUGUCAUCGCAUGUAUCAUAAAUUGUUCACUUACAUUUUCACCUUGUUCAUGUAUUAUUGUUUAUACUCAUUCUCUCGUAUCUCAUAUAUUUGCCUCACGAAUUAAACCCCAAUGUAUUUAUCCAACAAAUCACCUUAUUUUAACCCAAAUAAAUAACACAUGUUGCUUGAAUAUUGUAUUCGUUACUAUUCAAAAUCAAAAUUUUCCAAAUAAGGCAAUGUUAUGCAUUUUGAAAUAUCGAGGAAUUGUGCCCUAACUUACGGGGUUUCGAUUUCCUCGUUGUUUCUAAAUGGCUAAAUAUCCUUUUCGAGUUUUAAAACACGAAACUCUCAUUUAAAUUAAAAGACGACCUUGUGCUCGAGAAUUCAUGGUAUUGUGUCCUAACUUACGGGAUGUGAUACUCUGAUAUCUCGAGAUAAGGAAAUCUUUAAACAAAUUGUUUUGUGCUAAUUCAAAAAUUUUAGAAUCGAUAUUUAUAGAAAAGAUCGUAUUUUAAAUUCAUUCCCGAUUUUUGAUUUUCGACAUUAAGACACUAACUAAUCAAUUCGGUUCCAAUUCUUGGGCGUGUCGGGGGCGCUAAUCCUUCCUCGCACGUAACCGACUCCCAAACUUGUUCUCUUAAAAUUCGUAGACCAAAACACUGUUUUAGUAAACUAAAAUGUUUUAUUAAAACAAAGGUGAUUCGAUCACACCUAAUAAGGAUCGGUGGCGACUCUCGUUUUAAUUUUCGUUUUCAAAACCAAGUCGAUCCCCGCGUUUUUUCAAAAAAUGGUUUCGACACAAACUACACAGAUUCAAACCAGCAGUGUACACCUUGAUUUCGACAAAAAAAUGUUAAGCAUUUAUAUUAUUUUCAAUAAUAAUAUUUCUGAAACAUUGCAAUUUUUUUUUCUUAAUAUCAUCUCGAUUAGUACAUGUUAUUUUUUUCAUAAACUAAUAUCAGAAUAGUUUAAAUGUUUUUAAAUUAAAAUAAAAUUCAAUUAAUUCUAACUCAAAUCUAAAAUCACAAUCUUUCGACUCAAUUCUGGGCGUAGUAAUAAUUUUCUUUAACUACUUACAGAUUAUGAUGAUUCGCAGAUUACCAAAUAGAAAAAAGGAAGUAGUUAAAGAGUUCCAAUCAACUGAAAAAAGAAAAAGAAAAAACCCUAACACACUUGAUUAUGCUUCAAAUACAAUUUGUCGAUGGCGAAGAGGUUGAGAAUCAUUGAAUAAAUGAUGAAAUCUCCCAGUUCUAGAAUUUAAAUACUUUGAUUAGUGUUGGCUUUGUCACUUUUUAACCAAAACUUUCUAAAAUUACAACUGAACGAAUCCAUUUCAUGAUCAUGCUUUGGCUUUUGAAUCACAUGUGAGAUGCCAGCAACUGUUAAUAUAGUAAUGAUUGGGUCAUGUGUGAGUCCAACACUACAUGAAUACAAUGUCACUCUAACCAUGUUUUUUAUACACGAUCAAAGGUAGAAUGAAAUAAUAAGAUGUGAACUCGUGUUAAUAAAUAUAUGAUACUGUAUAAAAGUUUUCUUACCUUUGAUAAGGUAUGAAAAGUGACACUUAUCCUAAAGUUCAAAGUUGAGAAUAAAAUUAUCCCUUUCUCCCAAAAGUUACAGGUUACCAUUACCCUACAACUAUGAUAGAAAACUGACAACGAAGAUUAAAUGAGCAGCUACUUUUACACUCUUAUCUUAUAGGUAAGAAGUCCAACAAUAAAGAUAAUAAAUCCAAAUGAUUAUCACGAGGGACCUCAAGGAAUUUUGAGUGCACUAUUUGAUGAUAUGAACAAGGACCACCAUCCCACAUGCAUAUUUCUACACAAAAGAUUUCCCUCCACAACCCCGAAAUUAAAGUUGUAUUCUUUACAUUGCUUUUAGCUUUUGGAAUUUAUAACCAUCCAUGGAAACAAAACCUCUUUUUCCUCAUAAUUUCCUUGUGCAAAAAUUUUCAGAAAUACGUAGUAAUUAUAUAUGUGUGUGUGUGUGUGUGUAUUGUAUGCUUGGAGUUGGUGUAAUAGUUAUGUGUUGGAUGUAAAUUAUGGAGCAAUAGGAGUAGUGGGAAGCAGUGAAUAGUGUGUAGUCUGCCAAUGUCCACCCUAUAGUCUCUUCUGAUUGUCUUCUUCUUCUAUCUUCUGUAUUUGAAAUCUAGCCUCACCUUUUAGCUCUGAAAUUCCACCUUCUGCAACACCUCAUAAAAGCUAGUCCAGAAAUGAACCCCACAUGGUUAAAGUUGUGAACUAUUCGAAAAUGGCCCCCAACCCAAACUAUCCACUUCCAUGCAAUAUGCACAAAUGAAUUGUAUUUAAAAGAUACCACUCUCUGGCAUGUUUUAAACAAAAGGGUACAUUCUGAAAGCUACACUUCAGCUUUAUCAAAUUUAUAUAUACAUUUACACAAUCUUUUUCCAUUUUAUUAUGUAUGAGUCUACAUAAGAGAGGAUUUCCCUGUCUUUUCAGCUCCAUUUGUCUUCAUCUUUUUCUUUCACUAAUAGAAGAACAAUGCAAGUUCUGGUCGGGAAACUGUUCCCUUUCACCAUGUUUAUAUGUCUUAUGAACAUAAUUGUUCUGCCAUUAGUCAGCUCGUCAUCUCAACAACAUGUGAAGUCCAUUGACAGCAUUGCAGAUAAAAAGGAUAGCAUUCAUAAGGUACGGGAUUCAUGUUCUUCACUUAGCAUCUUAUUAUGAGUAACUGAGUUCAGAUAUAUUGCUUUCAGUUUACAAAUUAAGAAGCUUGAGAAUAUUUUGUUUCUGGUUUUGGCUUCUUAUUAAAUAGGUGAGUCAUAAACUGAUGUUUGAGAUUAGACUACAUGGAUUCCUCCUUUGGGCAUCAAUGGGGUUUUUGAUGCCUGUUGGGAUACUUGCUAUUCGAAUGUCAAAUAGACAAGAAUGUGGAACAAGGCUUAAGAUUCUUUUCUAUGUUCAUGUAGUUUCACAGGCAAGUUCAUCUUUACUGUUACUGUAACAUCAAUGCUAUAUAUGUAUAUAUAUAUUAUGAAUGCUUGAGAAGCAAGAAGAGGGUAAUGAUUUUAUAAACAAAAGUCGAUCAGCAACCCAUAGAAUCUUCAACCAGAUGUUCCCAUUGUAAUAUAAUAAUAGAUCGGUUAGAUAUCUUAAGACUUAAGUGAAGACGGCACAUUAAACAAAUAGUUUAGAGAAUGAUUAAUAGUGAUAUUUACUACAAGACAUGAUUCUUAAAAGUAUCUUUUAUUCAUGCAUUGAAAAGUUAAUUUUUGGUUCAGCAGAUCCUUUCUCUACUUAUUUCAACAGCUGGGGCAGUCAUGUCUGUCAAAAACUUCAAUAAUUCCUUCAACAAUCAUCACCAAAGACUAGGGUUAGCUUUAUAUGGUAUCAUAUGGUUACAAGCCUUGACUGGGGUUCUUCGCCCAUGCAGGUAAGCGACCAUAUCUCCCUUCUAUUUCGGGAAUUUCAUGACAUUCUAACACAUAUUGUGCAUAAAACAUUCACUGCAGGGGAUCCAAGGGAAGAAGUGGAUGGUUUUUUGCACAUUGGUUACUGGGAACUGCAAUUUCCAUUUUAGGUAUAAUCAACAUUUACACUGGAUUGAGGGCGUAUCAUGAAAAGACAUCAAGAAGCAUAAAGCCUUGGACCAUAGUUUUGACUGCAGAAAUCUCUUUGAUUGCUUUCGUUUACUUGUUUCAAGACAAAUGGUUGUAUAUUCAAAAGCAAGGACUUAUUUUGGGAGAUGAAUCAGUAACACCUAAACAACAAGAUAGUUCAUCCACUGAGAAGCAAAAGGAAUCAAGUAGUGAGAAAUGUUGAAGAAAAUAAAACGUUUUAAUCUGUGAGUUAAUUACUAACAACUGAGUAUUUUUCGUCCAUUCUUUUUCCUUUUACGAUAAUCUUAUACACAAGACACAUUAUUGGUUGGCUUAUUUGAUGAUAUUUGUUGGAUAUUUAUGAAAGAAGGUAUUGAGACAGAAAGCAAAAAAAAUAAAGAAUGAACUUUAAUUUCAUUAACUGGCAUUUUUAUUCACUGAUUUUAGUCUAAUCAGUAACCAAAACAUCUUGUCAAUAUUUUAUUGUUUCAAAUGAAGUUGGCAACUUACAGAUUAAAGAUUUCGCAUGCAUAAGCUUGCUUAACAUAGCUUGUAGCUUUGGUGACUUCGCAUCUUUAAUGAGCUCGCAUUAUUGAUGAACUUAUAGUUUUUUGUGAGCUCACACAUUUGAGUUCACAAUUUUGGUGAGCUUGCAGUCUUAUGAGUUCGCACGUUUGACAAGCUUGUAGUCUUGGUGAGCUCGCAGAUAUAAAUUCACAGUUUUGGUGAUCUCUUAGUCUUAAUAAGCUCGUAGUCUUAAUAAGCUCACAAUUUUAUAGAACUUGUAAUUGUGCAAAUUGAAUUCACUAAUGCAUAGAUGGCCACCUUGCAACAACUUUGCUAUUACUUUUUUUUUUCAUCCUUGUUACCCAGAAUUCAUUUUCAUUUUCUUAAUUUAUGUUACUUAUUCAAGGCAUAUUUAAGUAUUGACGAAUAACAAAGACCAAGCUCAACUUGUCAAACUUCGAUGGAGACUCCUUCAAAACAAGCAUUCUCUAUGACUCUCAUUCUUAAAGCUAAAUAUCUUCACGGAAGAUCACCCCUACGAGGGCCUCAACUUGGGUCCUUCUUUGAUUGCUUCAAUCGUUCCCUAUCAAACAAACUCAGGUUUGUUGAUCAUACUAGGAUUAUCCAAGUCAAAUGGCAACCUCAUGAUGAUGGUUGAUACAAACUCAACUGUGAUCAGAAGCCGGCCGGGGUUUGCAUAUGUGACCAUGAAGGCAAUUGGAUUGCCUGUUCUCAUAGAAUGCUUGGGCUUUCUUCUAAUAUGGUUGAGCAUUGUGGGGUUUGUGUGAUGAUCUUUAACUUGCUAUUAAGUUGAAUAUUUCCCCCAUUAAUAUGAUCAGUUUAUUAAAAAAUAAUUCUUCUAAAAGUCCCUUGCUUGAUCCCUUAAUUAAUGAUUGUAGGACUUUCUUGACAAUCUUUUAGAAUAGACGACUUCUGCGUGAAGGAAAUUGUUUCGCGUAUACUUUUGCCAAGAAUCCUAACUGCUCCGAGGGACUUACAAAUGAUUAUGUUAUUUCUUUUGAUAUUUUAAAUUUUAUAGUUUCUAUUCUUAAAUUGAUUUCAUUUGAGUACUAUAAAAAUCAAUUAAAAUAUUCAAUUUAAUUUGUUUUCAAUUGGGUACCUCCUUUUUUUUUUUUUAAAUACUGAUUCCAUUAAAUCAUUAUUGACCAAUAAAUUAGACCGACGUAACUAAUAUCCCCCCAUACCAAUCCCCCUAUAACUAAAGCAUCAGCCAAACUAUUCCCUUAACGAAAACAUCAACAGAUGACACGACAAACCACCUUACAAUAAGGUUAUCAAAAGAUUAAAAACAUCCGAUAAUGGCCAAGCUCUGAAAUCUGGACUAAUUCAACAAGAAAUUACAGCCCAAGAAUCAGAUACGACAUACAAUUCUGAUGAAAAUUUGCAUUUUUUGAAAAGCUCGUACAAUUAUUAAAUUAUAAACUAUUCUGUAAUUAGUAUAGAAAAUAUAAUUUCUGCAUAAAGGGUAGAUCGAGUUGAAGAGAAAAAGCCGCUGUGACACAUCGGAUUGAACACCUUGAGGAUAAGCACAAUAAUUACAACCCUUCGGGACAGCAAAAAAGCCUUUCGCUUCGUAAGUUUCACUCUUUUUUUUAUUUUAAUAUUUUACAUGCGUUAGUUAAUAAGUUAUAAAAAAGUUAAAAAAUGAUUUUCUAAUGUAAAUAUUUUUAAAAUUUUUAGAGCUAAGACUAAAUAGAUAAAUUUUGUAAAUGUUGAACAUUAAAUUUAUUGAAUUUUUUAGAAUAAUUAGAACUAAAAUGAUAAAUUUUACAAAGAUUGAGUGCUAAUUUAUUUUUAUAUUUAAGAUUAAAUUGAUAGAAUAUAAUAUAUAUAGGCAUUAGAGUACUAAUUUUGUUACUAGACCAAUAAAAUAAAGCUCUCAUCAGCUCGAAGUAACUAAAAUAUUUAAUUUUAAAAAGUUUAGUGACUAAAUAAAAAAAAAUUAAUAGUUGAGUGAUCAAAGUAGAACGAAAAGCAUAGUUGGGUGACCAGCAUUUUUAUAGUUUACCAAUAAAAAAACAAUUUUCAACAUGGAAACAUAAUUAUUUAACACAAAAAUUUAACAGAGGAGCUAAUUUGUACAUUUCGAAAUAUAUAAGGACUAAUUUGCCCAUUUUUUCAAUAGAGGGGCUGGAAUGCAGUCCAUCCCUAAAUAUAAGGACUUCCCUAGUAUCUUUAUCGACAACCAAACAAUGUGAUAUUAUUAUUUAUCUAUUCUAUUCAAUCAGCCAAAUUAUAUAAUACCAUUACAUCUCUAUUCCAUUCUCACGAAGUAGUUAUUCAAUUCCAACUCUAUUCCAUUCUAGUGAAUAAACAUGAUGUUAAGGUUCACUAAUCUAAUUGGCACGAAUUCAAAUAUCACAAUAUGCAUAUUUUUAUUAAUUUUUAUUAAGAUGAAAAGACUAAAAUAACCUCAAAUAAUAUAACUUAUACGGAAGAACACUUUCAUAAUUUCUCUUGGUUGAAUGAUAAAUUUAAGAUUUUAUUAAUAUGAUUGAUGUGGGUUCAAAUUCCAUAAUUAAAAUAAGUUAUACUAUUUGAGGGUGCUUUAGCCUUUUUAUUUUAACAAAUUAAAAUAAAAAGGCUAAAGCGUCUCAAAUAAUAUAACUUAUUUUAAUUAUGGAUUCUUUAAUUUCCGUAACUAAAUUUGGACUCGAUUGAUGGGUGACACCAACUUAAUAAAAGGCUUAAUAAAUAGAAUAGAAAAUAUAAUUUAAUAAUUGUUUAGAUUCAUAUAUCUACAAUCUAUAUCUAUAGUCUACAUAAAAGCACGAGUUUAGAAAAAAAUUUGAAUUGGUGAGAAUAUAUUUUAUUUUCCAUCAUAUCACUAAAUUCACAUUUAAAAAUAAUUAUAAUUUAAUAAAGUUGUGAUGAUUAUACAUAAAAAAAUAUGAUAAUUAUAAAUUUAACAAUAAUUAUAAUUUAAUAAAAAUUAUGAUAAUUGCACAUUUAAAAAUAAUUAAAAUUAAAAUUACUAUUAUUAAUUAACAUAAAAAUUAGACAUACAUAAUUAACCAUUUGACAUAUCUUAAUUAAAUAAUCAAUGCACAAAAUUGAAAUAAAAGCAUUCUAAUCGACUACAAAAAUAUAUAAUUAGGUAAUAAUUUGCAAAUUGAAAGUUUUUUCCCAAAACACAAUAUAAUUAUAAAUCAGUCACAAGAUAACAACUUAAAAUAACAAUAAAGCAUUAUCUAGACAUUCAAUAAAUAGUGAUUGCAUUUCGAUUCAAUGUUCAAGUUCAUUUAAUAGUUUUGCCCAAAUCACACAAAAAAGGAAAGACAUUCGGACACACGAGUGUCCAAUUGAACAUCAAACGUUAGAUGAAAUUUACGCAAGCUCCAACAAUGGCAGCAAUGCUCUACUACGCGAUAAACGUGACUUAAUCAAUAACCAACUAAACAUCAGAUGGCUAAAGCACAACAAUGACAAUAUUCCUAAACACUCAAGGCAGUCCGCACAAUGAACAAUAAGCGAUGAUGAGGACCCCUACACUCUAUAGCAUGCUGACUAUAUCCAAAAAAAACUUUCAACUAACUUUACAGGUGUUUAAUCAAUUAUUAAAGUAAUAAUUUUAACAAUGAUUUUCAGAAAAUAAUCAAUUAAUAAAAAUAGCAGCUAAUAAUAAUAGCAAUCAUUAAAUUUAAUUUAAUAAACUACCACACAAGUAAAAUUUCAAAUGCAAGGAAUUACAACAUCACAAUCACUAAGUUAAUAGUUUAAUUAUAACGUUAAAAUAUUUUAAAAUAUAAAGAUCAUAAACCGAAUUUCGUUUAGAAGCAAUAAACCCACAACGAGCUUCAGGAUAAUUUGUAACAAUGUAUAAAAUUAAAUUCCAAUAAAUAAUCAAGAGAAUAAUUUAAUUAAAAUAAACAGAUAGAUAAUCAUGUGUCCAAAAUAAUCAAAAUUAUUAUGCUUUUUAAAUCACAUAUAUAAUGAGUAUUAAAUUUAAUACAUGGAAGAGCACAUCUAACUGAAGUGAAAUAUGAAUUAAGAUAUAUCUUUAUAAAUGAAUAAUAAGUAUUAAUGCUCGUUCAUUAUCAAAAUAUAUGCUCCACUAUUGUUUUUAAUUCAUUAAAGAACAACUGCCAUUUUAAAUUGAAUCUGAAUAAUCAGAUAAAUGUUAAAUUUCGAGGGAUUUCGUGGCAUGAUGAAUUUUCAAACUUGAUCCUGAUCUCCAUUAUCAAUCUAGACCCUCUAUAAGAUCCAUGAUCGGGACUACAAACAACUAAAAUAAUCAAAACAUAAUGAUGAAGAUAGAAUUAGAAAUUAACAUAUCAAGAACAAAUGAGAAAACAAUUUUUAGAUAAAGGUAGGGAUAAACGAUCAAAUUAUAGUUCAGAUGGAAUCGACUUAUUUGGCCAAUUUACCUGCUAGAAGGUGGACGACAGAGCAGAAAAAAGGUUUUGGCGCAACGAUUUUCUUUUCUAUGUACGGCAAUCGAUUCUUGAUUGAAGUGGUGAGGAAAUGAUAGCAAAUAACCUAAGUUUGGAGUUUUAACGGCCAAGGAGAGAAUUUGCAUUAAAGCAACCCCUUUUUGAUGGCAAAUACAUAUACAUAUGUUAUGAAAUGGAAAUUAGUAGUGCUGGCGGCAAGGGAAACGAGAACAACUAAAGGAAAAUUUUGUGGGUUAAGGGCUUAGGGCAAUUGGCUUUUGGCUUUUGGUCAAUUGACAACAUAAAGCCUCCACAAUUCUACCUUUAUUAAGAUUAGUUCCUAAACUUUUAAAACUUGUAAUUAUUCUAAAAUUGUUUUACCUAAACCCCUAAUCCCAUUAAAAACUCUAUUUAUAGCCUUAAUAAAAAAAUAAAAGGUUAAUUACAAGUUUAAUCUCCCACAAAUUUUUGAAAACUCAAUUUAAUUUUUAAAACAAAAUCGAAUUUCAAUUUAAUUACAAAAUCAAGCUAAAAAUUCAAAUAAGCAUGUAAUCCUAAGAAUACUAAAAAUCUAAAUUUUAUCAUUUAAUCCGAAAUCCUCGAAAUAAUUUAUUUUAUUUUUUAUCGAAGUUGUACCUAUUCGACACAAAAUCCGAAAACAAAAUUAAAUGUAUGAAAAAAUAUUGUGAUAAUUAUAAUUAUAAUUAUAAUUUAAAAUAAUUAAUUAAAUUUGGUUGAUAUAAAUAAAAGUUGGGCUAAUUUUUUCUUCUUCUAAAUUUGUGUUGAUUUUAUUGAUGUAAAAUAAAGUUCUUAUUUAAAUAUAAUUCUAAACAUAUUAAUUAUCACUUAGUUAAUAUUAAAGUUAAUUAUUUUAAUUACCUAUUAUUUUGAAUAAGAUUACUUUGCUUUAAUUAUUAUUGUAGGUUAAAACUAUAUUGUAUGUUAAAUAUGUUAAAAAUACUUUAGUUAUUAUUUGAAACUUUUUUAUUUAUAAUAUUUAAAUAAAUUAAUAUAUUUUAAUUAUAUUCAAUAAUUCAAAUAAGAAAUAUUAUUUUAAAGUAUAAUAUUUAAAAAAAUAAUUUGCAGGAGCAUCUUUUAAUAACCUCAACUCGCCAGGAUGCAGCGACAUCUCUUCUUGGCUACCCUCUGAUCUUCGUCGCCAACGCAUAAGGACUUUGGGCAGCAGACAAAUUGACUACAUUAAUGCUGUCUAAUUCCACAACAAUCCGUCGAAAACCUCUGAACCAAGCAAGUUCCAAGCCAUAAUUCAGCUUGGAGAAUAUUCGGUAUUCCAAGAUUCCUACAAUAUCCAAGACUCCAUUGUUCGUCAUUAUCCCGGAGCACUCCCCACUCAAUCAAUCCCAUUUCUCACCUCCAUAGCGUCAUCCGUAUUUAGCUUAAUCCACCCGUAUGUCUUAUGUUCCCCAACCGAGAUGCUGUAAUAUGUCUAGCCCAAGCCCUACUUUUGCUAAUAAGCAAGUCAUAUCCAUUAUAAUCAAAUAGAAAAUAGUGACUUAAAUAAAAUUUUUUAAAUAGUUUAGUGAUUAAAUUAUAAUUUUUUUAGUUAAGUGACCAAAACAGAAAUUUACCCAUAAAUUAAUAAAUAAUGGUGUAAUUUACCCAAAAUUUAAUUACAAAAUUGGUCCCCAUUAAAAUUUGAAAAUUUAAUUUAAUCCCCAAUACUAAAUCAUAAUUCAAUUUAGCCUCAAGAUUAAACUAAAAAUUCACACAAUCCCAUAAUCCAUCUUCAAAGAAUUAAAAAUUGUUUACCAUGAAACACAGAUCAAGGGACUGGAUAAAAUUAAGUGUCUAUACUAGGAUUACAUAGGGUGUUGAAUAUAACUAGAACAGUUCACACCAUGAAUGGUGCAAAGAAUCUCUAGAUCGAUAUUUCUGAAGGGUUUGAGGAUAAGUUUUUGCAAUGGUGUGGACUACAUGGUUUCCAUGUGUCAUUGUCUCGUUGUUGUACAUGUAUUUAUAAAAAGAGAGUGGGUGGGCAUGGGUCCUAGUUAUUGGGUUUCUUACUCUAUAGGUGUCGUGUAGAGUUACGAAUGUCAGUUUAAAGUAUUGUUGGAGUUGACUUGAAUGGAUUGGGUGAUAUGCUCGUCAAACUAAAAUGUGAUGAGUUAAAGAAUGCCUUUAAAAACUCGUAACUCAUUUAUUUUCAAAGAGUAUGUGGGUCAGCUUGGUGUGCCAAGGUGCUUGGGUGAAGGAUAUUUCUUUCUAGUGAGGCUACGAGGCCGAGCUCCAUGGUGCAUAAAAUUGAGCUUUGCCAAGUUCUUGGUAUCUUUUAGAUGAUUUGGCAAGAAGGUUUUUUUGUACCUUUUAGAAUGGAGUGAAAAUUUUUUUAAGUUAACGAGUCCUAUUUUAUCAUCCUAACUCAAUAUGAAAUUUUAUCGAAUUGAGUCUAGUGAAAUUAAAAAUUAAUCAUAUCAUAUUAAAGUCUUUUUACAAUAUGAUAAACUCAAAUAAUUAAUUAACUUAUUUAGCUUCCAAAAUUAUUAUUUUAGAUUUUUUUUUAAAAUUUUAACUUUUUUUAUAUAUAUUUUUAUAUCUUUUAAAAGUUUUGAAACUUUUAUAAUUAUUUUGAAUUUAUUAAAAAUUUGCUCAUUUUCAAAAUUGAUGAAGAUCAAAGAGGUUUCACCCCAAUCUAUUAUUUGAAAUAUUUGCAUUAUUCGAAUUGUAAAAUUUAACUCUAAUCGUACUCGAAACUCGAAUUAUUUUUUCGAGUUGACUCGAAUAACUUAAUUCGAUUAAUUCAAAAUUCAAAAUUUUUCAAUUUUUUAAUCAAAUUAAAUUUUGUUAAACCCUACAAAUGAAAAGUAAUUGUAAUUAUUCAAAAUUUUUACCUUACUUACAAAUGAGAAAGUAAUGAAAUAUAAUUUUUAUUUUAUUUGAGUUAACGUGUAAAAUAAAUUGCCAUUAUACUGUACAUAAAAAAUGGAAUUUGUCAUCAUAUUUUAGUUUUAUUGAUAUUUGUUCCUGAACUUUUGAAAUUAAGAUAAACUUACCGCUCAACUUUAACUCUAUGUUGAAAUUUUAUCAUUUAUUGAAUUUUGAAAUUAAAAAUUGAUUUUAAUAUUUAAUUUUAAUUUUAAUUUUAAAUAACUUGAAGAAAAAUAUUAAUAAAAUCAUUUUUAAUAUUUUAUUUUAAUAAUUAAAAAUAGUGAAUUACUUAAUAUAAUGUUAAAUAUUAAUAAAAAAGACUUCUAUUUAUAAAAAAAAAUAUUUUUCUCAUGUCAUUUUUAAUCAUCAUUUACAAGUUAAUUUCUACAUUUAAUGGAUGUCUCACAUAUAUCAUAUACAUUUAAAUAGUGAUGAUAAUUUUAUUAGAUAUUAAAAGAUUAAAAAGUAAUUGAGUGUAUCUUAACAUUCAAAUGAUUGGGUAAAGACAUGAAUGCGUACCCAAAUUAUUACAACAUUAAAUCCAAAAUUCCAAAUUCAUUAGUCGCCUGUCUUUGAUUAUUCAACUAAUUCAAUUCCACUUCUGUUUUUUUCCACUUUCUUUCAAAACAAAUACAAAUUUAAUGCUAAAGAAAAAAAUAAUCUCAGGGCAUCUUAAUAUUUGGAUAACUGAAAAAGUCAAUUGUUGUUUGACUAAGUCCACCGUUUCCCAUAUGCAGUAGAGGAGAGUGAUGAUAAUAACAAAUGGUUUUUAGGUUUUUAGUGACAUUCUCUGGAUUACACAUAAGAAACAAAUGUUAAACUCUACUAACUUCACUAAUCAAUUUACGAAAAUGGGAAUUUGAAAAUUCAAAUCUACUGUAACUGACCCUUUCCUGCACUGCAUCUCCACUUCACUAUUAUACACCAGGCGGUGAUGAAGGGGUACCUUUUAUAACACAAGGAAUCAUGUACACCCUAGGAAACAACGCUGCCCUUGAGAUGAUGUAUCGAGCCAAUGUGGGUGGGCGGGAAAUCCCGCCAAAUGGCUACACUGGGAUGUUCCGGGGCUGGUCAAGUGACGACGGAUAUUUGACAACAGCCAAACCAAGUGUUCUUCCUGUUAAUAUUAGUAUUAAUCUCAACUUCAGCAGUAUACCAUCGUACUCUGCUCCAAAGGAGGUUUAUAUAACUACCAGGACCAUGGGGAUGAACAAGAACCAGCAUAAGAACUACCAGCUGACGAGGGAGUUUCCUGUUGAUUCUGGGUUCAAUUACUUCGUAAGGUUACAUUUUUGUGAGUUCCAACCAGAGAUAACCAAAGAAGGUGAUAGAGUGUUUGAGAUCUCAUUGACUAAUUUAACUGCAGAAACUGAAGCAGAUAUUAUACGCUGGAGUGGUGGUAAUGGGAUUCCAUUCUAUCAGGAUUAUGCGGUGGCAAUAGGAACAAAAGGAAAUCAAAAGCAACAACAUCUCUCUAUUACUUUGCAUACUUCGCCAGAACGGAGAACUCUUUAUUCAGAUGCAAUCUUGAAUGGCCUAGAAAUCUUCAAAUUGAGCAACAAUUUUGAUUUCACCUGCCCUAGCUUUGAUCUUAUUGGACCAAACGUUCAUCAUGUGAAGCAACCGGUUAUGCAAUUAGGAAAGAAGAGGACAGCAAUUGUUGCUGUUGUUGCUCCGAUUUUUGGUUUCAUCACACCUCUUUUACUUUUCGUGAUUUUCCGGAUAUGUUCCAAUAAUUUUGCCAACAGCAGCACCCCUGUUCCACCUUCGGAUAUUUGUAGCCGCUUCUCACUGAGGGAGAUCAAAAUAGCUACUAACAACUUCGAUGCGAAUUUCAUCAUCAGAAGAGGCGGAUUCGGUGAAGUCUACAAAGGAUUCACUAAUGCUGGCUCCACCCCUGUUGCAAUCAAACGCUUGAAUCCAGGUUCACAACAAGGGGUGCUUGAGUUUAGGACUGAAAUCGAGAUGCUUUCCAAACUUAGGCACCAAAAUUUAGUUUCUUUAAUCGGUUAUUGUGAAGACAACCAGGAAAUGAUCCUAGUGUACGACUACAUGGUUCAUGGGACCUUGAGAGAUCACCUCUACAACACUAGUAAUCCCCCUUUACAAUGGGAGCAGAGGCUCAAGAUGUGUAUUGGUGCUGCACAUGGGCUGCACUAUCUCCACCGAGGUCCAAACCACACCAUCAUUCACCGAGACGUGAAGACAACAAAUAUUUUGGUAAGUGAGAAAUGGGUGGCCAAAGUAUCUGAUUUCGGAUUGUCUAAAAUGAAUGACUUAUCCAACACUCAUAUCAGCACUGCUGUCAAGGGCAGCAUUGGGUACUUGGAUCCCGAAUACUACCGUCUUCACAAAUUAACCGAAAAAUCUGAUGUCUACUCUUUUGGUGUGGUGUUGUGUGAAGUGCUAAGUGCAAGAGCACCGAUAGAUUGAAAUGCUGAGGACCACAUGCAAAUAAGUUUAGCAGAGUGGGCACAACAUUGCUACAACAAUGGAAGCCUUGAUGAGAUAAUUGAUCCUUAUUUAGAGGGUCAGAUCAAGCUUCCAAGUCUAUUAAAAUUUGGUGAAGUAGGUAUAAGUUGUUUGGCUUCGGAAGGGAUGAAAAGGCCGGCAAUGAGUGAAGUGGACCAAGUGGUGUAUGGACUUGAGCUUGCAUUGCAGCUGCAUGAAAGUGAAAUAAAUGGAAACGAUGCGAAUCAUGUAAAUUAAUGACUCAUCUUCCGUAGAUUAUCAUGUAUUGUUUUCUAGUGAUAGAGGAUCAAUGAGAGUUGGUCGGUAGAUUAGAUACUUUAAUUAUUUGCACAUUAAUUGUGGUAUUAAUUCCAGCUUUUCGUGAACAACGGUUGUUAAAUUAGCUACAAGUUGUAUCAUGCAUGUGAAAUCUUUCUAAAACAUUGUUAAUAUAUAUUUAGUUAAAAUUUACCACUCGACUUUCUUCUGUAAAAGACUUUAUUUCAAUAACUUAUUAUCAAAAACUUCAUAGGUUUAGACAUAAAAGUUAAAAUCUUGUGUUGCAACACAAAUAAUAUAUUUCACAACAUUUUAUAAUUAAACUUUUUUAAUGGAAAAAGAAAGUAGAAAAAUCGAGUUGUUUUUGGUGUAAGACUUUUCCAAGUCUUCAUGGUCAACGUCUGUAGAUGAGUCUUGCAGGGGGGUGUACAGAAAUUUUUUAUUUUUAAUUUAACCAUAAUCUUAAUUUAAUAUUUGAUUUAAUGUAAUUUAAUUAACCCAUAUAUUUUUUAAGUGCAGCAUGUAUAGUACAAUUACAAAUAUAAGUCAAUUAACUAUAAGCUUAGAGUUAUAAUAAAUGAAUUGUUCAAAUAAUCACUAAGUAAAAUCAAACUAUUACGAUGCUAAUGAAUUAAGAAAUGACAUAAUCCAAACUAAAAUCAAUAAAUUGGAAUUAACUAAACUAAAACUCCAACAAACAACGGACUCAAAAACUUUCAUAUAUAAUUUUCAAACUUGAAUAUUCAAGAAUUCCUACUUCUACCAAAUGAGUCAAGUUCUCGUUAGGGAUUAAGCCAUAUUUUAAAUCGUGAAUAAGAGGUCAUGAAUUCAUGCAGCACAAUGAUGCAAUUUGUUGGAAAAACGAUUGUAUUAAUAUCAUAAGUUUUAGGAUAAAUUCUAAAAUUAUACAUAAAUUAUAGUUUAAUGUGUAAUUAUACAUAAAUGAAAUUUUGAUUUGAUCCAAUUCUUAUAAAUUAUUAACAUAAUUAUCGACAUUAUAUUAUUUUAUAUUUAUAUAUUGCAAUAAUAAAUAAUUAUAUUUAUCCGAUACAAUUUAUUUUUAUAAAUGUGCAUGAUUUAAUUAAAAUUAAAGUUUCAAGUAUAUAUUUAAACCAUAACUAGAGUUUCAUGUGUAUAAUUACAUCAAAUUAAAAUUUAUAUAUACAAUUGUACAUCAAAUCAAAAUUCAUAUAUUAUUUUAAGAUUUAUUCCUAUUUAAUAAAGAGUACCGUUUUAAAGGUUUAAUCUAUAACUAUAUAUUAAAGGAAGGUAAAACCGCGUUCCUCCUUUUGUGGCAUACACUCAUCUGGUUUUUUAAAUAAGUUCAAAAUUCAUAUUUAAUUCUUAUAUUAUAAUUUUUAAUAUAAUUUAAUCUUUAUGUUUUUAUAAUUUUAUUAAUUAGUUCAAAUAGUUAAUAUCAUUUUCUAUUCAAUUAAAAUAUUACAUAGUUAUAUGUAAUUUGAAAGCGAAUCUUUUUAACUUCAUAAAUUUAAAAGAUUAAAUUCUUGAAAAUAAAAGUUGGAUGACUAAAUUCAAAAUAACAAUGUGUAAAAACAUAGAGUUAUAGUUGUUUGAACCAAUUGAAUUAGUCGAGGUACCAAUCCGAAAAGAAGCAUCAUACCACUACGAGUUGGUAGAACAAGUCUAAAAAAUCGAUUGAAUUAUUUUUUUAAAUUUUUUAUUUUUAUAUUUUUAAUAAUUUAUUUAAUUAAAACGUACUAAUUAGUAAUCUAACUGGUUCAAACAUCAUUUUGAUUCUAAAAUCUUUGCGUAGAAUAUUUUUAAUAUUCAAAUUUUUAUCAUAUAACUAUACUAGUUUAUUUUUAACUGUGUGAGAUUUCAAAUAUUAAAUUUAAUUUUAAAUUUUAUAAAAAAAAACCUUUAAUUUUAAAUGCUUUUGUCUUUUUUCUUAGAGCGUAUUUUUUUUAAUUAAAUAAACUUUCAGGUGGACAAUAGAAAAUUGAAAUUUGAGAAUAAAAUUCAAAUUUUAAUGAAUUAGAAGUAUUAGCAGUUCUAUUAAGAUGUUGUCACGCUUAGUAUGAUGCUUGGAAUAUUUCGAUCUUUCUUCCUGGUUAUCUAUCUGUUUUUCCUCACCAAUGGAGAAUCCAAGCAAAACAACAACUUUUUCCCUUCAAAACCUCUUGUUUCUGCUGCUUCUUUGUCUCCUCUUCUUCUUCGGUCAAUACCUUCUGGUUCCUGUUACAACAGAUUUCAAUGUUAAGCUCAGGGAUUUAAAUUGCAGCCGCGGUCGCGUUUUCGAUUGUAUUGCGUUUAUCGUGGUUGCGGACAUAACGGAUGCUAUUGCGGUCACUGCGGGUAUCGCGGUCGUGAAUUUUUUUAAAAUUUGCACAACUUAUUAUAAAACAUAAUAAUUAUAAUUAUAAUUAUAAAAAGUCACUUUUAAUGAUUUUUAGAGUGUUUUCUAACACUUAUGAACUUUUAUUAAUAUGAUAUGAGAACACAACUUUUAUAAUCAUUAAUUAUUCUUAUAUUUAUUUACGAAUUUUCUAAGAAUGUUUUAUUAACUAAUAACAAAGUAAAAAAAAAAGAAAUAUUAAACAUUUAUCAUAUUUAAUAAGUUUGAAAGUUUUUAUAGAUAAAAUAACUGAAAAUUCAUUCCUGAGAGAUAUCUUCAAUAUUUCUUGACAACUUUGAAGAUGGUGAAGAUAUAAACAUUCUAUGCUGCAAAAGGAAAAAAAGGAAUAGAUAAAUGUAUAGAUUCUCAUUGAUUAUUCCUAUUUCCUACCACUUAUUCUCACUCUCAUUCUACUUUCAUAUAUAAUUUAACACGUUUCGAUUCUUAAUUAUCUUUUCAUAAAAUAUACUCCAUUCAUUUAUCUAAAGAUAUAUUUUAAAUGUUUUAAUAUCAUUAAAAUUAAGAACAUUAACAAAAGUUUUCCUUAAAAAAAAUAUACCUUACAAAUAAUGGUAGUGGUAUGAUUUAGUUUUCACCAAUUAGUGGAAUGACGAGGAAGAUCAGAUCCUUCACCUUCACUUUGAGAGCAUUCUUGACUUGAUUCUCUUGGCCUUUGUCUAAAAAUAUAUCCAAAAAAAGUAACAUUUUCACCUUGGUUUUCAUAUAAUUGAUGUGGAGGAUAUAUUUGAGGAGGAGGAUAUAUGAAAGGUGGAGGUGGGUGAUACAUUGGUGGUGGAGGAUGCAUUUGAGGCUGGUAUGGCACAUCAUAAUUAGGAAAUGGUGGAUAAUAACCAUAUGGUUGUGGACAACCAUGUGAAGGUUGAAAAUAUGAAGGUUGUUCUGGUGGAUAAAAACCUUGAGUGCUAGUAGAUGAAUCACUAUACCCAAGGUUACUUGAACUCGAUCUCCUACUAGAUGAAGAGCCUAUAGAAGUAUGCUUUUUGCCUUUUCCUUUUGAUGGAGCUCUAGGUUCACUUCUAUCUCUCCUAGGUUCAGGAAACAUAUUUCCAUCAAACUCUGAUCUAUCACGGAAAUGUCCACUAGUGGUACCAACCCCAUAUUCUCCUUCAUACUGGCUAGAAGACCUAAUUUCACCUUUAUCAACACUAUAUCCAUCAUCCUCAUCAAUUGGACUUAAACUACCACCAUCGGGUUCAUCGCCACUCUGACUUGGCGUUGAACUAGAACUUGAAUGAGACAAAUUUUGUUUUUGAGAUUGAUUAACAUCCAUUUCAUCAUUAGAAGUAUCCACAGGCAACACACCGGCAUUUCCACCAUCUAAUAAUGGAUUUUCUUUCUCAUGAAGCCAUUCUGAUAGUGGAUCAACAUAUUCAAAGAUAUGAUCAAGGCUGAUAGGAUUAAAACUAACGUUUAUAUCAUCAGUGCUCAUUCUUUUUUGAUGCCUUAUCUGAAGCCUCAUAUUAUAAUAGGUAAACACUAGUUUCUCAAGUUUUUUAUACUUUAACCUAUUUCUUGCCUUGGUGUGAAUAUAACUAAAUGUGCUCCAAUUUCGUUCGCAAUUUGAUGCUGAAGUUGUUUGACUAAGCACUUUAAUUGCUAAUUUUUGUAAUUCGGGAACACAUGUGCCAUAUAUUAUCCACCACUCAGCUGCAUAAUAUUAUUUAAAUUUCAAAAUAACUUCAAAAUGUACAAUAUAAUUAAAUAGUUUAAUUAACUGUUUACCCGGAUUCAUUUGCUUCCAAGCUCUUUGUGCUUGUGGAGUACCGAAUGUCUCAUAUUUAUCUCUAAAUAGUAACAACUGCAUAAAUAAAAGAUAGAGUAACAAUAUAAAAAAAAAUAAUUCUAUUUCAAAUUAUGUAACUAAGUUACAAAUAAUAGUACUUGAAUCUAAUCUGAUUAACCAUUCUGACUUGAGUAUCAAGAGAAGGUUCUAAUCUUUCAAUUACUGAUCGUGUACCUUCUAAUGUUUCUAUUAGUACAUUCUCAGAAUGCUCCACCCCAAAUUGAAAUUGAGGAUUGAGAAAAUAACUUAAGUAUAAUUUAUAAGAAUAUCAUCAAAUAAUAAUAAUCUAAAGCUUUAAAUAAUAAAAUAUAAAAAUAUUUCUUAAUUAUAUGAAACAUUUUAUCUUACUAGCUGAAUGUAAGUCGGAAUGUAUAAAAUUCCAUCUAUUGUCAAUAAUCUAUUCGUACUCGGUGAAAUAUCGACAAUCUUGUUGAAUUGCUCGUUUAGCUCUAUCAACAGCCUCAUAAAUAAAUCUCAUUGUUGGUUUUUCAUUGCUAUCCACAAGUCUCAAUACUUUUACUAGGGGCUCGUAAACUUUUAUGAGGUCAUUGACUUUUUUCCAAAAAUCUUUUCCCAAAACAAUUUUUUUGGCUUCAUAAGCAGGCCCUGACUUUUGCUGUCCCCAUUUUGAUUCUUUAAAUUCCUAUAUAUUCAUAAGAAAAAUUUUAAAAUAAUAUAAUCUAAAUUAUUUGGAACUAAUAAAAUCAUUAAAGGUUGCUAUAUUUAAGUAACUAUAUUAACUAAUUAUAAAAUACUAACCUUUGAAUUAAACAUUUCUCUCAGACCUUGCUUUUGUCUUGUUAUCUCUUCAAGUUGAAUGAAAUGAGUUGCAAAUCGAGUAAGAGCGGGUCGAAGUAUUUGUUUCCCUUGUGUAUACUUCUUUAUCAAAUCAAUAGUCCAAAUGUGAUUAUAUAUAAAGCAAGUCACUUUCUUUGCCUCAUCUAACACUUUUGCUACACUGGACUUUUUCCCAAUAUCUUCAAGGCAUAAAUCUAAAUAGUGAGCUACACAUGAGGUCCAAUAUAGAUGUUUUCUUUUCAACAUUAAUUUUUUUCCAGCAGCUUUCAUUGCCGCCUCAUUAUCAUUAACUAUUUGGACAAUGUAAUUUUCUCCAAUUUCUUCUACAACUGAAUCUAACAAAUUGUAGUAGAAUUCAACAUCUCUACUUCGAACACUUGAGACAUCUACCGAUUUCCAAAAAAUGGUUCCUUUACUGCAAUAAAUAAGGAAGUUAAUGAUGUGCAUUUGAUUCAAACUGUUGGUCCAACCAUCACACAUUAGAGUUGCACCCAAUUCUUUCCAAUGAGUCUUUAGUCCAUUUACACAAUCACGAACUCGUUGAUACUCUGACUCCAAACACACAUCUGAAACCUCAUAGGGUGUUAGGAGCUUUACACCUUGUCCAACUUCUGUUGACACUUGAAUUAAGUUAUACAACCAUAGAGAGCUUGCUAAUUGAAAAGGAAGUCUUUCAUAUAUUAAAAAAUCUAGAUACCGCUUCACCUAUCUUCCUUCGAAAACUCUUUAAAAAAGAGUCAUUGACCUUUGGUUGCUUUGAACUUUUGCUUCUAACCAAUUCAGGUAUAGCUCCCCUUAAGGUAAACUUAGACUCGCUUGAGAUGGAUUUACUUGUUCUUUCUCUAUGAUAUUCUCUACCUGAUCCAUGAGAAGAUCGACCUUCUUCAUACAUGUUAUUCCAACCACCAGUACUUCGUCUGAAUUCUUCCCUUUUAUGCCACUCGUGUUGUGAUUGGAUACUUUCUCGAGUUGCUUGCCUUAUAGCAGAAACCUCAUCAAUGAAUUCCUUGUGUUCAUUCUCCUCUUCUCUUAAUUAAGAUAAGAAUUCAUCUUUUCUCCUUUUUUUGUCUAUUUUUGUAACACCCCCUAACCCCAAACCGUCGCCGGAACAGGGCUACGAGGCAUUACCGGAUAUAUCAGACAACUUAUGGAUAUUUUACAAUUAUUAUAACAUUAAUAGUAUAAUUGAAGAAUUAUGUCCCUAUAAUAGACUUUCAAAGCCCAACACAAGUAUUAAAGUGGAAUGGAACGGGACUUGUUCGAGUAUUCAGAGAUUUUUUUUUUACAAAAAUUUCGACAGCAUUUCUUCUUAAUUUUUACAUAAAACCCCCUGCAAAUUCAAACCAAAAACCAAACUAAUCCAAAACCAAUGGCACAAUCAAAAACAAUUUAAACCUAAAUAUAUCUAAAUAAUAACCAAUUCAUUAACAUAGUCAUUUAAUAACUAAACAUUCAUAAUAUUAAUCCAAAUUAACUAAUAACUUCACUUAUUUUUCAUUCCAACUUAAUACCAAAUUAUAUAAUAUAAUAUUCACCAUUUUAUCAAACUAAUAACAAAAUAUGGUAUACCAUUCUUAUAACCAACAUUGCAAGCAUAUCUAUAUAACUUAUACAACACCUAGUACAUGCCACUUUCAAUUAAGAAAGAAAACGUCACCCAAAAUUUGUUGGAGUCGGGAUCGUUCAGAUGCUGGAUCGAGGUACUAGACUCCUAUUAACCUGCGCACGGAAACAACCGCACGCUGAGUAUUCCAUACUCAGUGGUAUUACCAUAAUUCAAAUUAUAAUAGCAAUAAUUACCAAACAUGUAACUAUCUAAUUUCACAAAUAUCAAUUCAUUCUUAAACUUUCAUUAAUUAAUAAUAACGAUACAAUUUUUAGCUAUUCUUCAGUUUCCAUCACAUAUUACAUGUAACAAUUUCAAUCAAUACAUGAACAUUAAGUUCAUGCCUUUCAUUUUCAAUAUCAAUUUCAAUCCACUAUUCAACUUUUUCGUUUCUUUCAAUAUUUCAAUAAUAUAAUCAAUCAAUUUAUUUUAAAUUUCUCAUUUUAGAUAUUCACCCUAUUAACAAAUCCGGACUUUGACAGAUACACGGAUUCCAACCCAACACACCAGUAUGGCACAUUCUGCCUAAAACGGUACACAGUACCUGAUCAGUAUACGACACAUAAAGUGCCUAAAACGACACACGAGGUGCCUGAUAUGACACACGAGGUGCCUGAAAUACGACACAUAAAGUGCCUGAUCAGUAAAGCAGGCAAAUUCCGGUACACUUCCAGAUCCUAUGGCAUGCCAAUUAUAUCCGACUUAGCCCGACUAGUUAAUAGGGUAUUUCAAUUCUCAAUUCACUUUCAUUUCCAUUCCAAGAUUACUUUUCAAUUAAAAUUUUCACAUUCAAAUCAAUUUACAAUUCAAUUAUACAUACACAUUCAACAUUCAAUUCAAUUCUCAUUCAACUCAAAUAUCAAUACUUACCUUAUAAUUCACUUAUUAAAUAUAGAAUUGAUAUAAAACAUUUAAUAAAAAUUAAUUUGAAUUAUAGUAAUACAAACCGUAAAUUUCUCGUUUUAAUCCUCGAUAGCUUUCUCCUUUCCUUUGUGCGCCGAUGUCUUGGGUUCUUUGUUAACUACGAAAAUAAUAAUAAUUUAUAAUCAUCAAUAUAACACAAUCCAAUUUAAUCCAUGAGCCUAAACAUGCAAAUUUAACCAUUUUUAUGCAUAUAAUUCCACUAUUUACUUAUAUGUUCAUUCAAAGCUAUCUACUUGAGUCAUUGUUACUAAAUCAUUUAUAUCUUGAGUUCGGAAACUCCAAAUUAAGAUACACUAAUUUUCCCUGAAACAAGACUCACAUAUCUUCUUACCAUAAAAUUUUUAGAAUUUUUGGUUUAGUCAAUAAGUACAAUUUAUUCUUUAAAGUUUCCCCUGUUCUGCUGUCAAACAGUUCCGACCAUUCUUCACUAAAAAUUAAUUAUCUCCUUGUAAAAGAUUCGAACGAUGUUACUGUUUAAUUAUAUUGAAAAUAGAUUCAAUAAGGAUUUUAAACAUAUAAAUUCAAACCCAUAAUUAUUUUUGUACAAUUUUUAAUAAUUUUUCAAAGUUAGAACAGGAGAACCCGAAUUCAUUCUGAUCUUGUCUCACCAAACUUAUAAUAUAUCAUGAUUUAUAAUUCCGUUGCUUAAAGCGUUUCUUCUAUAAGAAACUAGACUCAAUAAGAUUUAAUUACAUAUUCUUUCUCAUUCUCUAGUUCUAUUUAUACAAUUUUUUUGUGAAUUUUCAAAAUCAGAACACUACCACUGCCCAAGACUGUUUUGUAAAAAAUGUUAAUAACCAAAUUUACAACACCAAUUCACACUUUAUUUCUAUUCAAAUUUCAUUUAAACUCAAUUUUAGCUAUUAAAUUUUCAACAUAUUUUCCUAAUUUCAAAUUUUUCUCAAUUUAGUCCCUAAAACACAUAACUUAUAGUUUACUUUACAUUUCAAUCUCUAUUCUAACUUAAUUUCAUUCAAUUAAACCCUUAUUUCAUCAUUUUGUUCAUCAUGAACUUUGUUUAAAAACUUAAAAACUUCUAAACUACUAACUUAAUUCUAUCAAAACCUUGUUUUAAUACUUUUAGAACAUCAAAAUUAAGAGAAAAGGACAUGAUUGAACUUACCAAUUAAACUCCAAGCUUCAAAAACCCUAUUUCCCAUUUUCUCUCUUUUAUUUUCUUUUUUCCUUCCCCUGCUCGAAUGCUUUCUGUUCUCUUUUCUCUAUUCUUUUUGUUUCUUUUCUUUAUUCUGUUUCUUUUAUUCACUUUAGUUACUAAUAAUAUAUAAUAAUAAUUUAUUAUUUAUUUUUUUACCAUCCACUUGUCAAAAUUAUACUAUAUAACCAAGUAAAAAUCUUAGAUUUUUACUCCUUUUGUCGCCUCAUCUUCCCAAAUAGGCUUAAUUCCCUAUUUGGUCCUUAUUAUUUCCUACUAAUUUAUAAUUAAACUUUUACUCCUUAUUCAAUUUAGUCAUUUUUACUAAUUACUCUAAAUUAAGCUAAAUUCACCUAAUUUAAACCUAAUUAAACACAUCGCUAAACUCAUAAAUAUUUCUAGUAAUUAUUUCGAACUCGAUUUACUAAGACGGAGGCCCGUUAAUGUACUUUUCCGAUGCACGUGAAUUUUGGGUCAUUACAUUUCUCCCCCUUAAUAAAUUUCGUCUUCGAAAUUUACCUGAGAAUAGAUGAGGAUAUUGUGCUCUCAUCGUUUCUUCUAUACUAUGACUCCUCCAUAACACUUUUACUAGAGGGACCCGUUUAUUUCUCAGCUCUUUUACUUCUCGAGCUAAUAUCUGAACCGGCUCUUCUUCAUAAGUCAAAUCAGACCGAAUUUCAAUAUUUUCAGUAGGAAUAAUGUGGGAAGGAUCUGAUCUAUAUCUCCGGAGCAUCGAAACAUGAAAAACAUCAUGAAUUUUCUGUAAUUCUGGAGGUAAAGCUAGUCGGUAGGCAACAGGCCCAAUUCUUUCCACAAUCUCAUACGGCCCAAUAAAACGUAGACUUAACUUACCCUUUCGUCCAAAUCUCAAAACUUUCUUCCAAGGUGAUACUUUGAGGAAUACUUUAUCACCAACAGAAUAUUCAAUGUCUCGCCGUUUCAAGUCUGCAUAUGAUUUCUGCCUAUCAAAGGCUGCUUUCAAUCUAUCUUUAAUCUUCUUAACUAUUUCUUCUGUUUCUUGAAUCAAUUCUGGCCCAAUCAUUUUUCUUUCAUUCAAUUUUGUCCAACAUACCGGUGAUCGACACCUUCGACCAUAUAAUGCUUCAUACGGAGCCAUUUGAAUACUAGAUUGAAAACUAUUGUUAUAGACAAAUUCAGAUAAUGGCAAAUAACGUUCCCAACCUGAUUCAAAAUCAAUGAUACAAGCCCGAAGCAUAUCUUCUAAUAUCUGUAUUACCCGUUCGGACUGUCCAUCUGUUUGUUGAUGAAAGGCCGUACUAAAGUUAAGUCGAGUACCCAAUGAUUCAUGUAGCUGUCUCCAAAAUCUCGAUGUGAACUGAGGAUCUCGAUCUGAGAUUAUUGACACCGGAAUACCAUGUAAUCUAACAAUUUCUCGAAUAUACACUUCUGUAAGCUUCUGCAAUGACCAAUCUGUUCUAACAGCUAUAAAGUGAGCUGAUUUUGUAAGCCGAUCAACAAUUAGCCAAAUAGCAUUCUUUUUACUUACCGACAAUGGCAAUCCUGUAACAAAAUCCAUUGUAAUACGAUCCUAUUUCCACUCAGGAAUGCUAAUAGGCUGAAGUAAUCCAGUAGGAACUUGAUGUUCUGCCUUUACUCGCUUACAUGUCAAACAUUUACUAACAUAUUCAACUAUGUCCCUUUUCAUUCCAGGCCACCAAUAUAAUUCUCGUAAAUCACAAUACAUCUUCGUUCCACCAGGGUGCAAAGCAAAAGCACUAUCAUAUGCUUCUAGAAGAAUUAACUCUUUUAGUUCAGAAGUAGCUGGAACACAAACUCAAUUUUGAAACCUCAAACAAUCAUGCCCGUCAAUACUAAAACUCUUGGUUGUACCAUUCUGAACCAUUUCUCUUUUCUUCAAUAAUCUAUCAUCUUUCAUCUGAGCUGGUCUAAUCUGAUCAAACAUCAUCGGCUUAACCCUUAAUUCAGCUAGCAAGCUUCCAUCAUCAUUAAUACUAAGUCGAGCAAAUAUUGCCCUUAAUUCCCCCACUGCUUUUCUACUUAAUGCAUCAGCUACCACAUUCGCCUUUCCCGGGUGGUAAUCUAUAAUACAAUCAUAAUCUUUCAGAAGUUCGAUCCACCGUCUUUGUCUUAAAUUCAACUCCUUCUGUGACAGAAGAUAUUUAAGACUUUUGUGAUCCGUGUAAAGGUAGCAUUUUUCACCAUAUAGGUAAUGCCUCCAAAUCUUUAAAGCAAAAAUUACUGCAGCUAGCUCCAAGUCGUGCGUCGGGUAAUUAUAUUCAUGUGUUUUUAAUUGUCGAGAUGCAUAAGCUACGACCUUCUCAUCUUGCAUCAAUACACAGCCCAGACCGCUCAGAGAAGCAUCACUAUACAUGACAAAAUCUUUUCCCGACUUUGGUAAUGUUAAUACCGGUGCCUCUGUCAACAUUCGCUUCAAAGUCUCAAAACUCUUCUGGCACUGAUCAUCCGAGAUAAAAGGAACAUUCUUUUGCAGUAGUUAGUAAUUGGUAGUGCUAUCUUUGAGAAUCCAUUUACAAACCUCCUGUAAUACCCAUCUAAACCGAGAAAACUGCGUACCUCUGAUACAUUCUUGGGUGGUUUCCAUUGGACAAUCGCUUCAAUCUUCUUUGGAUCAACCCGAAUUCCGUCUGCAGAUACUACAUGUCCCAGAAAUACAACCUCUGAUAACCAGAAUUCACAUUUACUGAGCUUUCCAUACAACUGUUUCUCUCGCAAAAUCUGUAGAACUAUUCGAAGAUGCUGAUCAUGUUCUGCCUCUGUCUUCGAAUAUACCAAUAUAUCAUCAAUAAAAAUCACCACAAACUGAUCUAAAUACGGCUGAAAAAUGCGGUUCAUCAAAUCCAUGAAAGCAGCUGGGGCAUUGGUCAACCCAAACGGCAUCACUAAAAAUUCAUAAUGGCCAUAACGAGUACGAAAGGCAGACUUAGGCACAUCACUUUCCUUCACCUUUAGUUGAUAAUACCCGGAUCUCAAAUUAAUUUUUGAAAAUACUGAAGCUCCCUUAAGUUGAUCAAACAAAUCAUCUAUACGAGGCAACGGAUACCGAUUCUUGAUCGUCACUUUAUUCAACUGUCGAUAAUCAAUGCAUAACCGCAUAGAGCCAUCUUUCUUUUUAACAAACAACACUGGAGCUCCCCAGGGUGAAAUGCUUGGUCUAAUAAAUCCACGAUCUAGUAAAUCCUGUAACUACAUCUUUAACUCUUUCAACUCAGUGGGCGACAUUCGAUACGGAGGUAUAGAGAUUGGUGCUGUACCCGGAUACACUUCAAUAGCAAAUUCAACCUCUCUGUUAGGUGGUAAUCCCGGCAAUUCUUCAGGAAAUACAUCUGAAAACUCACAUACGGUCCUGAUCUGACUACACUGACUUCCAACUGAAUCAAAAUUAAUAACAUAUGCCAAAUAUGCUGAACAAUCCUGCUGAAGCAAUUUAUUAGCUUUCAUCACCGAAAUGAUGUGUGUCGGACUACUGGUACAGAUGCCACUUACUUCAACUCUGUCCCCAUCUUCUGUCUGAAUACUAAACCUCUUUUUGUAACAAUCCAAAAUCACCUCAUAUUCGGAUAACCAAUCCAUGCCCAAUAUUAUAUCAAAGUCCCCAAAUGGCAUAAUCAACAAGUCAACCGAAAAAGUUUUAUUCUGUAUAAUCAACGGGCAUCUUAGACAGACCUGAUUCACUAACACUGUUUGCCCCAAUGGACUCGACACCUCAAUAGACACUCUAGACAUUUCGGAUUUUAAUUUUCUCAACUCAACUAAAUUUGAAUUAAUGUAAGAAUGUGCAGAUCUAAGAUCAAUUAAAGCAUAAACAAGCUCAGAAUACAGUAAAAAUAUACUCGUUACCACAUCACGGGCAUCACCUUCUUCACGAGUUUUGACCACAUAAGUUCUAGCUGGUAUUCUGGCUUCAGACUGCUGAGUAAUAAUAUCACUACUCCUUCUACCAGCUCCUCCUCUGGCAAUCGAACUACCUCUACCUAGACUUCUGCCUCGAGCAGUAGAUACUGAUUUCUGUGAUGUGACAGGAGUAUCAUUUUUAUUCUUCGGACAGUCUUUAACAAAAUGCUCCGUCGACCCACAACGGAAACAACCUCCGGUCACUUUCCAACAUUCACCCAAAUGUCUCUUUCCACAAUGUCCACAUUCUUGAAUGUCCACAUCUCGAGUUGGACCUCGUAUACUACCAGUAGAUACCGUCGUUUGUUUUCCCUGGCUUCUUCCACCUCUAUCUGAUCUAAAACUGAAUCUCCAACCACCCUGAAAUUCUUUUGGUCUUUUCGGCUGAGGGUUCCAACUGGUAGUUCCCGUACGCUUCCCAGCUGGUCGAACACUUUGAGUCUUUUUAUUAAAGCCCAACACUUGUUCUACCAUUUUAGCUCGCUCAAUCAAAUCUACCAUUUCAGUAAUACGUUGAGAUACCAACUGUAAUUUGAUCUCAUCUCGUAGACCCCGUAAAAAUCUCUUACAACUAUCAGCUUCAGUUGGAAUAAACUCUGAGGCAUAUCUACUUAGUCUCGAGAAUUCCCUCUCAUAGUCUAUUACUGACAUGUCAACCUGUUGUAACAUCAAAAACUCUUGUUUCUUGUCUUCGAUGUACAUUUCUCCGAUAUAUUUCUUUUGAAACUCUUUCUGAAAUAGAUCCCAAGUUAUCUGAUUCUCUGGUAAAUGUUGAACCACUGAUUCCCACCAUAAGGAAGCUUCUUCUUGUAACAAUGAUACAGCACAAAUCAAACACUCUCGAGGGGUACAAUCUAAUUGUCGUAAAAUUCUUUUAGUCGACUCCAUCCAAUUUUUAGCUACAGAUGGAUCGACUCUUUUCAGACCCAUAAAUUCAUUGGCACCAUACUUUCUCAAUUCCUUUAUCGGGGCCCAUCUUUGAAUUGGAACUGAAGUCAUAGCAGGAACAAUUUCCACUAUUCUUUGUAGUGCAUCGGAAAUUUUUCUAUUUGUAUCAGAAUCAUCUCUAUCAUUUCUUCUUUCUGCUCUAGGAGGUUGGUUUCUCAUCGGGUUAAUACUAGGUGUUACCGAUUCAGUUUCAUCUAACCCGUAAGAUUCUUCUUCUCCAGUAUGCAUUUCUUCAUCAGUAUCAUUUAUUCUUUCAUCCGACAUCUUUAAUCUAUAAAACAAAACAAAUAAAUAGAUCAGAAUCCAAAAAUCCCGACUCAAUUUUGACUCAAAAGUGGCAUGUACUUCUAGACUCAAUUUCGAGCUCGGUAUAGCCCGAGAAUCAGCUAAACCUGAUAGCUCUGAUACCAACAAGUGUAACACCCCCUAACCCCAAACCGUCGCCGGAACAGGGCUACGAGGCAUUACCGGAUAUAUCAGACAACUUAUGGAUAUUUUACAAUUAUUAUAACAUUCAUAGUAUAAUUGAAGAAUUAUGUCCCUAUAAUAGACUUUCAAAGCCCAACAAAAGUAUUAAAGUGGAAUGGAACGGGACUUGUUCGAGUAUUCAGAUUUUUUUUUUUACAAAAAUUUCGACAGCAUUUCUUCUUAAUUUUUACAUAAAACCCCCUGCAAAUUCAAACCAAAAACCAAACUAAUCCAAAACCAAUGGCACAAUCAAAAACAAUUUAAACCUAAAUUUAUCUAAAUAAUAACAAUUCAUUAACAUAGUCAUUUAAUAACUAAACAUUCAUAAUAUUAAUCCAAAUUAACUAAUAACUUCACUUAUUUUUCAUUCCAACUUAAUACCAAAUUAUAUAAUAUAAUAUUUACCAUUUUAUCAAACUAAUAACAAAAUAUGGUAUACCAUUCUUAUAACCAACAUUGCAAGCAUAUCUAUAUAACUUAUACAACACCUAGUACAUGCCACUUUCAAUUAAGAAAGAAAACGUCACCCAAAAUUUAUUGGAGUCGGAAUCGUUCAGAUGCUGGACCGGGGUACUAAACUCCUAUUAACCUGCGCACGGAAACAACCGCACACUGAGUAUUCCAUACUCAGUGGUAUUACCAUAAUUCAAAUUAUAAUAGCAAUAAUUACCAAACAUGUAACUAUCUAAUUUCACAAAUAUCAAUUCAUUCUUAAACUUUCAUUAAUUAAUAAUAACGAUACAAUUUUUAGCUAUUCUUCAGUUUUCAUCACAUAUUACAUGUAACAAUUUCAAUCAAUACAUGAACAUUAAGUUCAUGCCUUUCAUUUUCAAUCUCAAUUUCAAUCUACUAUUCAACUUUUUCGUUUCUUUCAAUAUUUCAAUAAUAUAAUCAAUCAAUUUAUUUUAGAUUUCUCAUUUUAGAUAUUCACCCUAUUAACAAAUCCGGACUUUGACGGAUACACGGAUUCCAACCCAACACACCAGUACGACACAUUGUGCCUAAAACGGUAAAUAGUACCUGAUUAGUAUACGACACAUAAAGUGCCUAAAACGACACACGAGGUGCCUGAUACGACACACGAGGUGCCUGAAAUACGACACAUAAAGUGCCUGAUCAGUAAAGCCGGCAAAUUCCGGUACACUUCCAGAUCCUAUGGCAUGCCAAUUAUAUCCGACUUAGCCCGACUAGUUAAUAGGGUAUUUCAAUUCUCAAUUCACUUUCAUUUCCAUUCCAAGAUUACUUUUCAAUUAAAAUUUUCACAUUCAAAUCAAUUUACAAUUCAAUUAUACAUACACAUUCAGCAUUCAAUUCAAUUCUCAUUCAACUCAAAUAUCAAUACUUACCUUAUAAUUCACUUAUUAAAUGUAGAAUUGAUAUAAAACAUUUAAUAAAAAGUAAUUUGAAUUAUUGUAAUACAAAUCGUAAAUUUCUCGUUUUAAUCCUCGAUAGCUUUCUCCUUUCCUUUGUGCACCGAUGUCUUGGGUUCUUUGUUAACUAUGAAAGUAAUAAUUGUUUAUAAUCAUCAAUAUAACAAAAUUCAAUUUAAUCCAUGAGCCUAAACAUGCAAAUUUAACCAUUUUUAUACAUAUAAUUCCACUAUUUACUUAUAUAUUCAUUCAAAGCUGUCUACUUGAGUCAUUGUUACUAAAUCAUUUAUAUCUUGAGUUCGGAAACUCCAAAUUAAGAUCCACUAAUUUUCCCUGAAACUAACUCACAUAUCUUCUUACCAUAAAAUUUUUAGAAUUUUUGGUUUAGUCAAUAAGUACAGUUCCGACCAUUCUUCACUAAAAAUUAAUUAUCUCCUUGUACAAGAUUCGAACGAUGUUACUGUUUAAUUAUAUUUAAAAUAGAUUCAAUAAUGAUUUUAAACAUAUAAAUUCCAACCAAUAAUUAGUUUUGUACAAUUUUUAAUAAGUUUUCAAAGUUAAAACAGGAGAACCCGAGUUCAUUCUGAUCUUGUCUCACCAAACUUAUAAUAUAUCAUGAUCUAUAAUUCCGUUGCUUAAACCGUUUCUUCUAUAAGAAACUAGACUCAAUAAGAUUUAAUUACAUAUUUUUUCUAAUUCUCUAGUUCUAUUUAUACAAUUUUUUUUGUGAAUUUUCAAAAUCAGAACACUACCACUGCCUAAGACUGUUUUGUGAAAAAUUUUAAUAACCAAAUUUACAACACCAAUUCACACUUUAUUUCUAUUCAAAUUUCAUUUAAACUCAAGUUUAGCUAUUAAAUUUUCAACAUAUUUUCCUAAUUUCAAAUUUUUCUCAAUUUAGUCCCUAAAACACAUAACUUAUCGUUUACUUUACAUUUCAAUCUCUAUUCUAACUUAAUUUCAUUCAAUUAAACCCCUAUUUCAUCAUUUUGUUCAUCAUGAACUUUGUUUAAAAACUUAAAAACUUCUAAACUACUAACUUAAUUCUAUCAAAACCUUGUUUUAAUACUUUUAGAACAUCAAAAUUAAGAGAAAAGGACAUGAUUGAACUUACUAAUUAAACUCUAAGCUUCAAAAACCCUAUUUCCCCUUUUCUCUCUUUUAUUUUCUUCUUUCCUUCCCCUGCUCGAAUACUUUUGUUCUCUUUUCUCUAUUCUUUUUGUUUCUUUUCUUUAUUCUGUUUCUUUUAUUCACUUUAGUUAUUAAUAAUAUAUAAUAAUAAUUUAUUUAUUUAUUUUUUUUACCAUCCAUUUGUCAAAAUUAUACUAUAUAACCAAGUAGAAAUCUUAGAUUUUUACUCAUUUUGCCGCCUCAUCUUCCCAAAUAGGCUUAAUUCCCUAUUUGGUCCUUAUUAUUUCCUACUAAUUUAUAAUUAAACUUUUACUCCUUAUUCAAUUUAGUCAUUUUUACUAAUUACUCUAAAUUAAGCUAAAUUCACCUAAUUUAAACCUAAUUAAACACAUCGUUAAACUCAUAAAUAUUUCUAGUAAUUAUUUCGAACUCGAUUUACUAAGACGGAGGCCCGUUAAUGUACUUUUCUGAUGCACGUGAAUUUUGGGUCAUUACAAUUUUCUUUGUGUUGCUUUUUUUCAGUAUAUUCAUCAUACUUUCUCUAAUGACACCUGUCAAUAAAAUAAAAAUAAUUCACACUUUAUAUUAUUAUCAAUUAUAUAUAAUCUUUAUUGAUAAAUUUACAAUAACAUUUAAAAAUAAUAGUAAAGUAUCACAUACCACUAACAUUAGGGCAUGGUGCAACAUUGACGAUUUUAUGAGCAAUGUGCUCUUUAAAUCUUUUUAUUCCUCCUUUCACAACUUUUCCACAAAGUUUACAUAUGAUAUUUCCUUUCGCAUUUGGCAUUGGAGUUCCAAAGUGCCAAUCUGUAUCAUUACUUGGUGCACCCUCCAAUCCUUUAGUCGGGAACCCUUCACGUGGUGGCAUGUUUUAUUUUUAUUUUUGUAUAAGAAACAUAAAAUUAUAUUUAGAAAUAUAAGCAACUCAUUACUUAUAUUAUCAACAAUAUAAUACAAAAAAAAAGUAAACAUCAUUAACAUGGAAAAUUUAAAUUUAUUGCAUAAUCCAUACAUAAUUUAUUUAUUUAUUUUGAAAACAACAAUACACCAUAACCCAUUGUUACUUGGUUCCAAAGUUUUUGUUAUAAACAGUUUGUUUUGUUCCAUCUUAAUAAAAUUUAAAUUCAAAUUGGAUCAAAUUUAAAAAUUCAAGUUUUUCAUAUUAUGCAAACUAAAAUCAAUAGAGAUUUAUCUAAUGUUGAAUUGAAGUCAUUUAUCGGAUUUGAAAAAAAAAAACACAAUGAAUUAAUUUUUCUUGAUUUUUUACCUUCUAUAAUACAAGCCAUAAGUGAUGGAGGCUAUAAAUUUUUCAUUAAUUUUUUGUGUCAUAACCUUAAGCAAACCCCAAGCAACAGAGGUUAUAAUUUUUCAUUAAUUUUGUGUGUAACCCUAAACAAACCCUGAGUAAUGAAAGUUAUGAAAUUUUAAAAUAAUAAUAAUAAAUAAUAAAAAUUAUCAUUAUAAAUUAUAAUUACAAUAUUAAUUAAAAAAUAACAUAUAAAGUCGAUUGAGUCUAAGCUUAAUUGGUAUGAAUAUUAUUGUCAGUGCAGAAAUAUAUAAGUUUAAAUGUGCUGAAAUGCAUUAUUCUUGUAUUUAAAAGUCGAGAAGAACUAUAGAUAGUUCUAAAUAUUCUCUUAACAAUCAAUAUGAUAAAAAAGAAUUAUUCAAAAAAGCUGUUCGUAUUCCUUCUCAUCUAAUUUGAAAUGUACCUUUGCCACGUUGGAUAUGAUUUAAGUAUACGUAUAUGGAACAUACAUGUAUUAAAGAAAUUAUUAUUAAAUUAAUCAGAAUAUAUAGAUUAUCACGUUCUUUUUCUCUUCUUCUCGAAUUAAGUUAACUACACCUCGAUUAGCCCAACCCUCUAUGUAUUAAUUGAUACACCUAAUUAAUUAAAAGUAUCCCUAGAUUCCUAAUUAAAGUAUAAUGGUAAAUUUUCUGAUCAUUAAAAUCCUAAAUAUAUUCUUCAAAAAAAAUAAAAAAAUCCUAUAUAUAUAUAACAAAUUAACAAUGCAAUUCAUGGAUAAUUAAACUCAAUUUCAAUGAAAAAUAAAAUAAAAUUAAAAAAAUAACAUAGUUGAACUGAACUGAAUGGAUAAGGUUAUGGCUGAAGAUAAAAACUUUGAAACAAAAAUAUAAUGUAAAGUCUCAUUAAUUUUAUUUUUAAAAAAAUUCAUGACAUCAACCAAUAUAUUAAUCAAAUAAUAGAGUUUGAAGAAACUUGAAAUUAUAAAUAAAGAUAUAGUCAAAACUCAAAAUAGUUGAGAUCUUUCCCUUGUAAACAAACCGUCAAACCCUAUUUCUUAUUCAAACACUCAUGGGUAGCUCUUUUUCCCCUUUUAUGGUCCUUUUCUUUUGGUUUUAAAAAAACCCAAUUCUUAUAUUCUUUUCUUAAAUUUCUUUUUGCAAUGGGAUGUUAUAGUUAUUGAUUUUUCUAUGUUCUUUCUUCAAUAUUUUUGUCGGAACCGCAUUUUAUUAUGCAUUUUAAACGUCUGUAAAGAAGCAUUUGGUCGUCGACUCGUCUCCUCAAAGUUGUUGGUAUAGAUGUUGUGGAGAUGGCUCUUUGGGCUAAGGUGAGUGGCCAUGCUUUAAACGUGCUUUCACUCGCUUACAUGCUUUAAACCCCAACCAAGGAUUUAAAUAGCGAAACCCCUCUGUUCUUAAAUCCCUAAAGUCUAAACUUUAAAGAACAUAUUUGGCAUUUGCACUGCAGAAUGCAAAUUCAAGACAUGCAAGCAAGAAUCAAGACACAAUUUCAGUUUUUAGGUACUUACUUGGAUUUUGUUUGAUAAAUUCCUCCGAUCCGGUGUUGUAUUUUGUUUGCCAUUUGGUCUUUGGACUUUGGAGUUUACGGUCUAAACUCUAAACUGAAAUAUGAGAAAUAAAAUUUCAUAUUUUCUAUUGCUUUUGAGUUUUGAUUGCUUUUUUCUGUUUAUUUGGACUUCUUUUUACUUUUUUUGAUUGAAAACUCUUUCAUUUUGCAUGUAGGGGAAUAUAUUCCCUUUUGUUUUAUUCUGUUUCUGUUGAUUUUUGUUUAGAGGAGAUGAAUUUCUUUAUUUAUUUAAUGUAACGGAAAAUAACGGGAAUAGCGGCCCGUUAUUGCCGCAAUUGGCCGUUACCCAUUAAAUUGCAGCCGCGAUCCACCACUAUCAGUGUGACUCCGCUUCACAUCGCUAUUUUCAACAAUAGCGGUUUUGGACGGCGCCGCUACCGCUAUAUAACGGCCGCUAUUCUGAUACCGGACCACUAUUUAAAUCCCUGGUUAAGCCUUACAACUCCACAGAAAACUAUGCAAUUGAUUGUGGUUCUUCCGGGAAUAGAGAGUCUUUCAAUAGUUGUUAUUGGAUAGGAGAUGGCAAUGGAAAAUUCAGCUUCAUAGAGCAACAAAACAAAUCAUCAGUGAUUAACGCUAUAUCUAAAGAAGUUGAUAAGCUCCCCUACUCCACAGCUCAUCCUUCUUACUCAUAGUUCACCUAUUCUAUUCCCCUCUCUCCUGGUCCAAAAUUCAUUCGCUUGCACUUCUAUCCAAUUUCAUAUACAGGCUUUGACGACCCUUCUAAGAAAGCUAUCUUCUCUGUUCAAGCUGGUACUUUUAUCCUUCUCCAGAAUUCCAGUGCUUUGUUUCAUGCUCGAGGUGAAGUUACAGUUGUCAAAGAAUUUUGUGUAAACGUUGAUCAAGGUCAAAGAUUCAACUUAACCUUCACUCCUACUCCUGAAAUCACUAAUUCUUAUGCUUUCAUGAAUGGUAUCAAAGUUGUUUCCAUGCCAACCAAUCUACAUUAUACACCAGAGAGUGAUGAAGGGGUACCUUUUUUAGGCCAGGCCUAGUGAAGAUUGUACACCCCAGGAAACAAUGCUGCCCUUGAGAAGAUGUGUUGGCGUUAUUAGCAUAAAGCUAAGAAGAAAAACAAAGAAAAAUGAAUACAAAGAAAGUUUGAACAAGAAGAAAACUAAAAUUCUAAACUUGUAUCAAAUUUCAUUGAUUGAAAAAUAUAAAUUACAAGGCAGUUACCUAAUAUGUAACUGCUCCCACUAAUACAUGACUAAACUUAGCUUAAAUUACAUACAAAAGAGGCUGACAUAUCAACCAUUACAUCAAAUUCAAAUCAUCAACAAAUCCUACUAACUUUAAAGUCAAAUUACAAAGCAACUAAGGAAGUUACAAAUGAACAAAAUAAACAAAAUGCUUGUAACAACCUAAUUUUCAGUGGUGUCGAAAAAAGUGAUUUGAGAUCACUAAAUCCGAUGGGUAAAUUUUAAAAAUUUAGUAAAUUAAUAUUUAUGAGUCAAAUGUGAAUUUAGAAAUAAUUUUGAAUUAGUGAAUUUUUUGAAUUAAAAGAAUUUAUUAGAUAAAUUGGGUUGAAAAAGAGGUAUCGAGACCUCGAAUUCAUAAAUCGAGCCAUAAAUAUUUUUUAGAAAUAUUUAUGGAGUGUCAUUGAGUUAGUAUUAAAGUUUCGUUAGGAAAUUUUAACGUUUUGAUAGUUAAUUAAUUAAAAAGGACUGAAUUGAAAAAGGUGAAAAUUUGUCAAUUAAAGAAAUAGGGAUUAAAUAGCUUAAAUGGUAAGUAAGGGAGGAUCAAAAGGGUAAUUAGACACCCAUGGAAUAGUUGGAUGGCAUGUGUGAAGAGGAAAACAACAAAACUAGUGUGAACAAGGGGCAAAAUUGGAAAAGAAAUAAAAUUAAAUAGAUAAAGGUGGACUAAAUUGAAUCUCUAGACAUUUUUUUCAUUUUUCUUCAGCUAAAAACAUCAUUAAAGAGUCUUCCUAAGCUGGUUUUUCAUAUUCUUGUUACAAAUCAAGAGUAUAAAGAAAAUCGAGGAAAAGAAAAAUUAUCCGACUAGUCCCUGAAUCUUUACAAAUUCUACAAAUUAGCCCCGAUAAGUUCAUAUGGUUGAAUUUUAUGAUUGAUUGUUAAAUUUAGAGAUUAUAUAAUGUAUUAUUUCAUAUCAUUUUUUUAUGGAAUCAUGAUUAUUGUGAUAAAAGGAAAAUCAAAACAAAAGUUCAAAUUUAGUAGAACGCAUGAUUGAGUACAAUCGUUUUGUGAUUAGUGAUGAAUUGAAAGAAUAAGACCAUGACAAAGUGUGGAAUGUAAGACCAUAGCGCUAUGACAUUUCAGUAAAAAGACCAUAAUUGGGUUAUGGCAUUGUGAACGAAAGACCAUGGUUGGACCAUGGUAGUAUAUGUGUGUACGUGUAAAACCAUAGUUGGGCUAUGGCUUCGUAAUAAAGUGAAAGACCAUAGCGGGGCUAUGGCGUUGUGAUAUGUGCAAGACUAUGUCAAGGCCAUGGUAAUAUAUAUGUAAGACCAUAGUUGGACUAUAGCAUUAAGCAAAUGAUGUAAUCAAAUCCGUAAGACGUUCUCUAAUUUGAUAAGAAAUGGUAAGUGUUAUAUGAAUUAAAGUGAUAGAAUUCAAUUAGUUGUGAUAUUGAGCUUAAUCAAGUAAAUUCAUCAUUUGAGAUUGUGAUUGGCAGGAAAUACUAAUGAAAUGCUCUGUUUAAUGUUUUGGGUAAGAUUUAUUUUAAAGCCGAUGAACUUACUAAGCUUUCUUAAGCUUUUUUUUUGUGUGUGUUUAAUGUUAUGUGUAGAUUGACGAGAGUUCGGAGGAUCAGAUCAACAUAUCAAGCCACACUAUCUAGAUAAAUCCUGUAGAUUUUGUUAAAUAUCCUAUGGUUUAUAUGGCAUGUAUAGGAUCGAAUUGAAAGAAAAUAUAUUUGUAAUGGGACUAUGAGUAGUAUAUACAAAUAUUUACAUGUGUAUAUUUAAAAGCAAGUAAUUAGUAGCAUUUUAUAAAAAUUUAAUGUGUGGUAAAUUGGUGCAAAUGAGUUGUGUGAUAAUACAUAAGUCCAAAAAUUGAGUUAUAAUUUGUAUUGGUUGCUUGAUUGAAGUAUUAUUGUAUAUGAAAGUAUUGCAUGCAGGUUGAAUUGUGUAAAGGGCGAGAAAAGUGGCCUUAGAAUGGCCUAUUUUCAUCCAUAUGGGUAGACACACGGGCGUGUGUAUGGUCUAGCACAUGGGUAUGUGGUCUAGCCGUGUAUCCCCUGCAUCUUAAAUUUUAAAAAUAGAAUGCUCAGAUUUAGCACACGAGUAGAGACAUGGGCGUGUGUCUCAGCCGUGUGUGCCACAUGGCCUAGAACACGAGCGUGUGUCUUGGCUGUGUCACUUGGCCGUGUGAGCCACAUAGCCGUGUGACCUAUGUACUUGGCCGUGUGAGCCACAUGACCUACUUACACAGGCGUGUGACCCCUGUACAUGAGAAAAUUUUUUAAAUUUCACGAAAAAUAUCCAACAUUCCCAAUUUAGUACCGACUCGAUCCUAACAUUUAUUUUGGGCCUCGAGGAUCCAUUCUAGGGACGUUGUGAUUAAUAUCGGGAAAUGAAUAGUAAUUAAUAUGAAAUAUCUAUAAUUAUUCUAAAAACUUCAAUAAUACUCCGUAACCCUAUUCUGGCGACGAAUUCAGGUUAGGCGUAUUACAAUGCUGCUGCUCCACUGGUUCAGCUUCAAUGCUGGUCUGCUACUGAUUUCCUAUUGUAUUGCAGGCUAAAGUUCAACACUUUUCCUUGGACUGUAUGCAACAAACACCAAUCUUUCUCCUUAAGACAUUAAAUCUUGUGGCACAAAGAGACUUGGUUAAGAUAUCAGCAAACUGAUUCUCUAAGCUAUAAUGAAUUAGGUUCACUUCCCUUAAUUGUUCAGCCUCUCGAACAAAAUGAAAUUAAUCUUAAAAUGUUUAGUUUUGCCAUGAAAAACAUGAUUUUUGGCUAUGGCAACUAUAGACUGAUUAUCAGUUCUGAUUUCAGUAGCUUCAAUCUGUUCUUCAUUCAAAUCACAUAGCAACUUCCUAAGCCAAAUGGCUUGAUUAACAGCUAUAGUAGUUGCAAUGUACUCUGCUUCUGCUAUUGAUUGAGCAACAGUUUGUUGCUUCUUUGAAAUCCAACAAAAGACCCCUGAGCUAAGAGUAAAGAAGUAGCCAGAAGUGCUCUUCAUAUCAUCAAUAGAACCUGCCCAAUCACUGUCAGAAUAACCAAUCAAUUUGAGCUCUUUUGCCUUCUCAAACUUCAUUCCAUAAUUCAGAAUCCCUUUUACAUAUCUGAGGACUCUUUUAGCUGUUUUAAAAUGGACAAUAUCAUAGCAAUGCAUGAAUCUGGACAGGAGGCUAACACCAAACAUAAUAUCAUAGCAAACAACUUACCAGGCUCCGAUACUCCUUCUUAUCAACCCUUUCAUAACUGCUAUUGUUUUUCACCUUGAGCCAUUGGUGUGCUGACAGUUUUGCAAUUGGACAUACAAAACUUGUUUAAGAUUUUCAGUGCAAAAUUCUGUUGACUUAUGAAGAUAGCUUGGUCAGUUUGAAUUACUUCCUGCUAAGAAAAUAUGUCAUUUCCCCUAAGUCAGUCAUCUAAAAAACAUUCUGCAUUUGCAUUUUGAACUCAUCGAUCAUAUUCCCUUUUCUUCCAAUUACCAACAGGUCAUCCACAUAGAGUGACACAAUCAGUAAAGUUUCAUUCUCUGAUUUCUUUACAUAAAGUGUAGGUUCACUCACAGUUUUCUCGAACCCGAGCCUAGACAGGUAUGCAUCAACCCUGUCAUACCAGUCCCUUGAUGCCUGCUUUAGACCAUACAACGCCUUUUUUAGCUUGUAGACCUUGUUCUCUUCAUUAGGAACUUUGAACCCAUCUGGUUGUUCAAUGAAAAUUUCUUCUUUGAGGAAGCCAUUUAGAAAGGCUGACUUGACAUCCAGCUGGUGUACUCUCUAUUGCUUCUGAGCAGCCAAGGCAAAUAGAAGCUUUAUUGUGCCUAGCCUUGCAACUGGAGCAAAUGUUUCCAUGAAAUCAAUGCCAUACUGCUGGCUGUGUCCCUUCACUACAAGUCUUGCCUUGUGUUUGUUUAAAGAGCCAUCAGUAUUGUACUUGACUCUAAACAUCCAUUUCACAUCAAUAACCCUCUUCUGGUCUGGUCUGUCAACCAAUCCCAAGUGUCAUUUUUGUGAAUCAUCUACAUUUCUACUUUUAUGGGCCUUUUCCAAUACUUUUCUCUGACAGCUUCAUCAAAAUUUGAAGGCUCAACUAUUUCAAUAUCACACAUUUGAUAAAUGUCAACAAUGGUUCUUGUGCCUCUCACAGGUUCAUCAUCAAAGUCAUCACCAAUUGACCCUUCCUCAUCUGGUUCCAGACUGAUGUCUUGCUGAUCUUAUUCACUUAGACUUGCAUCUAUUUCACUCCAAUUCCAUACUCUUCCUUCAUCAAAUUUUACAUCCCUGCUCACAAUGAUCUUUUUUUUUGAAGGAUCAAACACCCUAUAGCCUUUCUUAGUGCUACUGUAACCAACAAAGAUCCCUGACAUAGAUGUUCUUUCAAGUUUGGUUCUCUUUUCAGUUGGAAUGAGAACAUAGUAGACACAACCUAACACCUUUAGGUGUGAAAUUGUUGGCUUGAGUUCAUACCAAGCUUUAAAAGAAGUUUUAUCUUUGACAACAGUAGUAGACAGCCUAUUGAGUAGAUACACUGAAGUGUUUACUGCCUCAGCCUAAAAUUUGCUUGGCAAUUUGCUUUCAAACAGUAAGCAUCUAGCCAUGUCGAGUACUGUUCUAUUCUUUCUUUCACACACUCCAUUCUGCUGAGGAGUGUAAAUGGUUGUUAGCUGAUGGUUAAUUUCAGCUUGCUCACACAACUUCUGAAACUUUUCUGAUAAGUACUCAGUCUCAUUAUCUGGUCUUAAGGCCUUAAUCUUGCAACCUGACUGAUUCUCAGCUAAGGCUUUGAAUUUGUUGAAUGCCUCAAAUACUUCAGACUUUUGCUUCAAAAAGUAGAUCCAACAAAAUCUAGAAAAAUCAUCUAUGAACAGCAUAAAAUAUUUACUGUCAUUUAAAGAAGAAGUAUUCAUUGGUCCACAUAUGUUAGUGUGGACUAAUUCGAGCUUGUCUCAAGCUCUCCAUGCCUUAUUAACUGGAAAAGGCAAUCUUGCUUGCUUCCUAAGCUGGAAAAUUUCACAAACAUUGUCACUGAAUUCAACUUUGGACAUGUUUUCAACCAAGUUUAAUUUGUGCAAUAAAUCAAGUGAUCUGCAGUUAGCAUGGCCUAAUCUUUUAUGGCAUAAACUAGCUUUAUCAGCAAGACUAGUGUAGGCUUUCUUUUCUAACUAAUUUACAUCCAACAUGAAACAUGUAUCAGUCAUAGCCACAGUAACUAAUUCUUGACCAAAUGAAUCCUCAAUAACACAAGAUUUAUUCUUAAAAACAAGUGAAUAACCCUUCUCAAUCAGCUGGCCAACAUUAAGCAAGUUUUGGUCUAUGUCAGGCACAAAAAGAACAUCUGAGAUUACUUUGUUACCUAAGUGUGUGCUGAUCACUACAUCUCCUCUACCUCUGGCAUCAAUAAGGUUUCUAUUUCCAAUCCUGACUUUGGAAGAGAAACUUCUAUCAAGAUUCUUGAACAACCAUUCAUUAGAUGUCAUAUGGUGAGUGCAGCCACUAUCUACUAACCAAUUCCUUCUCACUUUGGCUGAAGUUGCAUAACAGGUUACAGUGAAAACAUACUCCUCUUAAGCCUGAGCAUCCUCAGCAGCCUGAGCAUCCUCAGCAGCCUGAGCUUGAUUUUGUUACUAAGUUUGUGCCUUUCCUUUGAUCUUGCACACCUUCUCAAUAUGACCAAACUUUUGCAGCUUCUGCACUAGAUAACUGGCCUGUACCAGCAGUACUUCUCUAAGUGUGUGGACCUUUUGUAGUGAAUGCAUGGUGGAAAUUUCUUCUUUCCUGCAUCCCUAUUUGGUUUCUGCCUUUUGUCAAGCCAUGGUUUCUUUUUUUUUUUGUAGCUCGAACUUGAGAUUUCUUUGGAUCUUACUUGGAAAGCUCAUUCUGGAUGCUCCUCUAGCCUGUUGCCCCUCUUUUGCUCGUGUACAUAUAGAUAAUUUACCAAAUCAGACAAUAAGAUGGUUGAUAAGUCCCUCGAGUCAUCCAAUAAGGAAAUCUUUGACUCAAACUUUUUAGGAGAGUGGUGAUGAUCUUUUCAACAAUCUCUACUCUCACUGAAAUCAUCUUCAAGGAGCCUAAUGUUGUUGACUGUGGCCAUUAUCCUACCAGAGUACUACUUGAUGGUCUCUGACUCUUUCAUCUUCAAAUUCUCAAAGACUCUCAUCAGGUUGAUCAGUUGCUACUGCCUUGUCUUGUCUGACCCCAUAAACUCUUCCUUUAGCUUCUUCCAUGCUUGUUUUGGUGUGUCACAAGCCAUUAUCUGAGUGAAAAUCACAUCAGAUACCCCAUUUUGCAAGCAUGCCAUUGCUUUGUACUUCUUGGCACACUCUUCACUGUGCUGUUCGAUUUGGGCAAUGGUGAGAUUGGCCCUCAAUGAAGUUGGUUCAGUGUCAUUCUCUACCACAUUUCAUAGGUCAUGUGCUUGUAGGUAAGUUUUCAUCUUCACUACCUAAAUGUGGUAGUUCUCAUCAGCAAACACAAGUGGUGGUGGUGGUGUGAAGCUCAUAUUGUAGCAGCAAAAAUCGAUAGCUUCAGUUUUUCUCUUUUCAGGUUUUCUUCACAAAAGCUACUAACAAUAGAGGCCCUCAAAGAUGACAGGCUCUGAUUACCAUUUUUUGGUGUUAUUAACAGAAAGCCAAGAAGAAAAACAAAGAAAAAUGAAUGCAAAAAAAGUUUGAACAAGAAGAAAACUAAAAUUCUAAACUUGCGUCAAAUUUUAUUGAUUGAAAAAUAUAAAUUACAAGGCAGUUACCUAAUAUGUAACUACUUCCACUAAUACAUGACUAAAACUUAACUUAAAUUACACACAAAAAAGGCUGACAUAUUAGCCAUUACAUCAAAUAGAAAUCAUCAACAAAUCCUACUAACUUUAAAGUCAAAUUACAAAGCAACUGAGGAAGUUACAAAUGAACAAAAUAAACAAAAUGUUGCUGCUUCACUGGUUCUGCUUUGAUGCUGGUCUACUACUGAUUUCCUAUUGCAUUGAAGGCCAAAGUUCAACAAGAUGUAUCAAAUCAAUGUUGGUGUGAGGGAAAUCUUACCAGGAGACGACAUUGAGAUGUUCUGGAUCUGGUUAACAGAUGACGCCUAUUUGACAAUAGCCAACCAAGUGCUCUUCUUGUUGAUACCAAAGUGGAACUCAGGUUCAACAGUGACAUACCCUCGGACUCUGCUCCAAGGGAGCUUUAUGUAACUAUCAGGACCAUGGGGACGAACAAGACCCAGAAUGAGAACUACUAGCUGACAUGGGAGUUUUCUGUUGAUUCUAGGUUUAAUUACUUUGUAAGUUACAUUUUUGUAAGUUCCAAACAGAGAUAACCAAAGAAGGUGAUAGAGUGUUUGAGAUCUUAUUGGAUAAUUCAACUGCAUAAACUACAGCAGAAGUUAUAUCCUAGGGUGGUGGUAAUGGGAUUCCUAUAUAUCGGGAUUAUGUAGUGUCAAUAGGAAUGAAAGGAAAUCAAAAGCAGCAAAAUCUCUCUAUUGCUUUGCAUCUUUUGCCGCCUUAGAGAACUCUUUAUUCUGAUGCAAUUUUGAAUGGGCAUGAAAUCUUCAAAUUGAGCAACGAUUUUCCUCUCUUUGGACCUAGCUUUGAUCUUAGAUCUAGACCUAACAUCCAUCCUAAGAAGUCAUCGGUUGUACAAAUAACAAAGAAGAGAACAAUAAUAAUUGUUGUUGUUGUUGUUUCUCCUAUCUCGGGCUUUAUUACCGCCUCUCUUUUACUUCUUCUAAUUUACCAGAUACAUUCCAAUAAAUUUUCCAACAGCAACAGCCCGGCUUCACCUUCAGAUAUUUGUCCCCACUUCUCACUAAGGGAGAUUAAAAUAGCUACCAAGAACUUUGAUAAAAAAUUUAUCAUCAGAAGAGGAGGAUUCGACGACAUCUACAAAGGAUUCACUAAUGCCAGCUCUACCCCAAUUGCGAUCAAACUUUUGAAUCCAAGCUCAAAACAAGGGGUGUUUGAGUUUAGGACACCAAAAUUUAGUUUCUCUGAUCGGAUAUUGUGAAUACAAGAAGAAAAUGAUCUUUGUGUAUGACUACAUGGUUCAUGGGACUUUGAGAGAUCACCUCUUCAACACUAGAAACCCCCUUUUACAAUGGGAGCAAUGGCUCAAGAUGUGUAUUGGUGCUGCACAAAGGUUGCAUUAUCUCCAUAGGGGUCCUAAUCACACCAUCAUUCACCGAGAUGUGAAGACCACAAAUAUUUUGAUAAAUGCUAAAUGGAUAGCCAGAGUAUCUGAUUUUGGAUUGUCUAAACUGAAUGACUUACCCAACACUCAGAUUAGUAUCGCCGUCAAGGGCAACAUCUGGUUUUUGGAUCUUAAAUAUUGUCGUCUUUAGAAAAUAACUAAACAAUUCGAUGUCUAUUCUCUCGGUGUGGUAUUGUGCGAAGUACUAUGUGCAAGAGCAUCGAUAGAUCGAAUUGUCGAGAAUCAUAUGCAAUAAGUUUAGCAGAGUGGGUACAACAUUGCUACAACAAUGGAACUUUUGAUCAGGUAAUUGAUACUCAUCUACAUGUUAAGAUCAAGCUUGCAAGUUUGUUAAAAUUUGGUGAAGUUGAUAUAAGUUGUUUGGCUUCAGAAGAGAUGAAAAGGCUGACAAUGAGUGAAGUGGUGUAUGGACUUGAGCUUGCAUUGAAGCUGCAAGGAAGUGAAAUAAAUAAAAACGCUGAGAAUCAUGCAAAUAACUUAUCUGUUGGAAAAAUUAUAAUUUUUGGAAACUUUAAGGUAUAUUCUCGAUUGGUAAAGGUGAAGAGUUAAAUCAUAAAAUUAUGGUUUUAUAUUUUGCUCCAUGAGACUUUUAUAACGAUAUAUCAUAUGCUUAAAAUAGUUGAAUGAUGAAUGAGAAAUUAAUACUCAAAGUAAGCUAUUUGUGAAUAUUUGUGGAGGAAAAGAAAAACUUAGAUCCCACAUUGGUUAAAUACCAAGUGUGAGAUAUGUAUAUAUAUGAGAACCCACUUAAAGGAUUAUUAAAUGACUAAGUUUAAAAUCUUGCCUUGCAUGCAGGAGGUGGUGUAGAUCCAAACCUAUAGGGGUUAGGGUGCACACGUAUAACGUGGACAAUUCGAAAUGCCUUCCAAAAUCCCAUGCCUUAUAAAAGCUUAAAUAUUUUUUUUAGGAGACACUCACAACGAAUUUAUUUUGCUCUAGAAAAUUCUUCUCUUUUUCCUCUCCAUAUUUUCCAACGUUUCAGUGAUAGAAGAAUGUAAGGUUUGUUCGUUGAUCACUGCAGAAGUGUUACUGCUUCGAUCAUCUUGUUGUUGUAUUCUGGGAAACAGUCGACCAACGUUUCUCCAAGUACCAUAGGAACGAUAAAAUCUAUCUUGAAGAAACUGUAUAAAACAGGCAUCAACAUUUAGUAAAACUCGAUUCUUUUAUUCGAUUUCUAGUUUUUAUAAUCUUAUUUAUUGAUUUUUCGUAUAUGAUAUUUUAAAUAUAAAUUAUUUAAUUUAAUUUAAUUUAUAUAAAUAUUUGUUUACUAACGUGUUUUGUCCAACAUCAUCCACCAUUGAUUAUCAUGUAUUGUUUACUAGUGGUGAAUCAAUGAAAGUUGGACGCUAGAAUUUUUAUUUUUAUUUUACCAAUUGUAAUUUUAAUUCCAACUUUCUAUGAACAAUUAUUUAAUAGGUUUUUUUAUAAGACUUCACCAAGUCUUCAUGGUCGACGUCGGUAGACAAGUCUUCAUGGAGAGAAAAUCCAUGGAGUUUGUGGAAUUGUUUUUGGAUAAUGAAAUUCUUGGUUGUGUGCUCGACAAUAUAAUAUUUUUUAUCACUUAUUUUUUAAUAUUAUAAAUAUUUUUUAUUAGAAAAUAUAUAUUUCAUUAAAAUAAAAAAUCAAUAUAUUUUAUAACUCUAAUAUUUAUUAAGAAUAAAAUUUUAUAUCAUUUAUAUAUUUAAUGUUAAUUAGUCUUCAUAUCCAACGCCCAUAGACAAGUCUUGUAGAGAAAAAUCUUCAUGGUUGGAAAUUUUAUGUGAUUAUAUUUUUUAAAAUAUUAAAUUAGAUAAUAUUAGUAAUGUUACAAAAUUUUUAUUUUAUAGAGUAGAUAUAUAUUAAAUAACAAGUUUAAUGAAUUUUAGGAUUUUAGUGUACUUCAAAAAUGGAAUUCUAUAUUAUUUAUAUUUCUAAUGCCCAUUAGUUUUCAUGAUCUAUGGUUGAAGACAAGUCGAAAAUUUGUGGAGCGGAAAAUUUUUUUUAUAAUGGCACUUUGGUUGUGAGUUCAAUAAUAUAAUAAUUUGUACUUAAAUUUAUUUAAAAGUAGCUAGUUGGUACCUAAAUUUUGUUGGACUUAAUUGUUACUUGAACUUAUUUUUCAUCACACACCUUAAUACUUUCACACUAACACUAUUACUUUAUACUAAUAUAAUAUUGACAACUAAUUACAUAAUAACAUGUGACAAGUCUCUUGUUAUAAUCGUCAUAGGCAUAGUUACUUAAAUAAUAUAUUCCACAGCAUUUUACAAUUAAACUUUCUAAGACUUUCCCAAGUCUUUCAAAUGGUCGAUGUCCAUUGAUGAGUCUUGCAGAGAAAAUUCGUGGGGUGUAUGGAAAGUUUUUAUUUUUUUAUUUAAAAAUGACUACACCAUAGAUUUUCUUUUUCAUUUGAAGUUAAUUUAUAAUAAUACAAAAUUUUAUUUAGAAAAUUCCCACCAAUAUGAAAACAACAAUAAAUUAUAGUAUGAUAUACUACAACUAAGUUCACCUACUUGAAUUAACUUGUCUCUCUCUUUUUAAAGUCUCUGAUUGAUUCAAACAUUUUCCUUAUUCUCACUAAUUUGGAGUUCCAUAUUCUCAUAUUUCUGGUUUUUUUUUUUUUGCCUACAAAACGUCCUGGUUGGUUCUUUCCAUAAUCUUUUCGUCUUUCUCUUUAUCGUGAAGAUGAAGACAAACAAUGAAACACUUAGUUUGCAAAGAUUACUUAUCACACUUUUAAAUCUUAGAGUCUUGAUUGCAGUUACAGUAGGGGAAGUAGUCCCUUCUUAUAUCCCCAUUGAAAACAUCACCAUUAAUUGUGGCUCUUUCUCUCACUCCUUAGCUUCAGAUGGCCGCCUUUGGAGUGCAGAAAACAAUUCUAGAUUCCCCGUCCUACAUUCACGAAACAAUCAAUCUCUGUUUUUAAGUGCCUCUACUGGGUAUGAACCCUACAUCACAAGCCGCCUUUCCUACUCGGAGUUCACCUACAUGAUCCCCCUUACUGCUGGCCCGAAGUUCAUUCGCUUGCACUUUCAUCUACAUUCAUACCCAGGCUUUAAUCUGUCUAAGGCUUUCUUCACUGUUAAAGCAGGUCGGUUUACACUUCUCAGAAACUUCAGUGCUUUACUUCAUGCUCAAGGCAAGGAAACUCUGGUUAAAGAAUUCUGCGCUAACGUUGAAGAUGGAGAGACCCUAAAUAUAACAUUCUCUCCGAGUUCGGCUAUCUCAGAUGCGUAUGCUUUUGUAAACGGGAUUGAAAUUGUGUCUAUGCCCACCAACCUAUACUACAGACCUUCCAGUGAUGAAGGUGUUCCCCUCCUUGGCCACCCUACCGGUAGGUUGUAUAGCUGGGGAAACAACACUGCCCUUGAGAUGAUGCAUCGGAUCACUGUUGGUGGAAAACAAAUCCCACCUGCAGAAGACACUGGCAUGUAUCGAGCCUGGUCAGGGGACGACGAUUACUUGACAGUUGCGGGACCUAGUGCUCUUCCAGUUAACACGAGUGUUAAUCUCAGCUUCAGCGCUGUGCCAUCGUUCUCUGCUCCGGGAUCCAUCUAUAAAGUUGCUAGAACAAUGGGAACUAACAAUACUAUGAAUGAGAAUUAUAAUCUCACUUGGGAGUUCCCUGUUGAUUCUGACUUUAAUUACUUUGUGAGAUUGCAUUUUUGUGAGUUCCAAAUAGAGGUAACGAAAGAAGGUGAGAGAGUUUUUGAGAUCUUCAUAGCCAACAACACAGCAGAAACUCAAGCAGACGUUAUAGCCUGGAGUGGUGGAAAUGGAGUUCCAAUAUAUAGAGAUUACGCAGUGGCAAUAAGGAAUAAAGGAAAUCAAAAGAAACAAAAUCUUGCAAUUCAGCUACAUCCUGACCCGGCAUGGAGAACUAUGUAUUCUGAUGCAAUCCUGAAUGGAGUUGAAAUUUUCAAAUUGAGCAGGAGCGGUGAUCUUAGCGGACCUAACCCCGAUCCAACGCUCGUUUUGCACUUAGGAAAGAAGAGGACGAUAAAUGUUGUUGUCGUUGUUGCUGCUCCAGUUACCGGCUUUGUUACUAUCUCUCUUUUACUUUUCGUGAUUUUCCGAAUACGUUCCAAUAAAUUUGCCAACAACAGCUGCCCUUCUCUACCAUCUGAUAUUUGUCGCCACUUCUCACUGAGGGAGAUCAAAACUGCUACUAACAACUUCGAUAAGAAUCUCAUCAUUGGAAGAGGCGGAUUCGGUGAAGUCUACAAAGGAUUCGCUAAUGCUGGCUCCACCCCUGUUGCAAUCAAACGCUUGAAUCCAGGUUCACAACAAGGGGUGCUUGAGUUUAGGACUGAAAUUGAGAUGCUUUCGAAACUUAGGCACCAAAAUUUAGUUUCUUUAAUCGGAUAUUGCCAAGAUAAUAAGGAAAUGAUCCUUGUAUAUGACUACAUGGCUCAUGGGACCUUGAGAGAUCACCUCUACAACACUAGUAGUCCCCCUUUACAAUGGGAGCAGAGGCUCAAGAUGUGUAUUGGUGCUGCACAUGGGCUGCAUUAUCUCCACCGAGGUCCCAACCACACCAUCAUCCACCGAGAUGUGAAGACAACAAAUAUUUUGGUAAGUGAGAAAUGGGUGGCCAAAGUAUCUGAUUUCGGAUUGUCUAAAAUGAAUGACGUAACCAACACUCAUAUUAGCACUGCUGUCAAAGGCAGUUUCGGGUACUUGGAUCCUCAAUACUAUCGUCUUCAGAAACUAACCGAGAAAUCUGAUGUGUACUCUUUUGGUGUGGUGUUGUUUGAGGUGCUAUGUGCAAGACCACCAAUAGAUCGAACUGCUGAGGAUCAUAUGCAAAUAAGUUUAGCAGAGUGGGCACAACAUUGCUACAACAAUGGAAGCUUUGAUCAGAUAAUUGAUCCCUUUUUACAAGGUAAGAUCAAGCUUCCAAGUCUGUUAAAAUUUCGAGAAGUAGCUAUAAGUUGUUUAUCUUCGGAAGGGAUGAAGAGGCCCACAAUGAGUGAAGUGGUGUAUGGACUUGAACUUGCAUUGAAGCUGCAGGGAAUUGAAAUAAAUGGAAACGAUGAGAAUCAUGCAAAUGACUCAUCUUCCAUAGAUUAUCAUGUAUUGUUUACUAGUGGUAGUGGAUCAAUGAGAGUUGGUCGCUAGAUUAGAUGCUUUAAUUAUUUGCUCAUUAAUUGUAAUAUUAAUUCCAGCUCUUCAUGAACAACGGUUUCAUAUUCAAUGUGUUAAAUUAGCUACAAGUUGUAUCAUGCAUGUAAAAUCUUUUUAGUUAAAAUUACCACUUUUGUGAAAGACUUUAUUUCAAGAAUUUAUUAUAAAAAACUUCAUAAAUUUCUUUCAAGGUUUGGACAUAAAAGUUAAAAUCUUGUGUUGCAACAUAAAUAAUAUAUUUCACAAGAUUUUAUAAUUAAUCUUUUUUAAUGGAAAAAGAAAGUGGAAAAAUCAAGUUGUUUUUGGUGUAAGACUUUUCCAAAUUUUCAUGGUCCUGUUGUAACACCCUAAACCCAGUUUAGACGGGAAGGCCAAGUCUAGAAUGUCACAUUAACUUACCAGAACAUAGUCAUACUUAACACGAAUUUUUCAAUCCAUAAUUAAGCCAUAAAAUAAUUUGUUUUCUGAAAACAUAGUUAAGUCUUCAAAGCUUAAAUACAAAAUUAAAGACAUAAAUUCACACAAGCAUAUACAUAUAUAAUAAGUCUGAUAGAUGACCAUGUCCUACGCCUGUCAGCCGCUUAAUCCUGUGAUGUUCCCUGAAAUUCAUUCAAAUAGUUAGUGUGUUGUAGCGUAGAAUCUAACAUAAACAUACUAGCCUAUGUAUAAGAGCUCAGAUGUUAUUGAGUGUUCAGAUAACAAUUCAGACUCAUCAGUCAAUUUAAUAACCGAAAACAUAUUUGGACACAAAACAGUCCUAAUACGUAGCAGAUCAGUCACAGACGUACGUAUAACACAAAUACGAUAGCAGAUACAAAUGUCAUACAUGCACAAAUAAAGAUGCAAUUCCCUAUUCCAACCGCUACACACCAUCUGCAUCCACCCUACACACCAAUAGAUAUAUAAUACCCACCCAUCCCUACACACCUCAUAGUGUCGGUAUGACACGUUGCAGUGUUUACAAUCUCACUGCUAGAUUAGACAUAAUUAUGGGUGGUUUUGACCAUCAAAUCAAUAUAAACACUUCCUUCAAUCCAUAACUUCUGCCCCAUGCACUUGUAAAACAUAUAGCAGACAUGUAUAUAUAAUUCAGUUGCAGAUACAAUCAUGCAAUUCUAAUAUAACAGGGUGUCGAUAUCAUUAAUGUCUAGCCCAUACCGAUAUCCAGAAUUAACUAGUAUUCAUGAUAACUAGCUCAUAUAAUUUAGUUCAAUUCAUACUUAUCCUGCGAAUAACUUAUUUUCGCCUCGCACAUCAAUUACAACUCUAACAGAAUUCAGUUUCUCGGCUCACACACCCAUGUGGCUCCACACGGCCUGACACACGUCCGUGUAUCUUAAAUAUAAAGUUAGUGAAUUACACAGCCUAGACACAUGCCCGUGUGACUCAAUUCCAAAGUCAGUGAGUUACACAGCCUGGACACAUGCCUGUGUGUCUCACUCGUGUGACCCUUGCACCUCAUUUUUUACACACGGUCUCGCACACGCCUGUAUGGUUUGCCCAUGUGACCACAAAUCCAAAGUCAGAGAGUUACACAGUCCACUAAUAAACCAUAAAAGUAACGCUUUCUAAUCCCAUACUUAGCACACUUUUGGAUGAUUUAUCAUAUAAUUGAAUGAAUUAGAUGCUCUUAAUCUUUUAAUUUCAUGUUUUAUACUCAGGAGAGCAUAGGAGAACAAAAGGAGCAGAAAAUGGGCUGAUUGAAGGACCCACACGGCUAAGACAGAUUCCACACGGGUGGAGCACACGCCCGUGUGAGCCACACGGGCUGGCCACACGCCCAUGUGGCAGCCCGUGUCGAUAUCGCUCCAGGUUUCCCAAAUACACGAAAAAAGCCAAUUUUUAAUGUUUCUGGGCAGUCUAAAGUCUAUAAAUACAUACCAGAGGAAGACCUAAAGGGGACACGCAGAGUAGAACACAAGAAUUACUCGAAGAACACCAACAGAUUCAGCUUGGAAGCAAGAUCUCCUUCAAGACAGAAGAUCUCCCUUCAAUUUCUCUCAAAGUUUUUGGGUUUCUUUAUGUUUUGUUAUUUUCCUAUUUUUGAGAUGUUUUUCUACUACGAUAUGAACUAAACUCCCUAAAUACCUAUGGAGGAUGAAACCUAAGACGGAUCUUAUUGUUUAAUAAUCUGAAUUUAAUGAUAAAUACUUAUUCUUGUUCUUAAUUAUGUUUUCUUAAUUCUUGUUUUAAUAUUUUCAGAAUAUUAAUUCAAGAUGAUGUGCUUAUUCAGUGGAGCAAAAGUCCCUGUUUAAGAGUAGAUCUCACAUAAUUAAGUGGAGUUGCAUGCAACCCUAGAAAUAGGGCGACAUAAAUCUGCUGGAUUAGAGCAAAUCUAAUAAGGGAAUCCAUAGAUCGAGUUAAUGCGACAAUAGAGGUUUUAAUUAGAAAGAGAUUUCAAUUAAUCAACCUAGAGUCAGUUGUUUUUAGUCUCGAAAGAGAUAUUAACAUAAUUUAGGGAUUUCUACGGAUCAAGACAAGUGAAUAAAUCGUUAGAUUUAGAAUCAGAAUAAUAAGUGAAGUCUAGGUGGAUUCUCCCUUGGGUAUUGUCUUUAUUAUUGGUUUAUUCGAUUAUUUUCUUCACUCUCUGUCGCGUUCUUUAGUUAAUUAGUUAGUUAAUUUUAGAUUAAAACAAAUCACUUAUAAUUUAGGUUAAAUAAUAGAAAGAAAGUUAAUACUAGUACUUUUAGUCCUUGUGGAUACGAUACUCUGGACUCACCGUGACUUUACUACCAUUCGAUAGGUGCACUUGCCUUAGUCAUGAUCGUAGUCUAGUUUAGUGGUUCAUAAAAAGAUCAUCAAGUUUUUGGCGCCGUUGCUGGGGACUAGAAUAUUAGAAACGCUUAAUUUUUAUUACUUUAGUCAUUUUUUAUUUUUUAUUGCAAUUUUUAAUGAAAUUGAAAGCACGGCUCGUAGAAAUAGUAGAGAAAUAAGGCAAAGUCUACAGUAUAUAGAGGAAGAGCACGAGGAUGAUACUAGCACUACCGAGGAGAUGGCUGAAAAUCAUAAUAAUCCGCUACCUCCUGUGGUUGCAGCGAAUCUCGUAAAUUAGAAUCCUGCUCCUCGUACUAUGUACGACUAUGCUAAGCCUAAUUUAGCGGGGACUGAAUCGAGUAUUGUUAGACCUGUAAUUGUUGCAAAUAAUUUUGAACUGAAACCUAACACUAUACAAAUGAUUCAACAGUUUGUUUAGUUUUAUGGUUUGCAGGAUGAAGACCCAAAUACUCAUUUGGCCAACUUCUUAGAGUUCUGUGAUACUUUCAAGAUAAAUGGCGUUUCUAACGACGCCAUUCACCUUCAGUUAUUUCCCUUUUCAUUAAGAAAUAAAGCUAAAUAGUGGUUGAACUCAUUACCACGAGGUUCCAUCACUACUUGGGAACAAAUGAUCGAAAAGUUUUUAUUAAAGUAUUUUCUGCCGGUUAAAAAGGAAAAGUUGAGGAAUGAUAUCUCUUCUUUUGUGCAAAUGGAUUUAGAAACUCUUUACGAUGCGUGAGAGUGGUAUAAAGACUUAUUGAGAAGGUGCCCUCACCAUGGGUUACCUUUAUGGUUAUAGGUUUAGACUUUCUACAAUGGUCUAAACCUUUCAACUAGACAACUGAUCGAUACAGCCACCGGUGGAACCCUAAAUAACAAAACACCCGAAGAGGCUUAUGAAUUUAUUGAAGAGAUGCCACUGAAUAACUAUCACUCGCAAGUCAUGAGGACAAAGCCUAAUAAAGCAGUCGGUGUUUUCAACCUCGACACGGUCACUAUGUUAUCAAACCAGGUAGAGCUUUAAAAUAAAAAGAUUGAUAGUUUAUGUGUCUCUACACAGGUACAUCCAGUGAUGCAGUGUAACGCAAGUGGAGGAGGAUUGAAUAAUACAGAAUGCCUGGCCUACGACCUUAGCACUACGAAUGAAUAAGCCAACUAUAUGGGUAAUAAUUCUAGACCUCAGAAUAGCCCCUAUAGUAAUACUUAGAAUGCAGGUUGGAGGAACCAUCCCAACUUCUAUUGGGGUGGUCAAGGCAAUUAAAGACCACAACCCCCUCCAGGCUUUCAACUACCUUACCAGCAGGAAAAGAAACCGAACCUUGAGAAGAUGCUAACGAAAUUCAUCUCAGUGUCAGAAACACGUUUCCAAAACACCAAAAUAGCGCUUAAAAAUUAGCAAGUGUCAAGUCAAGGUCUCGAGACUCAAAUAGGUCAACUUGCUAAGCUGAUCUUAGAAAGACCAUAAGGUAGCUUGCCUAGCAACACCAAAACUAACCCAAGAGAGCAGCUCCAUGUGAUUAUGGUUCAAUAUGAAGAAGGGUUAGUUGAGUCCAAACCAGAACCAAGGUAAGAAACUAUGGUAAGCCAAGAUAAGGUGGAUGAAAGCUAGAUUAAACAAAAACCAGUAAGCAGAGAAUACACACCUCGCGUGCUAUACCCUAAAGUGAUAAAGAAAGACCGCGCAGAUGAACAAUUCGGUAAAUUUAUUAACAUAUUAAAAAAGUUACAUAUUAACUUACCAUUUAUUGAAGCUCUUUCGUAGAUGUCUAAUUCAGUGAAAUUUUUAAAGGAGCUUCUAGCAAACAAAUAGAAGUUAGAUGAUUCAUCGCAUGUGGAAUUAAAUGUAGUUUGCUCGGUAAUUUUACAGAAUAAACUACCCAGUAAAUUAAAGGAUCCAGAGAGUUUUACUAUUCCUUUUUAAUUGGUAGUUUAGCUGUUAAUAAUGCUUUGGCCGACUCAAAGGCAAGUAUUAACGUCAUGCCCUAUAAAAUGUUUAAGCAACUAGGUCUUGGAAAGCCCAAACAAACUAGGAUGAGUAUACAAUUGGCAGAUAAAACUAUUAGGUUUCCUAGGGGACGUACUCGUUAAGAUUGAUAAAUACAUAGUCCUAGUGGACUUUGUUAUUUUAGACAUGGAAAAUGAUGGUGACAUUCUUUUAAUCUUAGGGCGACCCUUUUUAGCAACUAUCAGAACUAUCAUAAAUGUUGGUACAGGUGAAUUAACGUUUCGCCCAGGUGAUGAAUCGGUUACUCUUCAGGCUUGUGAUUCGAUUGAAAUAUCAAGUAAUGAAGAUAACCUUAUAAAUCCGGUUAAUAAGACUAAUCAGGUGGUUCAACCCUCUUUGAAGGAAAAACUUUUGAGAAACUUAAAUGAGCCACAAUCUAGUUCAUGCAUGAACAAUGGAACCAUCCAUGAACGACAAAUGCUACAGAUAGAUAAACCAGAUGAAUGGUGGACUUAUGGCAAGGAGGAGCAGAAGCAACACCAUGUCAAGUUUAACGAGACGAACCAAUUCAAAGUAGGUGACCAAGUGUUAUUAGAUGAAACCAACCCUCGAAUUAUCACUACAGAGCUCAAUGCAAAUGGAGCAACUCUUUUUACAGUACUUAAAGUCUUUCCAUACAGUACAAUCGAGGUAACCUAUUCACAAUUCGGCACUUUUAAGGUAAACAGUACUCGAAUAAAACCUUAUUUAAAUAAAGGAAUUGACAAUGAGAAAGAGGAGUUUUGACUCCGUGAUCCACCGUGACCAUGUGAAUAAGAGCUAAGUCGAGCUUAGACUCUAAAUAAGCACUUAUCGGGAGUCAACCUGAGCACUAACACCACUAACUAAUUUAUUUUUUUUAUCUAUUUUUCAUGUUUAAAUACAGGUCUUUGACCCACACGGCCUGGACACACAGGCGUGUCCCAGGCCGUGUGCUUUAACAGGGGUUAAACAGUGAGUUACAUGGCCUGGUGACAUGGCCGUGUGACCCACACGGCUUGGACACACGAGCGUGUCCUAAGCCAUGUGGAAACAGGGCUUAAAUCACCCAAAAUCGAUAGAUAUGUGCUAAAAGAGGCCAUACGGGUGUGCGACACGGCAUGUCAUAGGCCGUGUGAAAACUGGAGCUAAAUUUUAAAAAUUUUAAUAAGUCAGAGAGCUUCACGGGUAAGGCACAUGGCCGUGUGUUCAGACACACGAGCGUGUGGGAUACCACACGGGCGUAGGAGAAGCGAACAAUGAAGCAAAAGGCCUGGACACAUGGGCGUCCAAGGCCAUGUGACGAAUGGGUUAUUAUUUUCCUCGAUGAACAUGGGCUAGAAUUUGAGCCACACGGGCGUGUGACAUGACCGUGUGGCCUAACACGGACUGUUACACGACCGUGUCACCCAUAAAAGUCCCCAAACCUUAAAAUUUUAUUUUUUAUCUUCUCCAAUUUUCCCCAACCAGCCGUCACUCACUCCUCCUCCAGCCAUCGACCCCAUCUUUUAUCCCUCUCUUUUCCUUCCCAAGGCCACACUUACUACCCUUUUCCCUCUCCAAUCUUUUCUUUUCCUUUCCUCUCCCUCUUGCCCUACCUUGAGCCCACGACCCUCAAACCACUCCACCCCCAGCGCCAUUCCCCCCUCCUUCAUGUUCCUCCCUAUCACGAGGACCCACUACAGCCUCCACCAUCGAGUCACCGACAUGCUCCCUCUGCUGUUAGCUCCCUAGGAGUAUCCUCCGAGGAGUUUGCUAGUUUUCGUCAAUACUGUACUCAAAGGUUCGACAGUAUUGAUGUGACUUUACAGAAAAUCUGUCAGUAUCUUCAUAUCACUCCUCCAGCGCUACCGACUGAUCAGUCUGAUGAUGAGGACCAUUGAGGCAAGUUAUUUUUAUGUUUAUUUUUAUUUUUAUUUUUAUAUUUUAUUUUAUUUUUAUUUUUCUUUUUAUAUCAUUUUGUCUUUAUAUUUUAAACUUUAUUUUAAUGAUUAUAGUUGUCUCUUUACGAGUAACCCUUUAAUCUUCUUCAGCAUUGUGUUUAUUUUCUUAUCAGUUGCUCAGGAUUUUGCACUACCCCUACAUUUAUCGACAAUUCCGCUUUUCACUAGUAUGGGAAAUUCAUCCACCAUUCAGGGCAGUUUCAAUCAUCUCCCUGUGUUAUGAUAUUUUGUCUCUAUUAUGAUUUAUAUUUGUUUGCACAUUGAGGACAAUGUACAUCUUAAAUGUGGGGAGGUUAUUUAUAUGAUUAUUUGAAAAUCGCUGACUUAUGCAUUGUGUUUAAGUAAUUUGCUCAUAUUACUUUUAGAAUGAACUCUUAUUAAUUUGUGAUUUUCAUUGAUAUAUUUUAGAUUAAAUUUAUAGAUACUUGUACAUUGAUGGUUUAAACUUUAAGAUACGAACACAAGACUAAAAAAUAAACAAAUGCUUACCCAAUGAACCAACAUGCUCAUUCUUAAUACACAAAGGCAUAAGAUUAAACUUAAACAAGGAAUCCUAAGUUAAGGGUUCAAAAAAAGAAUUAACAAAUUCCAAAAUUUAUGCAACUUAAAUCUCAAGUGAGCAAACAAAACACACAACCAUAGAAGCAAACACAUCGACACAACUUAAUAACAAAAACUCAAAUUUUAGAGCGUUAGAUCUAUAAAUGAGUUUUGUAGAGAAAAUUCGUGAGGUGUACAAAUUUUUUUUAUUUUUUAUUUAAAAAUGACAAUACCAUAACUCUUUUGCUACUAGAAGUUAGUUUACAACAGUACAAAACUUCAUUUAGAAAAUUCCCACGGACAUGAAAACAACUAUAUUAAUAGAACUAGGUUCACCAAAUUGAAUUAACUCGUCUCUCUCGUCCUUCAUCAUUUUCUCCAACAUCUUUACGAUCAUCAACCACUUCCAACACUCCAAUGCUAAGACUUGUGUAUGACUAAUGAAUUCAAAACCAUGGAAUUGCAACAUGGUGAUUCCCAUAAUAACGAAAUUUAAAGUCCUGAUGUUUGGUUCAACGAAAUCACCAUUUCAUUCGGUUACCAUUAAUUAAUUUGUUUGGUUCAUUGUUUAAGUGAUUUUGUAGAAUUGCUAUUAUAACUUUAUUUUUUCAAGUCCAACAAUAGAGAUUUAGAGGUAAGAGCUCCAAGUAAAAGAAAAAAAUAUGUUUCCCAAAUAUCCGUUGUGGAAUUUCAACAUGCAACAAGUUAUUUUUGCCAUUCUAAAAAAAAGUUUUUCUUUGAGUUGUUUUUUGUUUAAGACUUUUCCAAGUCUUCAUGGUCAAUCCGUAGACAAAUGUUGCAGAGAAAAUUCGUGGAGGAAUUGUUUUUGGACAAUGAAACUCUUUCCUUGUGUGCUCAUCAUUUCUUACCAAAAGUUAGUUUUAAUAUAGGAUAAUGUGAGUUUAAGUGUGUUGAAAUGUAUUUUUUUAUUAUUUAUAAGUUGAAUGUUAUGAAUAGUUUUAAGUAUUGUGUAAAAAAAUAAUAUUAAAUAAUUUUAUGAAUAUUAUAGAAUAGAUAUUUUAAUAUGUUUUAGAAUUUUAAUAUUUAUUAAAAAUAAAACUAUACAUCAAUUACACUUUUAAUGUCCAUCAGUCCUCAUAGUCAACACUCAUAAACAAGUCCUGUAGAGAAAAAUCCUGAUGGCCGGAAAUUUUAUAGAUUUAUAAUUUUUAAAAUAUUAAAUUAGAUUAUAUUAGUAAUGUUAUAAAUUUUUUAUUUUAUAAAUUAGAUAUACAUUAGAUACAAAUUUAAUGUACUUUAAAAUUUUAAUGUGCAUUAGAAAUAGAAAUUUAUAUUCUUUAUACUUCUAAUGUCCAUUAAUUUUCAUGGUUGAGGUUUGGAGACAAACAAGUCUUAUAGAGCAAAUUUGUGGAUUGGAAAUUAAUUUUAUAAUGACACUCUAGUUGUAGGCUCAACAAUAUAUUCAUUUGGUAUCUAAAUUUGUUCAGAAAUAAUUAAUAGGUAUUUUUUUUUUUAGAUUUAGUUGUUAUCUAAAUUUGUCCAUUACACACUUUUGUAUAUUUAUAUUAACACUGUUAAUCCAUACUAAUGUAGCAUUGACAACCAAUUAUAUGAUGAUAUGUGAUAAUCUCUAAUUAUGAUACGUGACAAGUAUAAAUAAUUUUUUUAUAAAAUCUUUAAAAAUAUAUAAAUUAACGAAAAAAUUCAUAUUAAAAAUGAACCUAAAUAAAUAAUUCAAAAUCAAUUGUGUCUUUUUUAUUAAGUUAACAUAUUUUGAUGGAUAAAUUGACAAUAUAAAUGAUUAGUAGAACUGAAACUUAAAUCCUAAAAUUCAAAACUUAUUAGUUGUGAGAAAAGUGUAUGAAUAUAUAUCUAUCAAAAAUAAUAGUUAAAUUAAUAUAUAUUUAGUUAAAAAUUAUCACUCCACUUUCUUUUGUAAAAAAAAAAAAAUUCUUAUUCCAGUAACUGGGAUAAAUCCUACGAGAAACUUUGUGACCCGAGCGAGACUCUUACAAGGACUUAUCCAGUUGUUUGCUUCCACCUUUGCUUCCAUUUUUGUUAUCUUUUUAUGCCGAGGGAACCCUUGGUUAUCUUUAGGCUCUUUUUUGCCUGGACUUGGGCCUUGUACCCGAGUUUUAUUGUAAUAUAGUUAUAUUUGAACACCUCAAGAACUAAUGCGAUGUAUGGUUGCUAAAAAUAUUGGGAAAGUCCUUGUAUUUAGGUGUGGAUUGUACUUCAGUUCAGCUAUUAAAAAAAAAGGGUAAAUUAGUUUUUAUACAUUAUGAAUGUGCAAACUAGCUCAUCCAUUAAAUUUUAUUUGUUAAACGAUGAUGUGAACUUGUUGAAAAUAAUUUUUUAUGGGUAAACUAUAAAACUGGUCACCUGAUAAGUGCUACAAAUAACAUGUUUCUCAUUCUUAAUGUUAUUUUAGGUGAUUAUUCGAUGUUAAUGGUGAAUUUUAUGCUCCCAAUCCCUUAAAUUCAUGCUUUUAUACUUAGGAGAAUAUUUGAGAGCAAAAGGACCAAAAAACGAGCGAAAACCAAAAAAUAGGAGUAAGGUAUAGGAGCCACACGGCCUUGUGGUAGGCUGUGUUGAUUUCGCGAAUUGACACUCUAACCUGCAGAAAAUCAUUUUUUUUAGGUUUUUCGGGCAUUCUAAGACAUAUAUAAGAUAGGAGGGAACAUUCAUAGAAUACUCAAGAAAACAACUCGAAAAACACCAUUAAAGUUGAUUCUGAAGUAAAUUUCCAUUAAAAUUGAAGACUUCCAGUUGAUUUCUUAGGAAACCAUCAUGAGUUUAUUUGUUUCUUGUGGUUAUACUGUAUCUUAGAUAUUAUUAUUUUCAAGCAUGAACUAAUUUUCUAAAUACCUAAAGAAGAUGAACCGUGUGAUGGAUUUUUUUCGUUUGAUUUUUAUUUUACGUAAUAAAUAUUUAGAUCUUGUUAUCAAUUAUGUGUGUUUAAUUCUUGGUUUAAUAUUUCUAAAUUAUUAAUCCAUAUUUGAUGUGCUUAAAUCAGAGGAGGAAUAGACCCUAUAUAAAAGUAGAUAUUGUGUAAUUUAGUAGAGUUGCAUGCAACCCUAGAAUGACGACAUAAAUCUACCGAAUUAGAGUAAAAUCUAAUAGGGGAAUCCAUAAAUCGAGUUAAUGCGACAAUAGGAGUUUUAGUUAGAAAUAAAUUUCAAUUAAUCAACCUAAAGGCAGUUUCUCUUACUCUCGAAAGAGAUAUUAUCAUAAUUUAGGGAUUAUACGGAUCAAGAUACUAAGUAAAUAAAUUGCGAAAUUUGGAUAGAUAAUGACAGAUGAAAUCUAGGUGAAUUCUUUCCUGGGUAUUGUUUUGCUUCUUGGUUGUUAAUCGAUUGUUUUCCUGUUUUGUUCUUUGUCGUGAUCAUUAGUUAAUUAAUUUUGUUAAUUUUAGUUUUUAAUCAAUCACUCGAAUUAUUCAGUUAAAUAAUAGAAAAACAGUAAUUAGUACUUUUAGUCCGCGUGAGAAUGAUAACUUUGAUCACCGUAGAUAUACUAUUAGUUGAUAGGUUAGUUAGUGUCGUGGACAUCAUCACCUAAUUAUGCCUCUCAUUUUAUUUUGGUCACCCAACUUGUAACACCCUGGAAUUUGAGGCUAGAAUUUUUGAGGUUUGUAGUUAGGGUCGGUGAGCAGGUCGAGCAAUUGAGUUUAUUGUCGUGUUUUAGUGUUAGAAUGAGCCUGCUAGUUUGGUGGUAGUGUGUGUUAGUUUACCUUUGGGUCCUGGGUUCAAGUCCUCAUAUGUGUUUAGAGGCGUUAAUUUUAUUUUGGAUUUUUUUUAAGUUUAAAUACUUAAUUAGUUUUACUUUUAUUUAUAUUUUUUAACUGGAAAAAGGGAGUUAUCUCACAUUCUUCCUCUAUUUUUUCCCAGUUUUAGUUUUUUUUUGUUAUUUUUCUUUGCCUCUUCUGUUUCUGCAUCUUUUUCUUUUUUGUUACUAUCCGGUGGUCAAGGGUGUUUGUGCUUGCUUUGCUUGUUUAAUUGGAUGUUGAAGUGAAACGAUUUUGUUGAGGGGUAGUAGUUGAUUUUUGCUUUAGAUCGCGAAAUCAGGUGUGUUUUCUGAAACGGUUUAACUUCAAUAUCGAAUUGCUGUUGGAUUCUAUGAAAUUUGACAAUAUCUUGUGUGUUUCUGAAACUAUAGAUUUUAGGUAUUGAAUUGUUGAUUAUUAGUACGUUAACUUGCAAAUUUUGGUAUAUUUUUGAAUUACCAAAGGUUGGGGAUAGUUCCGGUGUCAAGAGCACAAUUUUCUGGCAAUUUUGGUGUGGUUUCGAGAUCACACGGGUGGCUACAUGGGCGUGUGCCACACACGGGCGGUCCACAUGGCCGUGUGAAUUUAGGAAUUAGAGAUCUUGGACAUUUUUCAGUGCCACACAGCCGUGUGGCUACUGUUUGGGGAUUUUGUCGAUUUUUACAUGGCUGUGUACCUUAACCACACGGGCGUGUGAGAUCUCCACAAGGCCAUUUCUUCUCUGCUCCUUAUUGUUGGCACUUUUGGAUAGUGAGUUAUAUGGGCUACUCACACAGCCAUGUAACUCGGUCACACGGGUAUGUGUCUCCUCCACACGGGCGUGUAGGCCUCCACACGGGCGUGUAGGCCUCCACACGGGCGUGUAGACCUCCACACGGCCUAGACCUUUCCACACAGUCGUGUGACCCUGUUUCAUAAAUUUUUUAUUUUGAGUUAUAAAUUGUCUAUUUUAUGUUUCUGUGUAAUCCGAUCCUUGGUUAGGCCUCGAUAAAUGUGUUUGAGACUCGAUUUGGUUUGGAUUCGUGUAUAUAGGUGCAUUUAUGGGCUUUAAGUUAAUUGUUCGUUGUGUGAUGAAUAAAUUCGAGUUUAUUAUUACUAUCAUAACUGAGUAUUGAAAUGCAAGUGUAAUAAAAUCUAGAUCUGUUCAACUGGAAACAUGAAUGCCUGUUUCUGUAUGUUUGUCUGCGUACUGUGUGGAUUACUACAUUGGCAUGAAAAUUUUGGGGAUUUGGUUAUGAAGAGAAGGAAGACCGAUUUGGCAGUUUUAACUACAAUACUUCUUAUACUAUACAUAUACUAGCUUAGUUGUAUACAUUUACUCGAGUGGCUUAGUUCCACAUUGUGGUGUGUAGGGUGGAUGAACCUAUUAUGGUUUUAUGUUGUCUGCAGGGUGGACGGACCUACUAUAGCCCUUAUGCGGUGUACAGGGUGGUCGGAGAGGUGUUUUGGUUGGUUGGGUGGGAUUUUUGACUCGUUACAUUCUCUAUGCAUUUGAAUAUAUAUUUGAAUAAAUGUCUGAUUAUAUGGGCAUUGAGAUGUUGGUGAUAUGGUAACUUUAAAAUGAUGUGUUUUAGUUAAUACAUGUGUUGGUAUGCUUUAGAAGCACCUUGUUGAUUGGAUUACUGGUUGAGUUUUCCCUUUAUGACUUGUGUACAUAUCCUAUUCGGGAAUAUUGUUGUGAUACUUCAUCUUUUGCCAUUUGUUUACGUUUCGAACUCACACUGAGCUCGCGUAGCUCAUCCCUUUAGUUUCUCACUUCCAAGUAAAUCCCGUGGUUUGAAGUUGGACUUGGUAUAGCGGAGGUCUCAGAUUGAUAAGAGAAUUAAUCUAGUAAAGUUUGUCAUCAAUUCUUAAAUUAUUGAAUUGUUUUGGACUGUAAAUAUUUUAUAUGAAUUGUGGUAUAAAUUUUAUUUUGGACUUUUGUAAAGUGUUAUUUGGACUGAUCUUUAGAAAUUUGGUUUAUUUUUGAAUGCUUUUUACGCCAAUCAAACAUUUUCUCAAAACAUAGCUAAGUAUUAUUUGUUUUCCUAAAGAUGAAGCAAACAAAAAGCUUUUCCCGGUUUGAAUUAAUUUUUUUGUUUCCGCCACUUUCAGUGGCCAAUGUAACCUCCGAAAUUCGAUCUAAACUUCUAAGCCGAUUUUUGGGGUGUUAUAGAACUAUUAACUUUUUUUAGUCACUAAUUUUUUGAAAUUAAAUAUCUUAGUCACUCCGAGCUGACGUAGGUUUUUUUAUUGGUCUAAAAACAAAUUUAUCCCUUUAAUGUUUACAAUUCUAUCAAUUUGAUCUUAAAUAUAAAAAAUUUAACAAAUUUAGCCCUCGAUAUUUACAAUUUUUUUCAUUUUAGUUAUAAUUCUUAAAAUUCAAAAAAUUUAGCCUCAGUGUUUACAAAAUAUGUCAAUUUAGUCCUAACUAAAAAUUAAAAAAAAAUAAUUUUUAGCCCUGUAUAACCCAACGAUUAACCUAUGCGAGAUAUUAAAAUAAGAAAAAAAGUACACUCUUUCAAGUCACUUGCAAAAGAGCUCUAAAAAGUUGGAAUAAAACAAAAAAAAAUUUAAGAUCCAAAAGAAAAUAAAGGGAUUAAUAAUGUUAUUUGUUCGAGUAGUAAUGCAAACAAUUAUUCCAAAUAGGUUCCAAAUCAAUUGGUUUGGUCCAGUGUGAAACCUAAAUUAUAGUAAAAGAAAUUGUUGCAAAUGACUUAAAAGAGAGUACUCUUUUUCUUAUUUUAAUAUCGCACAUAGGUUAGUUGAUGGAUUAUAAAUGGUUAAAAAUAAAUUUUUUAAUAUAUAUAUAUUUUUAAUUUUAGAGUUAGGACUAAAUUGAUAGAUUUUAUAAAUAUUGAUGCCCAAUUUAUUGAUUUUUUUAGAAUUAGAACUAAAAUGACAAAUUUUACAAAUAUUGAGGACAAAAUUUGUUGUUUUUUUAUAUUUAAGAUCAAAUUGAUAGAAUUUAUAAACAUUAGAGGGCUAAUUUUUUUACUAGACCAAUAAAAAAGCCCACAUCAGCUCAGAGUGAUAAAAAUAUUUAAUUUUGAAAAGUUUAAUGACUAGAUAAAAAAAAUAGUUAGGUAACCAAAAUAUAACAAAAAGUAUAAUUGAGUGACCAUUUUUAUAGUUUAUCAUAAAAAAAUAAUUUUAACAUGUCUACGCCAUCAUUUAAUAGAUAAAAUUUAAUGAAUGAACUAAUUUACACAUUUCGAAAUAUAUAAAAGGUUAAUUUAUCUAUUUUUGAAUAGAAAGUCAAAAUGCUAUUCGUACAAGACUUCCUUACUAUUUUUACCAUGUUUAAAGUAAUACCCAGCCUGGCAAGUCCUAUGUUUGGCGGGUAAAUCGAAAAGAACUUUGAUUGGCACGAUCCUAUUCGCCCACAAGAUACUAUUGGUGAGUACAUCGAGCACAUAGUCAAUAUUGAGCAUGAGGUAAGGAUAUUUAUCUGGAUGAAUGGAGAUACAAAGAAGAAGAAAGUUGGUAGAGUAUGGAGAGCUUUUGAAUGGGGGGGUUUUACCAAAGGAAUAGUACACCAAGUUUACCAAGUUACUGAGCUAGUUGAAUUCUAACAAAAUGGUCAAGAAUGAACGAAGUGAUUAAUUAAAUAUAUAAUAAAAAGAUGGAUUCUCACAUACAUUUCCUUAAAGUUGUAAACCAUUUACAGGGCAGAUUAAAAAGGAUUGUGACACGUGUAUGGUUCUCUUAAGAGAAGGUAAGAUUUUUUUUGAUGAGGGAGAGCACCGGGGUUGUGGGUACAUAUGAUACUUAUUUUCUUUGGAGCAUAACAAUGCGAUGCCUCAUCGAUCUUGCAUACUUCAUCGCCCUAUCUUUUCGCCACCAGUCUAAUCGUAGUAGGAAGAGUCCUAUUUGUUUGGACACUUACGUGACUCGCCUAACGAGGUAUUUUGGCCUUCUUGAUACUUUGGAGCAGACAUCCUCUUUUACACUGGUUGGAUAGAUGAUCCCAUAGGGAUUAUCUAUUAUGAGUCAAAUGAGGAUGGUCGAGUGCCAGCAUAGUGGGUCCUCGUCGAUAUAUAUUGUCUCAUUCUGAUCCUCAAAAUGAGCAUGAGGAGCUUCCAGAUGAUGAUCCUCCUCGCCAUGCGGACCCACCUCAUUCCCCUCCACCUCCAAGUCACCCUACUGUUGCUCCCUUUGUUUUACUUGAGGAUCUCUUCAAGUAGUUUGAUCACUUUGAGCAGCGAUGCUUUGAUCUGUUCGAUAGCAUUGAGGCGUAUUUGCAUUAGAUCUGCCAUCACCUCCAUAUUUCUCAUCCUAAUUAUGCACUUCAUGAUCCUAACACUUCUCACGACACCGAUCACUGACCUGAUUUCAUUUUCUUAUUUAUUUAUUUAUUUUUACUUUCAUUUGUACUUUUCUUUUUAUUUUUAGUUGUUUUUAUGUUAUUUGUGAGACUUCUUAUUUUUAUUUUGAACCUUGCUUUUAUUUUUAUUAUUUUGAUGGUUUUUUUUUCAAGUUUGUAGUUUAUUUAUCUUCUCCUUCUUCUUCUUCUUUUUUUCUGUUCUCUUAUUAGUUUGCUCAGAAACUUAUACUUCAUUUAGAUUUGCCCAUGAUUCUAAUUUUCACUAUUCUGGCAAUUUCAUCCAAAUUUAAGGCAGUUUCAGUUCUUUCCCUUUCUUUUGAUAUUGUGCUUAUUCUGUGCUUAUAUCUAUUUGUACAUUAAGGACAACAUACAUCUUAAGUGUGGUGAGGUUGUUUAUAUGUUUAUGCAAUAAAAUCCUUGAAUUAUUGUUUGUUUUAAAGUAAUUUUCUCACAACUACCAUUGAAGUAAUUUCUUUUAAUUUAGAGUUGUUAUUGAUUCUAUUUUGGGAUUUAUUUGUGAAUAUCUGUGCAUUGAUUGUUUUAUACUUUAAGACAUGAGAGAAUCAAGCAUAAUAAGUUAUUUUUCAUAAAUAAAUAUUUCAGGUUGUUUCUC